AGCUACGUUAUGGCAAAUGCAAUCUGCCCUGUUACCAUUGUCAAGGAUCAUAGUGCUUGAUUAAGAAUGUGUACCUCUAAAACGAGCUUGAUGAGGGAGAUAAAUGGAUGUUGUACUGCUUGUUGCUAAAUGUUAAUGAUCUUGAAUUAUGUGCCUCCCAAUUUGCAUGUAUCCAAUAAUUUAAUCUUUGUUUGUAUGAAACUACUCUUGUUGUAUCAGUUUGAAUAAUGAACUUGAAUUAUGUGCCUCCCAAUUUGCAUUUUCUUUUAGUUGAAUUGAUAAAAAAUCUUCUUGAUAUCUGUACAAGUUCAAAAUUCUAAAAUUCUAAAAUUCUAAAAACCUAAUAUUCCUUUUUCUCCCAACUUUUUUUUCCUCCAACUAUGUGGCACUCAAUAUUGCACACUACCUUAGGAUUGAAAACCAAAAAAUCAUAUCGUUAAACCUCGUGUGAUGGCGUCAUUUUACUUAGAGAAACAAGUAGGAGAAUUAUACUACAUGACCUCGCUUAAUGAGCGAUAAAUCUUCUGGUGUCAAACCUAAACCUUGCAUAAAUAUAUAUAGGGUAAAAGACUGUUUACUACCCUCAUGUUUCGUGGUUUUCAACAUUUAGUACAUCAUGUUUUUUUCGUCUCAGAGUCAUACCUAAAGUGUAAAUUUUGGGACAGUCUCAUACAUCCGUUAGUCAAACUGUUAAGUUUUUCGUUAACUGUGACGUGGCGCACUGACUGGGCGCCACGUGUCAUCCACGUUUUUUUUUCUUUUUUUUUUCUUUUCUUUUCUUCUUCUUCCUUCUUCUUCUUCUUCUUCCUCCGACUGCAACUUUCUGUUUUUUUUUUUUUUUUUUGCUUCUUCCUUUCCCUUUCUUCCCCUUCUUCCUUCUUCUUCCUUCUUCUUCCUCCGAAAUCUGGGGAAUGUUUUUUUUUUUUCUUUCUUCUUCUUCCUCCUUCUUCCUUCCCCUUCUUCCUUCUUCUUCCUUCUCCUUCUUCUUCUUCUUCUUCUUCCUCCGAAAUCUGGGGAAGUUUGUUUUUUUUUUUUUUUCUUUCUUUCUUCUUCUUCCUCCUUCUUCUUCUUCUUCUUCCUCAAAAAAAAAAAAAAAAACACUUUUAUCUUUUCUUCCUCUUCUUCUUCUUCUUCUUUCUCUUUCCUCCUUUCUUCUUCUUCUUCUUCUUCCUCCGAAUCUGCCCACAUUCAAUUUUUUUUUUCCUUCCUCCUUCUUCUCCUUCUUCCUUCCCCUUCUUCGUUCUUCUUCUUCUUCCUCCGAAUUUGGGGGAAGAUGAAAGUGUUUUUUUUUUUUUUUUUUUUUUGAGGAAGAAGAAGAAGAAGAAGAAGAAAGAAAAAAAAAAAAAUAUUCCCCAGAUUUCGGAGGAAGAAGAAGGAAGGAAGAAGAAGAAAGAAAAAAAAAAAUAUUCCCCAGAUUUCGGAGGAAGAAGAAGGAAGGAGGAAGGAAGGAGGAAGCAAAAAAAAAAAAAAAAAAAGCAGAAAGUUGCAGUCGGAGGAAGAGGAAGAAGAAGGAAGAAGAAGAAAAGAAAAGAAAAAAAAAAAAAAAAAAAAAACGUGGAUGACACGUGGCGCCCAAUUAGUGCGCCACGUCACAGUUAACGAAAAACUUAACAGUUUGACUACCGGAUGUAUGAGACUGUCCCAAAAUUUACACUUUAAGUAUGACUCUGAAACGAAAAAAACUUGAUGUACUAAAUGUUGAAAACCACGAAACAUUAGGGUAGUAAACACUCUUUUACCCAUAUAUAUAUGUUCGACCUUAUAGUCGACCUAAGCAUUCGGGGUACUUUCACAGGCCAAAGGGUUAUACUAGGUGUUAACUUGACAAACUUAAGAGUUGUUUCAAACAUUUGCCUUAAAAAGCCUGGUCUCGACUUACAGUGAACUGGUGAUUAGCUUCUUAUAAUCUAAAUAUAUGAUGUUAUAUUCUCAUCUCAACAAGUCGUUGUAGUAUAGUGGUAAGUAUUCCCGCCUGUCACGCGGGUGACCCGGGUUCGAUCCCCGGCAACGGCGUAAUGUUUUGCUUUUCCAAACAUAUUUUUUUUUCUUUCACACCUUUCAAACUCUCACUAGUCUCUUGCUUCUUCCCCUUCCUCUCAGUUCCUUGCCUGUAAAAACACGUUACCCAUAAAAACACACACGCAAACCCUUGAUUCCAAAUUUCAAGCUUGAAAGCCACUCCACUACUAUCACCGUACAAAGCAAAAAAACACACUCCCAUUAAAUCACAAAAAAAUAAAUGUUUUUUUCCGUUUUCUUUUCCACCACCUACACCGCCACCAAAACCAAGAAACCGGAAAUGUCCGCUGCGUCACGGUGCCUUCCAAUAUCCACCACUCGAAUCCACAUAAUGGCCUUAGACGGAAUCGUCAACGUCAACUCACUCUUCUCUUUCGCGCUCUUCGUCGGCCUCACGUUUUACCCCACCACCGAUCCCGCCGCCAUGCUCAUUGGCUCCGACACGGCCUGCGCCGCUGGGGUCUCCUCCGCAGAGGGCCUCAUCGCCUUCCACGUGUACUCCUUCAGCUCCUUCCUCUUCUCCAGCCUCGUUGCCUUGGCCCUCAAGCAAGCCAUCAAGAUCAGCAGAGACAUUGUGGUUCAAAAUGGCGGUGACUCCGGUUCACACGUGGGUCAUGUGAACCGGGUAGCUUUGCGGGUCGGGACGCUGGUUUCGGCUUUCGGGUCUGUUUUGGGAUGUGGGUUUUUGAUGAUGGCGCUGGUGGACUUGGUUCAGAUCAAAUUGGGGAGAUUGGGUUGUGGGAGUCUCUACACUUUGGCUGCAAUUGGUCCUCUGGUGACUUUGGUUCCUCUAGCUCUUGUUAUCUAUGUUUUUCUUGUGCUACAUGCUUUUACUAGAUAGAAACGUAUGAUUAAUCAAACGAAAUGUUAAAUUUGUGCAUCUUCUUUGCAUCUUUAAUAUAAAUUAUAUUUACAUAAAUUCAGUAUAUAGGAUGUCGUCUUGUCUGAAUAAAUUUCACUUGCCCUUAAUAGAGAUGGUUAAUGGAUGCUCAUGGAUACUCUAUAUAUCACCAUCAUUACCAUUACAAGUACAAACAUCACCACUCAUCACCACAGACAGCACAUAUCCACACUCAAAUGGAUCUCCAUUUAAUUAAAUUGGUACCCAUUAACCAUCUUGAUCGAUGAUGUUAAGCUUUGAUAAAUUGAUAGGUUUGAUUAUUUAUGGUGUAGAAUCUUCCUUUAGAGCUUCGAUUUUAGGCUCUAAGUACUAAGUUGUGAGCAAAUUCGAGAUUAGAAUACUGAAGUUUAAGUCUAAUUUAAAUGGUCAUUUUAGGGUUGAUUAUUUAGGUUUUGAUUGUUUAGAUGCUUGAUCAUUAUCUAGGUUUUAAUUGAGUUGAUUUGAUGCAAGUUAGAGUAGAUGUCAUGCUUAAGAACUCCUAUUUGUAAAUGUAAGGUUUGUCUGAUUUUUCAACGAUUUCCAUAGCAUUUAAUGAGUUUUUACUUGUUUAAAUACAUCUAUAGGCAUAGAGAGAACGUGCAAAUAGAUUGCCAUGCUCAUUGAAUAAUUUAGAGAAAAUCAAUCAUCAGUCUUGGAGAAUUACUUAUUCAUAACAUUAAGGAGAUUAAGUAGAAUUGUUUAGGUCCUGUUUUCUUAUGUUGUCAAUCUUAUAUUCCGUGCGUUUUAUUUCACGUUGUAUUUAAUUUCAUUUUAAUUCAAAAUCUCAUAUCUUUACAGUAGAAGUCUCAAUUAUAAUUUGUUUCAAUUUAGUCAUAAAGAUUCUUAAAAUAAUUUGAUUUCUAUAGGACAAUAUUCGUGCUCAUUUGCUAUACUAUCAUUUGAUUCGUAUACUUAUAAGUACUAAAAUUUGAGAUUUAAUGAGGUUAAUUUUGGUUAUUUAAUUUUUACAACAUUUUGUGUGAAAAUAAAGUUUUCUCAACGUGUCUGUACGUUCACGUUGUCCAAAAUUUAACUGUUAAUUUGGAAGUACAAAGUACAUACGAGUUGUGUUUAAAUGAAUUUACUUCUGACUGAAAUUUUUGUAAGUAGGCUAAUAUUAAUUUAUGAAAUCAAAGGAUGUUGCUUGUUUUACAAGGUUCGUUAAUUCUUCAUAAACAAUCUAUCGAGAAUUCGAGAUCGCCAAUUUUUCUCUUGAACUUGUUCUUUGUAGAUCCCCCAUGUGCAAGUACCAUUUGAAUCAGAAACCAAGUCUGAUUUCAUCACUUUCCAAAUUUUGGUAUAGUUGUUUUUCUUGCAUACUUCUUCCAUGGAAAAGGAUUCAGUUACUCUGCUCAAUUUUCUCCGUCUUUGCCGCGUCGUUUCGGUGUUUUGUGUCUGCUCAUUCAUCUCAUUCAUUUACUGGUACAAUUACCAUAUAUAGUCCAUGCUACCAAAUCAACAACCUACUUGCAUUCCCUUCAGCAUAGGGAUGGGCAAAAUACCCAUGGGUAUGGGUAACCGCGGUUACCCACCCAUUUAAAGUUGAUGGUUAUGGUUAUGGGUAACCGUUUAAACAAAUAAACGGUUAUGGGUAUAACCGUUUAUCCAUGAAAUUUAAAUGGACGGUUAUGGGUAUUAUCCGCGGUUAUAACGGGUAUCCAUCGGUUAUGGUUAAUAUUCAUGGUUAUAACGGGUAUCCAUUUACCUAUUUAAUUUAAUAUAUGUAAAAUUAAAAAAUAAAAUAAAAACCCUCAGAGUUACAAUGAUAUAGCAGUCGUUGGAUUGAUUUGGAGCCUCUGGUUUGGUCCAAGUUUCCACCUUUAGUUGCAUGUUCUAUUACUUUUGAAUAGAACCCAUCAUUUAUGAUUAUUAAUUAAUUAUCCCUUAAUUGUUGAUUUGGUUUUGUUUCUUGUAAUCGUUGAUUUCAUUUUGUUGCGUUUGAUUGGAGCUUUCAUCAUUUGGGACACGAAAAAUUCAACAUAAAAAUUCAUCAUUUGCGUUUGAUUAACUAUCGUUAAAAAAAUAAUGUAGACGUGAGAAAAAAAAGGGUAAAUGGGUAAAAAAAAGGAUAAACGGGCGAAAAAUAUGGGUAAACAGGUAAAUGGUUAUGGUUAUGGUUAAAUGGAUAAAUGGUUCUGGGUAAAUGGGUACACGGUUAUGGGUAUGAAUAACCGUUUAUAAACGGUUAUGGUUAUGGGUAUAACCAUUUAUGUAAUUACCCAACGGGUAAACGGUUAUGCGGGUAUGAACAUAAACGGUUAUGGGUAAAAUAACCGCGGUUACCCGCCCGCAUAACCAUUGCCCAUCCCUACUUCAGCAUGGAACCAGCUUGCUUUUUCCUCAAUGCCGCCUUCGAGGCUUCGUAAAAUUGCUCUGUUUGUCAGGCCUCAUAGAUCUCAAGCUACCCGACACUCAAUUUGUACUUUCACCUUUCGAAACCAACUGCUGCUCGCUAUCUGGACCAAGCUCUGAUUUGGAAGAUGUUUCAAUCUCAAAACCCUACGGUAAGGCCUUUCAAUGUGAUCCACACCGAAAGCAUUGGCCUCUUGCAUACUUGAGCGCGUAACCAGAUGAAACUUGGUGUUUCUUGCAUGGGAUUGCAUACGAAACCCCAUUCAUUCCGACAUCAUACAAGAACUUCUACGGAGCCAUGAAAAACCACAAGGGUAUGUGUGGAGCCAAAAAUAUUCACUAGGCGAUACAUGGACUUUUGGACAAAAGAGGACAAAAAUACCCUCGAGGUAUACCGGGUUUCCUACACGCGAGCAGUGGAGAAUCAUCCAUCAACCAAGUCAGGAGUAUCCAAAAUGGGUAACAAUUCAAAACCUAUUUCAUUCCAUAUAUGUUUUUACCCCAUUUUUUCCUUAUUCAAUUAACCAUUUAUUUCAAACAUUCCAUAACAUCCUCAAUCAAUUAAAUUAUCAAUUAAAAGCCAAAAAUCACCCUAAAAGCCGUUGGUCCUUCUCCAAAAUGGGGGCCGGCCAUUCCCUUUGAUUUCCUACCACAAUUUGCCUUUUUUUACAUUGGUUAGCUAAUCUUUUCAACCAUUAUUUGAUUGAUUAGCUGAUCAUGCCAUGAAAGUCAUAAAAACAUUCCCUUUAUAUUGAUAAUUAACCAAUUAAUAUAUUAUUCUUAAUUAAUAUAUUAAUUGCUAAAUUAAGCCACCUCCUAUCCCUAUAUAUAUGCUCCCAUUUCCACCAAAAACUCAUUCCAAUUCUCUUACAAAAAAAUCACAAAUACUCUAAACACUAUUUCUCUCUAAAAUUCUAACUUUGGUAUCGGAGGUUCUUCGGCCAAAGCCCCCCCAUUCAUCGUGGGCGCGUGAGGCUUUUGGCCUUAACCUAAGGUGCUAGUUGUUUUGUAGGUGCAAAAUCGUCCAAGAUCGAGGAGGAGAAAAUUUGCAUCCACAAAUUGGUGCUUUCAUUGAGAGUUGAAAUCCAUACUCGUAGAAGACUCUCGCACAAAAAGGUUUUUUCUUUAUUUUCUAGUCCAUUUGAAUAUUUUUCAUACGUUCUUAUUAUUAGAAUUUUUUACUUGCAAAGGUUCUUUGAUAAAACGUAUAAGCAAAAUAUAAUGGCUAGAAAUUUAGAAAAUUCCACAAGUGAAAAUUCUAAUGUUCAAGAAAUGGGAUUGCGGAGAUCCGUGAGGCUAAAUGCGACAAUAAGGGGAGCGGCAUCAUCACGAGCUUCCACCAUGGGAACCACCGUGGUGGCUACCGAGGUAGCCACCCGCGGCGAGGUCCAUGGUGCCUUCACCACGGCCACCAUGGGAACCACCGCGGUGGCUACUUCGGUAGCCACUCGUGGCGAGGUCCAUGAAGCCUUCACCACGGCCCGGAGAUCCGUGAGGCAAAAUGCGACAAUAAGGGGAGCGGCAUCAUCACCACAAGCUUCUACCAUGGGAACCACCGUGGUGGCUACCUCGGUAGCCACCCGCGGCGAGGUCCAUGGUGCCUUCACCACGGCCACCAUGGGAACCACCGCGGUGGCUACUUCGGUAGCCACUCGUGGCGAGGUCCAUGGAGCCUUCACCACGGCCCGAGCCGUGCCAUCCAAGGCUCACGGUACCAAGACCACGAUCCAAGCCGUGUCAUCCAAGUUUACGUGGACCCAAGCCCAAGCCUCGCAUUCACAUGCACCGCGCAUUUAGCAGCCUGCUCCAGUGAUCCAGCAUGCUCCCGUCAAGCAACCCACUCUCACGGCUCAACCUGCUCCUGCCGAGCAGCCUGCUCUCGUGACCCAGCCUGCUCUCGACGAGCAACCCACUCUCGUGGUCCAGCCUGCUUCCAAUGAGCAACCCACUCCCGUGGCCCAGCCUGCUUUCGUCGAGCAGCCCACUUCGGUGGCCCAGCCUGCUCCUGCCAAGCAGCCCACUCCCGUGGCCCAGCCUGCUCCUACCAAGCAGCCUGCUCUCGUGACCCAGCCUGCUCCCGACGAGCAACCCACUCCCGUGGUCCAGCCUGCUUCCGUCGAGCAACCCACUUCUGUGGCCCAGCCUACUCCUGCCAAGCAGCCUGCUCUCGUGACCCAGCCUGCUCCCGACGAGCAACUCACUCCCGUGGUUCAGCCUGCUUCCGUCGAGCAGCCCACUCUCACGGCCCAACCUGCUCCUACCGAGCAGCCUGCUCUCGUGACCCAGCCUGCUCCCGACGAGCAGCCCACUCUCACGGCCCAUCAUGCUCCAGUGGCUUUCCAAGCAGCCCAAGUCGACCCAAGACUAUCUCAACCAUCCGGACCUACCAUCGAGCCGGGGGCAUUCUCACCACAUGUUUUCGUAGAUUUGACAUUUCCCAACUCAAAUCUCGCGCCCGGAGUCUACCACCUUUCCACUGCCCAAUGAGGCGUAUUCCUUCCAAGCUAUUCCAAUCCAAAUGGCGAACAACACUUGUCUCGACAAGUCAUAGAGUUGACGAGCGCCCUUGCACAACAGAAAACCUUGGUGAAUCAACUUUUGCAACGUAUCGGGAUCCAACGUGCCCCGGACGAAGUAUCCCAAAGUAGGACAAGGGCAGACGAACAUUUCCAGCAGCGUCCCGAUAAGCAGCCACUCGACCAGCCACGAGCCGAACGUUUGGGCAGUGUACAUUCCCGUCUUAGAGCGCGAAGGAGCAUGCACUCUCGACUAGGCCCACGGAGGAGCAUACAUUCACGGUUGGGGUCAUACUCCGAUGAUAGUCAACAUGAGCAAACCUUCCGGGCAAAGUGUCUAUUCGCAGCUAAGCCCACAAGGAGCGUCUUCCACCUCACAUCAGAGUAGGCAGCACGACGGACGGAGAGAAGUAGUCACUCAAUCCAGCUCAAGUUCAACCAGCAGCCUGCGAAGAACUCGCUCGCCUACUAGGAACUCACCACAUGCACUGCAUCUGCGGCAUAGACGAGCCAAACACAUGGAAGAGCAGCUUAGACCAGCAAGUCAUGACUGGGGGCAGCCGAGAGCUUUGCUACCCCAACAAAGGCAAAUUCAGGAAGAAGUAGAGAGACUCUUGACCAAGCGAUUGCAUGAUUUCCAACGCAACGAGGUCACCGACGAGGCACUACGACGGAACAUAACCAACAUAAGCAGGUCACCCUUCACGGAGGAGAUCGAGCAGGCAGAGCCUCCACGCGAGUUCAGCAUGCCACAUUUCACAUCUUUCAAAGGGGAUGAACACCCGGAGAGACACUUAAAACGUUACCAAAGCGCAAUGAUCCUUUAUCGAAACAACGAUGAUCUCAUGUGCAAGAUAUUCGCCACCACUCUACAAGGCGAGGCGCAAGAUUGGUUCUACACCCUGCCGCCACAAUCCAUCCGAAAUUUCUAUGAACUUUCUUUGGUUUUCACCAAAGAAUAUUCAUCUUAUCGCUCGAUCAAAAAGAAGUCUGACCAUUUGUUCGAAGUCAAGAAAAACCCAAAGGAAUCGCUUCGCGACUAUGUGAGGAGUUUCAAAGUAGAGAAGGCAAAAAUAGUUGGAUGCAACGACUCGAUAGCUAGAGCAGCCUUCCAAAAAGGACUUCCGGCAGACCACCCGUUAUUCGGAAAAUUGAUCAUGAAAGAGGAUCUAACUCUAGCAGACUCUUUUGCUUUGGCAGAGAAGCAUGCACUUUGGGAUGAGGCUCGCCAAUGCACAUUCAAGAACCUGAAGAAGUACCCGACAUCACCUCCCUAGAAGCAGCGGAGGGCUUAUUCGCAUGUUUGACGGUAUCUAAAGUAGCAAUAAGCUCUACCAUCAUGCGAGAAGAGCUGGGGGCCCGACUACCUAUAUUCCACAGUUUAAAAGCUCUCCUCGAUGCUAUCAGUUGUAUUCCACAGUUUAAAAGCUAUCAUUGAUGUUAUCAGAAAUUCAAAAGCUAACUUUGGCGAUUGUUGUUGUAACCUAAAAGCUUAAGUUUUACCUUCAAACGCACGCAGUCAUCCUAAUGACGUACUAUUCUGCCCAAUCCAGACGCGUGACGAUAAAGGCGUAGACCCUGGCGGAUGUAAAGUUUUCUGACGAACGCAACACUGGAAGGACACACUCGAAAGCAAGUUUUGUCCUCGUCACCCUAAAAGAUUCUACAUAGGAGCAACAUGUACCGGCAGUUGAGUACCAUUUCUUGCUGCGCAUCACACGGCCCUAGCCGACCCUUGCUCAAUGAUUCAACUCUAGAGUGGCCCAAUACCGGCAGUUGAGCAUCUCCUGUUGCGUAUGACAUGGCCCCAUCUCCACAGCUCCCUACUGCGUCUUCACGCCGAGCCUAGGUGACGCAACAGAGCGCCCAACGAUGCCUCAGAAGUAGCCGAGCACACUCUAGCUGCGCCUACUCCACCCGAUGGAGACUUCUGGCAUUUACAUGUCGACGACGCAGAAAAGCCUUCAUCACUGCCGGCAGAGAAGGCUCCAAAAAGAUGGAUCCCAUCUAGGAAGGUCCGUACAAGAUCAGCAGAGUAGGGGGCAAGAGUAAUUACACCCUCACCACCAUGAAGCGGCAAAAAGAUUGAAAAGAAAUGAAUGGCCUACAAUCUGAAGAAGUACCAUGUGUGACCUCCCGCUACAUCAAAACCCGAAGACUCAAUAAGCUCGACGGGCACCACCUCACAAGCUGAGGACUAUCCAGUUGUUAUGCAGUUCCUACCUUACAGCUAAAGUUCUCGUUCGUUUCACUCGUUUUUCAAUGAGGAAUUUAGAAGUAAUCACAACUUGGCUUGGCUGCAUGCUUACAACAACUAAUCACUCAUGCACUUCAAAAGAAGACUGCGCCCUUCUUAGGGACUCAUCGCAGGAAUUGCACCCCCCGAGGGACCAACCAUGCUCUCCAGUGCGAGAGGGUAAACCAAUUCUCCGACACCCAUAUGGGUCGGCUCUCCAAGACGGGAGGAUAAACUUUACACUCCGAAUAUCCAGACGUGGAUGAGCCUGGCUACCCUAGUAUAACUAGAUGCACGAUGGCUUGCGCCGGGAUUCCUAGAAGUAGCCGCAAUGGUCUUUUUCAAGGCUUAGCUAACUGAAGGAUUUUGGGUCUCUUGGCCUAAUCCGUGGGGGAACCGGGCCCUAGAGACGGAGAGGGCACAUUACGCAGUACAUCCGAUGGACGGCUGCCCUGGAAUCCUAAAGCUGCUACCGAGUGCACUAAGGUAGCCUACGGAUUCCGGAAGACUGCCUACGGCUUGCCCCUUCGAGCAGUGAAGCCGCACUAGACUUAUACAACCGCACAUUCUUGUGAAAGGUUAAACAAGCUAGCGCGCAUAUACGAAGUUUUAUCCACUGCCGACAUGCUACGUAGUCGAUAAGCUUCACCUCUGCCAAGCGCGGAACAACCUACACCAAGUCCUAAAGUGUUGUGAUACUUGCUACGCAACCUACGGAAUUGAAAAAAGUCAAGGUUAACAGCCUAGUGGUUACGCGGACUUGUCUGCUUCUGUAAGUAAGGCAUCCGGCUGCCAACCCAAUGGCUAACAACUUUGCAAAGUUCUACACCAACACCUACGACUGCAUAGGCUACGCGAGCUUGUCUGCUUAUAAAAAAGUAGCAUGCUUGCCACUGGUCUAUCAAGUCUAAAGGUUAGGGCAUGAACAAAAGAAGAAAAAAUGAAGAAAAACGAAGGAAAACAUGUUUAUAAACAACUAGCAAAGGCCGAAGGAGUUCAAGCAAAACAAGAGCUACAAGGAAAAACAAAGAAAAUCCUAAAGGCUACCUAAAAUACUACACUACAGCAGGUUGGACAUCCCACGACUACUUGGUCGCCACACCUUCAGUAGCCGUAACGCUCUUAGCAACGGCAUCAUCCGGUGUUUCACCCCCGGCUGCCCCAGCCUGGGCACUAACUUCUCCAACUACUUCACCAAUGGAAGCCUUAAAAGUAAAAGCAAGCAAGUCUUCCGGAGAAAUAGAGAAGCUCAUCCACUCCCUUUUUAGCAUAAGCAGCGAAACGAAGCUCAGAAACUGCAAACUUAAGAUCUUGAAUCUGAGGCGAAUCAAUCUCAGCAGCAAAGGGAGUAGGCUUUGGCGCCACUUUAGCAGCAGAGUCCACCUUACCACUCUUCAUAAUAGCAAGUCUCUACAAAGGUGAACCGGACUUGGCUCCCAACGAACGUCCUAGUACAGACUUCGGCACUGGGGCAUGAUAAAACCUUUACGUUGAGCAAUCUUAUCAACAAUUGUACUAGCCAUUCUCAACAUGGAAGACGCCACAUGCUCAGAUCUAGCAGCCUUAUUUUUCUUCCCAUUGGAAGAAGUCAUGUCAAUCACAUACCUCUCGGUAGCAGGCGGACCCUCAUGAGCAGCGGAAGAAGUCUUCAGUUUUUUCUUAACUGGCAUCUCAUGAGCAGGCAGGGAAGAUUUCUUUUUUCCAUCUUCAUUCAUAGUAAGCUCCACGACAGCGAUCAGACAAGCCAAUGCAUCCGCCUUGAUCCUCUUUACCUCUUCUUUCGGGAGCAGCCCACCUUUCUUUCAGCAAAGAGGACUAAGCAGCUAACGACAUUCAUGGUACUCAGCAUGGGAGCUCAACCCAGCAUUCCAGCAGGCAGGAGGCCUGCAUGCCCAACAUUCCAGCAGCCCAUGAGACCCGCAAUCUCCUCAUUUCUCUCAAUCGCCAGCCUGGCCCGAGUCAGGUCCAAGAGCCCAAAGGACAUGAGCCAUGCGGCUCGCCUAGCACUGCGCCCCAGCGCCACAAUCCGCGACCCUAGCUGCACAAGCUGCAUUUUGGCUCAAGCCAAACCAAGCUGCCCAAGCAGUAGUCCCUGCCACGACAUCUCCUCGGCCCAUGCCGAGCCAACUCUUGGCCCCUGUCAGCCGACGUGCCGCACCACCCCGACGGCUGCCCUGCAAUAGCACUAUCCAAGAAGAGGCAAGAAAAAUUAAAUUUUUUCUUACAUUGGUGCGGCACGGAGAAGACGAAGAAAUCAACGAAAGACGGUCUUUUGCACGGGCAAGAUGUAGAAGAUUGCUAGAGGAGGGGGAACAAAUAUCCUCUAACUUUCUCUCUCUUGUUGGGUAGAAUAAAUCGCUCUCCAAAUUUGAUUUAAUAACCCACUUAAGGUGGACUUAAAUAGGCUUUGAGAGAAAUUUAUUUCCCUUUCCUAGAAGGAUCUAAUUUCCUAUUAAAGAGAGAAUAUACAUCAAAUUAGGAAGCAGUCUUAAGUUUCCUAAAGCAAGAAGAUCUCUACACCUGCUGCCCUUUUCUGCGAGCAGCCCAACAGGUGUGGGGCAUUUGUGGAGCCAAAAAUAUUCACUAGGCGAUACAUGGACUUUUGGACAAAAGAGGACAAAAAUACCCUCGAGGUAUACCGGGUUUCCUACACGCGAGCAGUGGAGAAUCAUCCAUCAACCAAGUCAGGAGUAUCCAAAAUGGGUAACAAUUCAAAACCUAUUUCAUUCCAUAUAUGUUUUUACCCCAUUUUUUCCUUAUUCAAUUAACCAUUUAUUUCAAACAUUCCAUAACAUCCUCAAUCAAUUAAAUUAUCAAUUAAAAGCCAAAAAUCACCCUAAAAGCCGUUGGUCCUUCUCCAAAAUGGGGGCCGGCCAUUCCCUUUGAUUUCCUACCACAAUUUGCCUUUUUUUACAUUGGUUAGCUAAUCUUUCAACCAUUAUUUGAUUGAUUAGCUGAUCAUGCCAUGAAAGUCAUAAAAACAUUCCCUUUAUAUUGAUAAUUAACCAAUUAAUAUAUUAUUCUUAAUUAAUAUAUUAAUUGCUAAAUUAAGCCACCUCCUAUCCCUAUAUAUAUGCUCCCAUUUCCACCAAAAACUCAUUCCAAUUCUCUUACAAAAAAAUCACAAAUACUCUAAACACUAUUUCUCUCUAAAAUUCUAACUUUGGCAUCGGAGGUUCUUCGGCCAAAGCCCCCCCAUUCAUCGUGGGCGCGUGAGGCUUUUGGCCUUAACCUAAGGUGCUAGUUGUUUUGUAGGUGCAAAAUCGUCCAAGAUCGAGGAGGAGAAAAUUUGCAUCCACAGUAUGCAUGGACUGAAAAAGUUAUUAAGGUUGUUGAAGAGGUAAGGAUUUUCCCUAGUUACGCUCACCAUGUCGCUACCAGUGACCAUGUUGGAGAAGUACUCAAGAGGAUUUACAUGAUCCCCGAUGAUCGCUUCACAUUAUUCUUAACGGGGUUGAUGAGGAGGUUUUCAAGCGGGACAUUGCCUUGAGAAAGGAUUUUAGGAGAAAGUUUGGGGUGCUGGAAUCUAAGACUAGUUCUGGGAAUGGCUGGGAGGUUGGUGAGGGAUGAAGGGCAUCCGCUGAUGUUCGAAGCGUUGAAGCAAAUUCUCAGAGAAAAUGAUGCGUUUAGGCAAACUGUUGUUGUUCUGGUUGCCGGGAAUGGUCCUUGGGGUGCAAGGUACAGAGAUCUUGGAAUGAAUAUACUUGUUUUGGGACCACUGGAACAAGCUCAGCUUACUGAGUUCUACAACGCAAUUGAGCAAUUGAUAUUUUCGUGAACCCAACUCCUCUCGUCAGGUAUUGCAUCAUACAUUGUUGGAAACAAUGCUCUCAGGGAAGCCAGUUAUGGCAACAAAGCUUGCCAGCAUUACAGGCUCUGUCGUUGUUGGCAAAGAACAGUAGCGUCACUAAAGAAGAUCCUCUAUAGAGUUUGGAGUGAUGGCAGAAGAGAUUUGAAGCAGAAAGGCCGGGCAGCAAGACAGAGAGGAUUGCAGUUGUUCACUGCAAAGAAAAUGGUGGCUGCUUACGAAAGGCUUUUCCUCUGCAUAUCCAAUGAUGAGAAAAUUGGGGAGAACUAUUGUCAAUUUCAGAUUCCAUGACAGUAACUUAGCAGAUGACUAAUACUUAUAUAGCCCCCGAUUGCGGCAUCAUCUUGUCACCGAAAUUUCAGUGUUAGAAACAAAGCUUUUCUAACAAGGAACCGGCAUAAGGAUAAAAGGCUAGAUAGCUGUACCUUAUACAUUCUGUGUUGAAGUUAAGGAACCGGCAUAAGGAUAAAAGGCCAGAUAGCGGUACCUUAUACAUUCUGUGUUGAAGUUGUAAGUAUCUUUGACAAUUUGGAUAUACAAACUGGCUGAUUGGCCAGGAAUCUUGUGACAGUUGUUCUCUGCUAAAAUUCCAUGCAUCAUCUAAAUCUUUCGAACGAACAAGGUUCGAGCUUUGCUUGGCCAGCAACUAUGAGCACUUUUAAUCUAAUGGAAAUGCAUUACUCUUAACAAACCGUAAACGCAUCAUAAUACAAAACACAUUGCAUAAGAAACCGUAGUCACUUCAAGCAUAUAUGUUCACAAUGAAAGAGCAACGGGCUCAUAUCAUUCGCCCGUGAGUCCUCCACAGGCUUUAAUUUAACAGGGUAAACAACUUUCAAACUACACACAGAAACAUAGUUCGGCGGAGAGUAGUAAGAACAUUACAUUUUCGGAAACCAUCUUCUUGAUAAAAAGUCCAAUGGAACAGUUGACCAUACCGACAUAAAAGCUUGCACUUCCUGUCCAGCGUCUUUAGCAGCCAAUGCGCACAUCAGCCACUUAUUUAUAUUACACUUCCAUACUUAAAACCCCAGGCCUAGUGAAUUCCUGCAAAACAUAAAAUCUUCUUAGAUCAGCUCCUUGCGUGAUAUCUUUACAGUAUGCCAGGCUUCAUGAAUUCGUAUAAAUUGAAAAGAGUAAAAUAUAUUGUGACUAUUUAUCUUGUGAAAGGGAGAAAAAUCAAUGCUAAGAGACGUUCUGAUCUGUUAAAGUGUUGAAAUAAUAAGAGAAUUUAUUUCGAGAAAUUGAUCUAAGAGUGAAUGAAUGUACCUUGAAAAUAGAUGAAGAAUUCAUAUGGCCAGUGAAGGGGAAGUCCUAAUAAUAGAGCGAACCUGCAGAAACGCAAGUCAGAAGUUCAUACGCUGAUCUCCUCUUCAAUGUAGCUCUAAAUUAUUAAUACUACUAAUUUCAUCUCCAAUAUCAGUACCUUGCCACCAAUUUCCUCGGGCGGCACUGUUCGAGUUGGUUCCAUUUGGAUCAUCUUCUCCCGCAUCUUUCUUGAACUAAUUCAGUCAGAGUAACAAACAGAAUCAGUUUUUCAUAUCCUUUUAUCCGUUAAUCAUGUUGAUAGCGUUAAUACUACAGUACAAGUCUGUAUAUUAUGUGAUCAACUCAUCAAGACUCACUAUAGGAUAGGAUCCAGAGGCAUGGGUCCUUGGGGACUGGGAAUACACCUCUUGCCCACCAUAGUAAAUAGAUGAACUUAGAUAACAUGGUUCUGCUCUUUCUUCCUGAAGGACUGAACUCCGGUCCUUGUUGGGUACGCUAUAGCGUGCACCUUCGCUACUUAUAGCUAUAUAGUUCGAGAAAAAGGCAAAGGCCGAGGCAAUAAACUUUAAAAACAAAGAUCAAUAUCUAACAUCAAGAGGUUGUAGAGAAUUGCAAAAGCAACAUACGAUAAUCUAUAUACAUAUACAUAAAGAAAGCGUUAAAGGUUAAACAUUCAAAAAUCCAUUAAAUGCCCUUUUUGUUAAUGAAAAUGCUAAAAGAGAAAACACUUCAUUAUAUAUGGAUAUAAUAUCACAUUAACAAACUCUUAAAUUGAAAAAUGAAAACAAAAAUAUGUCCAGAAAGUGUCGAAAAGAAUUAGGCAGGGAAUCUGAUGACGAUGGAACAUAAUCGUAGCAGAGAUUAAACAGUACAGUUCUAAUAACUUAAACUUCUAUCAAAGUAGAAAUGUUGCCUAUCAAACAAGAUUUCUUCCAGUUAGGAGUAAUACAAGAAAUUCUACAUUAAUUAGGCAUAAAUGAUCCAAUAAAGUUCGUUAGUCGGAAACUUUGGACAUGGUAGAACAGAAAACAAAGAAACUAAAAUCAACAUGAUACAAACCUGCAGUACCUUGCUUGGUGUUCCGUGCAUGAUUUCUCAAGGACUGCUGCUGCCAAUAUUCUGUCAGCUCAGAGAUUGAAGAGUUCCUCCCAACCACCUUAAAAUUAAAUCAGGUAAAAAAUGUCAGAUACUAGAGCAUAUAUUCAACAGAAGAUCUAGUAGUGGCCAAAGACACUUUCAGUGGACGGAACACUAACAAGCAGAGGUGUACAAUGGGCCGGACCGGCCUGGAUCCUUCAAAAGACCAGCCCGCUUAAGGACGGCCAUUUGUACACCUCUAUUCACAAGCCCCUCACUUUUCCAACCACUAAGCUAGAGAAUAAUGCUAUACAAAGAGCUAUGAGCACUACGAGGAAAAAUAGUGCUUUUUUCUUUUGGGUUAUCAGCUUUCCCCCUUCUUACAAAAACUAACCAACAAAUCCACUAGGAACCCAAAUCAUGUUUUGCUUAAACAAACCAAAAAAACUUUUUCAUUUCCCCUUUUGGUAUUUCUCUGCAAUAUUUCACAUUUCCUUUCUAAGCAAUUUUCAAUUCACUAUUAUACAUAAAGUCCAGAAAUUAUAUAAAAAAUUAUAACAAGAAGCAUAUAUAUGCACCCAAUGAAUAAAGUUCAUCCUCUGCUUUCAAUUUUAAAUCAACCCUGAAUCCUCCUCGGGCUUACGCAAAUUAAGUGGAGCAGUGUGCCCUUAGUAUUCAAAUUUGAAUCUCCCUUUCCGUAUUGCUCAAGUUAAAAAAAAAAAAAAAACAGAAAGCAUAAAUAUGAACGCAGUAGAAGAAUCAUAACUACCUGUGAUGGAGGUGGGAAAAUGGAAGCAAAAAUCCCAGUAGAAGACUUGGGAGGAGAUUCCUUGGUACCAAAAAGAUCAGCAGUCAAUGAGGAACCUGAAUUGCCCGGCUUCUUAUUGUUACUCUCCAUUUUUUACUUCCUCUCUUUCUCUAAGUCAACCAGAAGAGCCAACUCCAGAAUAAAAAAGCACUUUCCAAAAAAGCAGCUUCCAAGAGAAAAACCCAGUUGAAGAAACAAAGCAGGUAAGAUUUGCAGAGGAAGAAAGAAAUCAGACAGAAAGUUGAGAGAGAGCACGGGGUGAAGAUGAUGACACACAGAGUAUCCAAAACUCAAAAUUUAUAUAGGCACUUGCUGUAUAAAAGAUGGUACUGCAUGUAGUGCCGCUCAUGUGCCAUCUUCACCCAAAGAAAAACAAACGCUCUUCUGUUUUCAUGCAACCAAAGAUUUGUUUCUCCUCAUCAAAAAAGAUUUGGAACUUGCCCUUCUGUUUUCCUCACUAUAAUCAUCUUUUUUUUUUUUUGGUUGAACACUAUAAUCAUCUUUUCCCCACAAACAUAAUGGAUAGGUGCCACGUGGGCUCCACUCCUUUUGCCAAGUGGAUGUACAGUAGUGCCAUAUUAUUUUGAGAGAGAUCAAAAUUUUAAACCAAAUUGCGUGUCACCAAUAGGAAAUAAGCAUGUGAAUCAACAUUUAACUAAUAAUUCAAUCAUCAACAACCAUAUCAUUUGAUUUAAAAUAUAAAUCGAAUUCAGAACUUUCAUACUAACGAUGACAAUUUCUGUAUUGAUACUGUGGGGUAUCUUCAUCUCAUCUCUCUCGAGCACUCUAGGCCUGGACUCGACUUUUAAUUCCUCUCGCCCAUUGGCCCCCAUUGUUUGAUCAUAUUCUGUGGGAUGUAUGAGUUGAUGACUUCAAGUGAGGGAUAGGAGAAAUGAAUCUCUGAAAGCUUCUGUUCCCACCAAGUGGAUAAUCAGAUAAGCUUUGCUUUGUCCGAUAUGCUUCAUGGUCCAACAUUCUCUUGCUAUUGAUAUCAAGGCACGAUUCAUGAGUAAACCCACCAGUGUUAUGUAGGACCAUAGCUCUUGAACAUGUAGAAAACUUAGAUAAAACUUGUGGUGUUAUAAGUGCAAAUCGGAGCAUAUUAUGUACUGGAAUCUUUGGCAGUUGAAUUUGAAUCUUCACACUCAAUUACGUAAAAACUUUAAAGUAGAUGCUCAUAUAUCAGAACAAAUUAUCCACUUGCUGCGUCCAACCUCCACACAAGCUUCCAUCUGACGUUCUUAUGAGGAUUGGAAUCAAUACCCUGAGAUGUCAUGAAUAGGAAAAAGGCAGAUUGUGUGAACAUGGUAUUAUGAAUGUAAUUUUGUUUGGAUAUGGGUUUUGGUUUGAAGUGGGACUUGUUGUACUAAGUGGGAUGCUUACGACAAAGUUGGUACAAUUAUUUGGUUUGAAAGAAUAUGUAUGGGUUUUGGUGAUUCAUUUUAAAGCUGGAUGUGUCACUUUUGCUUACUAUAUAGGUCAGUUGGAUUUCUUCAAUAAAAAAUUCCCAUGCUUUGGUCUUUAGUGUGAAAAAUACGUUCGAGUUGUAGUAUGAAUUUAGUGAGGGAAGAAAGAGGAAGAUCGGUCAGAGAGAAGAGAAUUGCUUGAGGAAUUCUUGAGUGUGAUAUUCUUUUGUAUCUUUAUUUAUAUUAACAAGGGAGAGAGAACCUUGUUUCCUAAGUAAUACAAGUUGUACGAGGAAAUAUCUUCUCAAUCUCUUCGUAAUGAUCCCAAAUCAGUUGUUAUUGUCUACUUGAAAGAUUGGCUUCAGGCAAAUAUGGUUUCCUCCAUAAAGCCCCUUCGAACACACGCUUUUCUUCAUUGGGAACCUCCUCUUGAGGGUUGGGCAAAGCUUAAUGUUAAUGGUGUCGCAAGGGGGUGGCCAAUUUCAUUGGUGUUGGUGAUGUCCUUAGAACGCAUUGGGGACAUGGGCCUUUAGUUUUUGUGCUAAUCUUGGUCGAGGUGAGAUUUUAAGUGCUGAAGUUUGAGGUGUUUUUAUUGGGUCGCAGCUUGUGUAGACUAAUGGAAUUAAGAAGAUUAUAGUUGAAUCGGAUGCUGCACUUGCCCUACAAUUGAUUUUAAAUGCAUAAAUAGAUAAUCACCUUAUGAGAAGUUUGGUAUUGAAUUGUCAUGCACUUAUGCACCAAGUUGGUCUUGUGAAAUUUGACGUAUUUACCAUGAAAAUAAUUUUGUUGAUGAUGAUUUGGCUUGUUUGGGUUUGUCAUGCAAUUUGGGUUCGGUCUUUAUUGAGCAAGCUCAUCCUUCUUGUCAUCGGUCGUGGAUAUAACUGGAGUUUCGUGGCCUCGUAAUAUGUUUAUAGUUUUUCCUUUUCUUUCAGAUUUAUGCCCCGUUUUCAACAAAAAAAAUAAAGAAUAAAGAUAAUAACAAUCUAAAAGUAAAUGAGUAAAGUGUAAAAGAAAAGUAUUAUUUUCACUUUACUUUGAACAGAAAGGGAAGAAAUACGAAUUAUUCUCAUUCGAAUGUCUACUUGCAUUAUAAGAAUCAAAAGACAGUUGGAAUUCACAUAGGAUUCACAUGAAAGAAAAAUGUUAUUGGUUAUUCUUGGUUUUUGAGGAAUAAGACUUGGGGAACUUUUUUAUUAAAAAUAAUAUAAAAUAAGGGUACUUGAGAAUGGAAAAAAUUUCCACCAGACUUUCUCAGGAUCUUGAUCGAACCUUCUCAUUCUGUAUUUUCGGUUCUCUUUUUCGUUAUGCAAUGUUGCACAAUGAUUGGAAUCGUCUAUUUUCUAGUUCAACUUUUAAAGAUCAACUUUGUUGAAAAUCAAUCAAAUAAAAAAUCAUUAAUUGUUCGUUUAAUAUUGUUAAGAUUUAAUUGUUCUAACUGCAUAUCUUUGAUCUAUAUCAUUAGAUGACUAAAUGAGUUUGGAAUUGGUUGAUUUCUACUAGAGUUUUCAAGGGUGACUUAGAAAAUAACGGCAUAACUCAUCAUGCAACAUUGUAGAAUAAGGAGAGCCAAAUAAAUAGAACGAGAAAUUUCAAAUGAGAAGGAAAAAUCUUCAAAAAUUUGUUAAUCAAUGACUUUCUUAGCAAAGCACUGUUACUGGACAAUUCUCUAUCUUAGAAAGCCCAAUUUAAAUUCAGUCAGGCCCAGUCCAGUUUAAACCCGACCCAAAACCAAGUUAUAGUUAUUUCUAGGGCUCCUCACAUUAAAGCCCCUCAACUGCAUUGCAUCCCAAGUAUUACUGCAGCCUCCUAAACUUGGAGAGAUUAGCAGUACCAAGAUACAAAGGGUACAAAAACCACAGUCAAUCAUAUGUGCUCAUCUUUGUCAACAUAGUCAGGUCAAAAGUUUACAUGCCUACAAGAACAUGUACAAAAUAUGACAAGUUACGUUCCAAGAACUCCGAUCUUUGAUGCUCUAAAGAAGGAUAACAAUUUUACAUGUAUGGGAUAAACCACCUAAAGGUUUUAGCAGGCAAUCCAUUACCCUAUAAUCAGUUGGGAUACAACGAACCCCUCCAAUAAAGAGAGAGAUUUAAGCCCUGAAACCAUAUAACCUUCAAUCCGGCGAUGAAAUGAAUAUAACAUCUGUGUGGAGAGAAGCGCAUGCUAAUUUCUACAACAGAUUGAAGUAGGAGCAAAGCAUAGAAUACAGACCUCAGCCGCGCAUGCCAAAUAUCUCUUCCGGAGGAUCAUACACAUGCUGUUCGGGAAACAGCUCCUCAAAGUCUUGCUUGACUCUGUUUCUCAAAAGGGGGUGUGGCAGAAGUCCCUUUAACAAAAUCCGGAAUGGCAGCUCCUCUGGUGGAUCUGGAGACUGCUUCAUGUCCUCAUAAAUGUUCAUUGCAUCUGUAGGACAACCAGAGUUCAAAAAACCCCUGAUAACUUCUGUAUAUGUUUGAGAAUCAGGAAACAGAUCCUCCCUUUUCACGCUGUCCCACAGUAGCAUAACAUCCUCCAUUUUCUUAGAUCUUGCUAAUGCAAUAAUUAAGUCCUUAUACAGAUAGACAUCCGGUUUGUACCAGUCUUGCUUUCGAAUAACAUUAAAUACCUGAAAAUUCACCGAGUCGCUUGUAAUUCCAAUAAACAAAGACAUACGUUCAUUACAUACGUAGUUAAACAGAAAUAAAGAUGUGCAGUCUAGAAGGAAUUCAUUCCAAAUAAUGGUCUAAAUGUGCUCUGAUAAACAAGUCUGCAAAACCACAGCAGGAAAUAAUAAAUCCGCAAUUCAAAAUCAAACUAGUCUGGUUUCUCGUAGAUUCAAAUGGGAAAUAUGGCAGUGAGUGUUGAUAUGGUCGUCUUGACUCUCAUGAAUGAGAUUUCAACAUUUCACCAUUACUAGCUACUUCAAAUUCCAAAGAACUGUCCUCGCACCUAUAACUACAAGUGAAAACCACGUCACUCCGAUCACGAAAACCACGUCACUCCGAUCACGCUUUACCAUACACCAUGAACCUGCACUACUAACAGGAAUACCCAGAAACACUUACACUAAAGCUAAGCAUUGCUUCUAAUACUGUUAAACAUAUUGACAAAGCAUUACUGAAGGUGCCCAAGAUCACACAUUGAGUCAGGCAUUCAACCAAAUACAUAGCGUGCAACCCACGGAGCCCCAUUUCGCAACGACUGUAAACUAACAACACAUAGGUGGAUUCGCACAGCACAACUUCAACACCCAAAGUACAAAAAUUUCAGAACAACCCACAAGAUCAAAUGCAAAACAUUCACAAAAUUUAAACACAGAAAUUCGGUACCUUAAUUGCCAAAGCGACUUCUUCCUGGCGCUCGAGCUCAGUGAGAACAGCAAUCAUAUCCGUCUUCAACAGUCUCAAAACGUGGGUAUUUACAAACUUCCCGAGCUUCUCUUCCACGUCCUCGAACAGCUUCAAACCCGAGAUUACGAAAAGCGCUUCUUUGCCGAUCAGCUUUUUGCCCCUCCAGAGCGGUCCUCUGGGCCUCCCGUCGUGAUACAGCCUCAGCCCACAAAUGGGCCUCCAGGACUCGAGUGCUAGUUCUGUGGAUUUUAGAAGCAUUGGGUUUGAUUUGAUGGGCGUUGUUUUCAGGUUUUGGAGGAGUAUUGAAGAUAAAAAUGCGAACUUCGAUCGCGAAAAUGCACGAGUCGCCAUUGCCAUUGGAGGUGUGAUGAAGGGGACGAGUUGGUCAGUGAGAUUGAUGAACGGUGUUUGAGAAAUGAGAAUCUAACCCUCCUCCAAAAUCGUGUCACGAGUCGUUUAACUAACUAUGAUUACUUAAACAUUUAAUUAAGAGCUUAAUUGGAUUAAUAGUCUAUGUGGUGACAUGACCGUUGGAAGAUAAUUUUGCGGUAAUAAAAUAAUAUUUAAGCCCAUGUGGUGGAGCUUGUUAGAAUUAAUGCCUAAAAUUGAAAAUUCCAUCAAUUUAACAGAAAAGAAUAAUAACUAACUGAUUAAUAGUAAAAUUGUCAUUUACUCAAUAUCCUAUCAAUUAAACAACAGUAACGGUAGGGAGACUUAAUUUGUAAACAAAAUUUGCAAACUAAAUGAUGUGUCACCAAUAGUAAAUGAGCACGUUUAUCAACGCUUAAGUAAUAAUCUAAUCAUUAACUUCUAUAUCAUUUAGUUUACAAAACUUUGUUUACAAGUUUAGUUUCCCUAACAUUUCUCAUUAAACAAUUGUUCAAGUAUUUUUUUUAUUUUUUAUAAAGAUUUAAUUAAAUGAUGAAUACCUAUAGUUGGUUAAAUAGACACGUGACACGAUUCAGAAAGAAAGUAACGAUUACCUUAUAUUAGGAUAGUGAACAAAUACAGGCUCCUAUUACGAACUCAUGAACUGAAAAUAGUUGUACUUUUAAAAAUGCAAUCUCUUUUAAUCAUCUUUAACAAAAAUACUCUCAACUUACUAUUCAUAUUGUAUUAUCCAUAUUGUUAUUGGCAAUGAGGCUAGUUCAUAUAGUGUUUGGGAGCAACCUAUUUUUUUAUUUUGGCUUUGUAAUCUCAUGCGUUUUGAUCUCACGGGAACCUCAGCUGAAGAGACAACAGGGAUGGGGACACUUCCAAAAUGGACACGGGAACCUAUUUUUUUUAUUUGGUUAUUUUGGCUUUGUAUUAUCCAUAUAGUUAUUAACAAUGGCAUUGAGAUAAAGCUUGAAACGAGCGAUAAGGGUAAAACCCUAGUUGGUGCAACUUUCCAAUGAUGGGGAGGUUGGGUGGAAGAGGCGGCGACGGGGUUUUGUUGGUGGUGGUAGCCAGAUGCGGAGCCACAGUGGGGUCAAUGGGGUGGCACGACCCUUUGGAAGCCAUGGAAAUAACAUUGGAGGUCCCUUUGAGCUGCUGGUGCAACCCCCUGGAGUUGCUGGUGCGACCUCUUGGAGCUGCACACCACGUGUUCGAUGAAAUGUCUGAAAGAAGAAAAAGACUUCGGUUGCAGGUUGAAGAAGAAGGAAGGGCGCGCGCGAGAAGAAAAAGACUUCGGUUGCAGGUUCUGUGUAGAGUUUCGUUGUGUGCACCUCGUUAGUUUCAUAGUUGUAAGCCUGGCUCUUUCCUUAUCAUACUGUUCGUACUUGCAAAGUUUGCAUUUUUUUUCAAUUUGAGAUCUAAGAUUACAUUGAUGCUGAUUAGUUGUGGUAUUUUUGGUUGUCAGGGAAAGUGAAGGCACCUUUCAGUAUGGUAACUAUCGACGAGAGGCUGAUCGCGCUAUCCUACCAAGACCCGAUGAAAUGACGAUAUGCAUGCUGUUUCUGUUAAAAAAAAAAUUCGCGCUACGCGCACUAUCCUUAUUGACCCCCCAAACAUUAUUUUCUGGAUCCGCCAUUGGUGGUAGCCGAGGAGCACAGCCUGUAUAGAAGGAUGAGGAAAAUGGCCAGCAGUAAGCCCAAGGGUUGCAGAAAGGAGGAGGUUUCGUUCACCAGCGUCACUUCUAUCCUAUCACGGAAAAUUAGAAGUUGGUAGUAUGCAUUUCCCUGCACAUCAUCAAUAAAUAAGUGAGGAACAAUGAUGAAACUCAUGACCACUUGAAAAUAAAGUUCUGAUACAACCCUCAAUGACCUUUGGAUUCAAAAUUCAAGUUGUAUGCACAUGACGUUGUUAUCCGAGGUAUCCUAUAAAAUUUAACUUUAACGUGGCGGCUUAAACAUGUCACGAAAACAUGUUCCCAUGCCGUCUAACGAACGUCAUGUAGACAACAUGUCAGUUUGGGUGGCGUUUUGUAAUUGACAUAAAACUAGUUUUCAAUAUGGAGCAUUUUUAAUGAUGAAAAUGCCGAAAAUGUCCCCUUUGUACAAGUUUAGUGAAGGUGUAUACCAGAAACACUAUUAGUUUGCUAUUGAAACUUAUUUUCUUUAUCCAUGUAACAAAAAAAAAAAGUUACUAAAGAACAUAAAGCAUCUUGAUAUUGACAAGAGACCAUCAAAGAAAGGAAUUUUGCACUUCAACAUCUAGUAUUUAGCGAGAAAUUAUAGCAAAGUGUAAUAUUCGUACAUUACAAAUAUGAUAUUUGUCCGGUCAACUUUAUGUGAAAUAAUUGAGAAAGGGUAAACGUUACAGUUUAGGUAAGUGAAUGAUAUGACCAGUAACAUAACUAAAAUAUUUUGUUUACUCAAAAUAAAUAGAAAAAAACUUAAAUUCAUGAAAAUUUGAAUGAAUGAGCAUUCAGAUAUUCACUAGUCAUACAAUCUCAAUUUGAGUUAUAUAUUAGUGAUUAACCAACUUAGUUCCUCAUAAGAAAACAAUUCCUACACUGCACACAAAUGCUUCGAUUAGGAAAAUUGCCAGCUAUAUAUGUGAAGGCCAAGGGUUGCAAAAACGAUGUUUUGUUCAACGGCUUCAUAGUCCUAUGUAGGAAACGAAAUUGUGUGUUUGGGUGUGUCCGCUGCACUUGUUUGUUUAUAUAAAGGUAAAGAUCAUCCUGAUACAAUGUAGUAGAAUAGGCCAAAGGUUGCAGAAAAGAGGAGGAGGUUUCAUUCGCCAGGUUGGUUUUCUCACGAGGUUUUGUAUAUGGACAAGGAUUGUCUGCCCUCCUUGUUCUCGUGCUCUCCUGUAUCCUCAUGUUUUGUGUGGUUAAAGUUAAGACACGUCAACAUUUUAUAUUAUUUUUUUAUAGAGAUAAUAAGACAAAAAUGAAUAGUAAUAUAAAAUGUUGAUGUGGCUUAACCGUGACUACACAAACAGGAGAGCAUGGGAGGGCACGGGAACAAGAAUGGCAGACAAUCCUUGUCCUUUGUAUAUAAUUCAAUGUUCAGUGGGUGCGUUUGGUACGUGGGACGGGACGGGAAGGAACGGGACGAGGCGUUCCGUCCCGAGUUUGGUGCGCCAAAAAUGGGUGGAACGGGCUGUUCCACGGGACAGAUUUUGGAUGUUUUUGCGUCCCACCUCCCCCCUGGAACGGGUUUGUUCCACGUCUGUGGAACACAAUGUUUUACCAUUUGAAGACAAAUAUACCCCAUGUCUUUUCAAAAAUUAUACCUUCGUUCCGUCUCGUCAUGUUCCUUCCCGUCUGCGUACUAAACGCAUCCUGAGAUGACUUUUCUACUGACCGAAUCGCUUUUUUUAAUUGAAGGAAUCGGGGCUUCCGGCCCGCUGGUCCCACUGGAGAGGAGAGUUUUGACUGCGAGGGCGCGUCUUAUGGCAUAGUCCUGUCGUAUCUAGGAAAAGAAAAUGUGUGCAUCUGCGUGUGCUUUGUUCGUGUGUUUAUAUAAAGGUCAUCUCAGUCUCCCAGUAUAUUAUUUUAAGAUCAUCCAUGAUUUCAUAUGAAAACAAAAAUAAAGUGCUAAUUGCUAAAAAAAGCUUGCAUGUGCGUGUGUAUAUAUAUAUGUAUGUAUAUUUGUGAAUUUCAAAUUAUUGAUCGAUACAUAUGAGCUAAAACAUUAAUAGUUCUUGACAUGUCCUCGAUCUCGAUGUCCUCGGGAUAUCGAGAUGGUCACGUGCUGGCUGACAUCCGAAGGGUGAUGAAAGUCAUUUAAUUAAUGCAAAUGCUAUGAACAUGUGAAACAUGCAUAUAAAUUGGGUUUAUUCAUGCAAUAGGAACGUAUAACACAAAACUUAAGUUCAACUAUCAACAAUGAAAUAUUAAGAUAAUGCAUGACAUGUUCAGAGCAUACGUCUAAUAUAGAGUACACAUGAAAAUUUAAGAUAGAAAAGUGCUAUUACAAUAGAUGUCGAAGUAGAGAGUAAAUAGCACGAUAUCACUGGUAGGGGAAUGCCUCGAAGCUCAUAUUGUAUUCCUCAUUCCUAGGUCUUAAAUGGGGCACAAAACAAACAUGAGUGGACCAAAUUGAUAUAUAUAUAUAUAUAUAAUAAAACAAUUAUCAACAUACUAACCCCCAUAUUUUAAGUGGCUUAUUCAAUACAAAAUCAGUUCAUAUUUUUGCAAAUUUCAGAGAUGCUCACGGAAGAACAGGGCUUCACUGGGCGUCCUAUUUUGGAGGAGAGGAAACUGUCAUUACAUUACUUCGAUUGGGCGCCGCUGCAUCUUUCCCAGAUCAAUUUCACGUGGCUAGUUCAAACUUCACUUGGAUACUCCAGAGUUCAGUUUGAGGGGGGAGUAAUAACUGAUAUAACAAAAAGGGGUAUUAUUGUAAUUAGGUUAUAUGGCUAUAUAAGGGAUUGUUUAGCUAUCAUUUCUUUAAGUUCUUUUGUAUACAUUUUCUCCAUUUUAAUCAAUACAAUCUUUCUGGUUUUUCUCUCUAUCAUCUUCAUCUUUAUUUGUACCAAUUCUUCAUCUUUUACAAUGUAGUUAAUAAUUAGUAAGCCUCACAAAAAUUUCGCUUAAAUUCAGAAGGGAUGAUGACGAAUGCUUUAUCUUGCUGAUCAUGGAUAUGGUUUCCUCUUCUCUCACCGAGCGAAAAGACCGAACUCUUUUGUUGCUCAAAAGAUUUAAGACGCAUAUACUUUUUACCUGCCUCCAGUACUCACCAUAAGGAGCAGAUGCAACGUCGUUGUAGUUGUAUAGAAGCUUCUAAACGAUGGUGGACUUGGGACGGUUAGAAAAUGUGAGGUUAUGGGUUUUCAUGAUCUCACGGGCAGCCUCAGCUGAAGACACAACUAGGACUGGAACACUUCCAAAGUGGAGAAGCAUGAGAGGGCCAUGGCGUUGAGACAAGGCUUGAAACGAGCGAUGAGGGUGCAACCCUACUUGGUGCAAGUUCCCAAUGAUUGGGAGCUUCGGUGGAGAAGGUGGUGAAGGGGUUUUGUUGGUGGUUGUAGCGGAGGAGUACCAUCGGUAUAGGAGGAUGAGGAAAAUGGCCAGCAGAGUGAAGGCCAAAGGUUGCAAAAAAGAGGAGGUUUCACUCACCAUCAUCAUAGUUCUUCCAUCUACCCUAUCUUGGAAAAGAAAAUGUGUUGUGUUGUGUGGUCUUCGUUUCUGUGUUUAUAUAAGUCAAGGUUAUCCCAGUAUACAAUGUAAAGAGUGAGCAUGUGUGGCUUUUUACCUUCACAUCCUCUCAUUCUCUCGAAUGUGUGACGAAUUUUCAAGUCAAACACGUACUAACACGAAUUAAGUGACGUGUAGCAUGUAUAACUGUUAGGCUUUAGAUAUAGGAUAAUCUACUCUGAUACCAUGAAAAAAUAAAAUAUGUGUGUUGCAAUUACACACAAAGUACUCUUUAUAUAAAGUCAUAUCCGUGACAAAAUAAAAUGUGAUACGAUCGCUUCUUGUGAAGAACUUCACGUAAUAACAAACUAUUACUGUAACCUUUUUGAAAACUUAAGAUAAUAACAAAUAUAUUACCGUAACCUUUUUGAAAACUUAAAAUAUGUGUUUGGAAGUUUUCAAACGAUAUCUGUAAGCAUUUUCUUGUUCAUACAAAUUGCAUGAGAUGGAGUAAUUUCUUAUGGAUUUAUGGGUCUCUCACAUUUGACUAUUCUGUGUGACUUUUGGGUUUUUUGGAUUACUUUAUUUGUUUAUGCAUCUGGUUUUGCAACUUUUUUUCUGUUGUUUUCAAGAUUUUAGUUCAGAUCUUUCUCCCCCCCUCUCUCUCUCUCUAUCUCUGUCUUUCUCUUUCUUCUCUCUUUUUCUCUCUAGACAAAGUGCUUUGCUUUUCCCCCUUUCCCUUUCCAAGUAAUUUCAUUUUGUUUUUCAAUUGUUUUUGUGUUCAUCAGGACUAUUACCAACUGUGUUUGAUAACUUCUGUGCAAAUGUGGUGGUUGAAGGCACUACUGUGAAUUUAGGCUUACGGGACACUGCUGGUAACUCUCCCAACCCAAAUUCUAAUUUCAUCUUAUAUAAAUGCGUUCUCCGCCCAUUGUUGAGCGAUUUCGGAAUUAGGGUUGGGUUGGCGUCUGUUUGGUUGCCUGGAAAAUGUGGAAAGGAAAAUGGGGUCAUGGGGUUUCUUGAUUUGUUGUUAGAUUUGUGGGAACUGCAAUUUCUGGUGAAAUUUUUGUGUGAAUGUUCUUAGGGGAAAAAAGUUACUUACUUUUUUUGGUUUUCUUAGCCACCAAAUGGGAAUAAUUUCAUUUUCUUUUAUUUGUAUUUGUAGUGAUGUGAUUCAGGUUCUAUUUAUUAUGAUUUUAAAUCAAAUGCCUUACUUCGUUUAGAUUUACUACAAGAUCUAAUCUGUAUCUUGCGGAAAUGGUAAAUAGGUCAUUUUCGGAAUGACAUGAAAUUAAUUAGAUAUGGCAUAAAAAGAGGGGAUACUUAGUCUCAUAAAUCUAUUGCAGUUGAAAAAUGUAUUUUGGCAAGGGUUCUUUGAGCUGAUUAGGUGAAGAACCAAAUUGUCUUGCAUGCUUCUCAUUUAUUUUAAAAAAUGGAUUGGAUUCCUAUAAAUAUCUUAGUGAAGAACCAAUUUCACGACCUUGCAGAGCUUUUUGAAUUGAAGCCUUUUCUUGCUUGCAAUUUUGAAUUAUUUCAAAUUAUCAAUGACUAUUUUUUUUCUUUCUUUUUUUACAACAUUGUUGAGAAUGGUUUUGCUUAAGCUUUGGAGUUCUUAACUCAGAUACUCUCUUGGGUACGUUCCAUAUGAGUUUCAACUGCAUAUAUGUAUGUGGCUUUAGACUUGUUGGUUCAAUAAAUUGCAAGCCUUCAUUUUAAAAUCACUUUAGUCUAAAAUGAGUGAGAAAUGAAGUUGGUCGUAUAGUAUGUGUCGUAGUGUCAUAAAAAUCUGCCGCAAUAGUGAUACUGAGUAAAUAUUGGGAUUUGUUGGAUUUCCUUUCUUUUAUUCACCUCUCCCAGACCCUGCGUAAAGUGGGAGCCUUGUGCACUGGGUACGACCUUUUUGUUUAGUGUGGAUUCUCUUAGUCUUUUCUUUUGUAAUUUUGGGUGCUUUCACAUACCAUAUGUGAACUGCAUGCCGCUUAUGUGUUUUAUGCAAACAGACUAGUUUUUUGAGAUUACAACUUUUGUGAAUAAAAGCUUAUAAGUUCAUCCUUUUGAUUGUAAAGCGGCUCUUGAUGUCAGCUGAAUUGAAUAUAAGUUAAAAUCAAACUGCUUUGAUUUGUUCACCCAUCUCUUGGUUAUUUAAAUUCUUUAGAGAUGCCAAUAUUGAUUUGUGAUUUUAUUGGAUUCACUUUGAUGAAAUGUGUGUUAUCUGCAUUGUUGCAUUUUAGGGGUGACACCGUUCGUACCGCCUUUGUAGUGCAUCUUUUUAUGCAAAUUAUUUACCAUUCUGCCACUGGCUCUUUCUGCCCCUGCUGCUGUUGGUGGAUUUCACGUUACUAACAAAAUUACCACUGCCUCUUCAUUCUUCGUUCGGUGAGGGUUUUGGGGAUGGGAGGCCAUGCCGCCUCUAAGAUAGAGAUAGAGAGGGAGAGGGAGGAGGCCAUGCCGAUAGACAUAGACAUAGAGAUAAAGAGAGAGGGAGACAGAAACAGAGCGACUGAGGGAGAUGGAGGAGUGGGGAUCUUAGUGCCAUUGCUACAUAUCCUCGAUUUCAUGAGUGGGAGAGGGGGGGACAGUCAGAGAAAACCAUGGGGGCCGUCGGGAUUUGAGGGAGAGGGGUAGGGAUCGUGGCUGGGGGUCUAGGUUGGUCCCCUUGGUCCGUUUUCUACAGCACCACUGUGCUCAAACACUCUAUCUCGCAGUGGAACUCUCUCCUCCCCUUACUCAAUCCUCUGCUUCUUCUCUGAUUCAUGGUUGGUUGAUUUCUAAAAAACCUUCGAGGAUAAAUUUGGGGUGGGAUCUGGGUUUUCUGUGCAUUACUUAAAUUUUGCAUUUUUUUCUUCUGGAUUUUCAAUUAAGAAAUGAAUAAAUUUGGGGGUUUCUGGUUUUGUAUUUUGCUGUUUAUAUGCUGCAAUUACAGGAAAAGGAGGACAAGGAGUUGGACCCUGGAUGUGCUCUCCUUCGUCCAUCCUGCGUCUGCAUGUCCUCAUUCACAAGAUAAGUACCAUUUUUAUAGUUGAUUUUCUACUAUUUGGUUUGGUUUUAAUUCUCUCUGCCAUUCUCACUCCACACUCUCUGUCUCUCACUCAGUUCAAAGCUCUUCAACUUUUUCGCACAAAUUGCUCAAACAUUCCAGCUCUCAAACAUCUUAGAUCCCUCACUCAGUUUAAAAGUAUGUUUUUUUUGUUGUUUCUUGGUGAAAGAUUGAUCAGUGAUGAUUGCUAUUGUUCAUUCAUGGUUGAUUGAGCAUUUUUGUUAUAUGAAACCAUAGAGAAUAGUUGCCUUUAUGCUGAGUAUUUUUAUUUCUUGAUGCAUUUGUGUUGAUCAGGCACGAAGGGACCAGUCGAUACGAAGCGCAUCUUUAGGAUAUACAGGUAUAAGCAGCGUGGCAAAGAAGCUAUAAUGGCAAAUAAUUUUUUCUUUUACAUUACCUAUGAAGGGAGAGGUCGCACUUGGUGCGAUGACAAGUGUCUUCGCCCAUGAACGGUAGGUCUCGGGUUCGAGACUUGGGAGCAGCCUCUCCAUAAAUGGGGGUAAGGCUAGCCGACAUUCACCUCUCCCAGACCCUGCGUAAAGCGGGAGCCUUGUGCACUGGGUACGACCUUUUAUUACCUAUGAAGGGACAGUCGAUAUUGAUAAGAUCUCAGACCCAGUAAGUAUAGUUUCUGUUGACAUUUGUAUGAUUUUUUCCAUUAUUGUUUGAUAAUUUUUUUCAGUACAUUCUUUUUUCCUCUGUGCCAAAAUCAGGUACAACAGCGUGCAACACAGGACCAAAUUGCAUACUUUGGGCAAACGCCAUCCCAACUACUUACCUUCCCUCACUUGAAGAGGUUGCCAUUAGCAGAUGUUCUUCAUUUACAGGUAACUUUCUUUGGAGAAACAAGAAACUUAGCUGAACCUUUCGGAAUGUUUAUUUUAUUUCUGGAAAUUAUCCAAUCUAAACAUAUUACAUUGGGAAUAACUGAUGAGGAUUCGAUUUCUUAUGAAAAUAUUAUGCAUGUUUUCUGUUAAAGAAAGAUCAUCUUGAUAUUUUGGAAUGUCAGACCAUCUUCCAGAACCCAAAAGAAGUCAAACCAUAUGCUGAUUCUGCUCCUGAGCACUGCAAUCUUCCUGCAGCUGCCAUUCAUGCUUCUUCAGAUGCUGUAACACAAAACCCAGCUUUCGGCUAUCCGCUGGCAUCUCUCUGAAGGUUUGUGUACUAUCUUAUGUGGAAUUGGGAUGGGAUGACUUUGAAUACUUACCGUAUAUGAGGAAACGAAAUUUGAAAUGUUGCAUUGAUUAAUUAGUAGAGAACGAAAGCAUUGAUACUAUAUGAUUGUGUAGAUUCAGUUAUGUUGAUUGAGUAUUUGUUGGUGCAUUGCUAAUCAAAACUUUUUGUGGAUUCAGUUAGAUGUGUGAACUACAUGUUUGUUCUGUUUCUUAAGGAAACAGAACUUUUUGGGUAACCAUCUCUUCCUAAUCAAACCGUACAAUUUCUUCCUACUCAUUGUACAAUGUGUUUAUAUGCCAGCUCACUUGAAUGUAUAAAAACAAAACUGCUUAUCUUAUUGAUCUUAUUCACUCAUUUAUUCCUUUGUUUGUUCAUAAUUGUGUUGAAUUUAUUCAACUUAAAAGUGUUUUAUUCAUCCGAUUACGCUUUAAACAGCUGGUUCCUGCGGCAACGUGCAUGCCUAAUUUCUAGUACAAUCUAAAUUUGAGAUUUAUAUAUUAGUGAUUAGCCAACUCAAUUCCUCAUCAGAAAAACAGUUCCGACACUGCACACAAAUGCUUCGAUUAGGAAAAUUGCCCGCAAUAUAUAUGAAGGCCAAAGGUUGCAAAAACGAUGUUUUGUUCGUCGGCUUCAUAGUCCUAUGUAGGAAACGGAAUUGUGUGUAUGGGUGUGUCUGCUGCACUUGUUUGUUUAUAUAAAGGUAAAGAUCAUCCUGAUACAAAGUAGUAGAAUAGGCCAAAGGUUGCAGAACAGAGAAGGUUUCAUUCACCAGGUCAUAGUCAAAUCGAAUCUAGGAAAAGAAAAUUGUGCAUUUGCGUGUGCUUUGUUUGUGUGUUUAUAUAAAGGUCAUCCCAGUAUAUUAUUUUAAGAUCAUCCAUGAUUUCAUAUGAAAACAAAAAUAAAGUGCUAAUUGCUAUAAAAAACUUACAUAUAUAUAUAUAUAUAUAUAUGUGUGUGUGAGUUUUCAAAUUAUUGAUUGAUACAUAUGAGCUAAAACAUUAAUAGUUCUUGGUCUAAAUGAAUAUGGAAUAGCAAUAGCUUUGGAUUUUUCUUUUCAUUUAUCCAAUAGAUUUUUACUGGCAUGGGAAAUUUGGAGGGAUGGAAAGUAGGUAAGUAGGAAAGUCGGAGGGUGUAGUUGUCCAAUUACCAAACUAUGCGUAUAGAUGACAUUGGAAAAGUAACCGAUGGAGUCCACAACUAUAAACUCAAUCAAUGUAUCUAGUAGUUAAACUUAAGGAUCGCUAAUUUUAUUUUGAUAAAUAAACAUACAAGGACUAUGGAUUCAUAUUCUUAUAUCCAUCAUUCAAAGUGAAUAUGGAAUAGCAACAGCUUUGAGAGGAUUUUUUCUACGUACGGUUAAACCAGUAGAUUCGGUCAUGUCUAAAUCCUCCGCACUUGCUCCGCUAGGCAAUUCCCAAUCGUACUUGUGCACAGUACUUGCUAAGGCGAUCUCAAUAAUAGCAAUCGCAAAAUGAAUUCCCGGGCAGAUCCUCCUACCAGCUCCGAACGGAAUCAACUGAAAGUCAGUCCCUUUAUAAUCUAUCUCACUAUUCAAGAACCUUUCUGGCUCGAAAUCUUCUGGUUUUUCAUAGACCUUGGGAUCCCUUCCAAUGUGCCAUGCAUUGAUCAUAACUUGUGUCUUGGCUUUGAUGUUGUAACCAUUUAUUUCCACGUCUUGGGUCGACAACCUGGGCACUAGUAAUGGAAGUGGUGGAUGUAAUCGAAGAGUUUCCUUUAUCACCGCCUUCAAGUAGUGCAUUUCGACCAAAUCAUCCUCCGUGAGUACGUCUGUUUUGCUUACGGCUAUUCCCCUUACUUCUUUCUGCAAUUUGUUCAUGACCCUUGGAUUCCUUAAAAGCUCAGUCAUUGCCCACUCUAGUAAUGUAGAUGAUGUAUCCGUACCAGCAGCAAACAUAUCCUACAAGAAUGAAAUGUUGAUUAAGACAUUAGCCUCUAACUUCUAAAGUAGAGAGAGAGAGAGAGAGAGAGAGAGAGAGAGAGAGGGUUACCAAGAUGAGAGCUUUUAUAGUAACUGUAUCAAUAGGAAAACCUGCCAAGUUUUCUUUCUGAACUGCAAGCAAAACGUUGACAAAAUCGUUCCUGUCAUCAUCUUCACUCUUUGAACUACACUUCAUAUGCUCUUGAAUAACUCCACAUAUAAAGUCAUCAAACUGCUUAGCCACCUUGUCUACCUUGGCCACCAAACCAUUGACAUGGCGCAACCAAGAAAGCCACGGUAUAUAGUCCCCGAUGUCGAUAAUUCCCAAUAAUUCUGCGAACUCCCUCAAAAGCUCCGAAAACAUCCUCCCAUCUUCUCCACCAUUGUACGUCCUCCCCAGAGCCACUCUACAUACCACAUCAUUAGUAAGCCUCACAAACAUUUCGCUUAAAUUCAGAAGGGAUGAUGACGAAUGCUUUAUCUUGCUGAUCAUGGAUAUGGUUUCCUCUUCUCUCACCGAGCGAAAAGACCGAACUCUUUUGUUGCUCAAAAGAUUUAAGACGCAUAUACUUUUUACCUGCCUCCAGUACUCACCAUAAGGAGCAGAUGCAACGUCGUUGUAGUUGUAUAGAAGCUUCUCAAAGAUGGUGGACUUGGGACGAUUAGAAAAUGUAAGGUCAUGGGUUUUCAUGAUCUCACGGGCAGCCUCAGCUGAAGAUACAACUAGGACUGGGACACUUCCAAAGUGGAGAAGCAUGAGAGGGCCAUGGCGUUGAGAUAAGGCUUGAAACGAGCGAUGAGGGUGCAACCCUACUUGGUGCAAGUUCCCAAUGAUUGGGAGCUUCGGUGGAGAAGGUGGUGAAGGGGUUUUGUUGGUGGUUGUAGCGGAGGAGUACCAUCUGUAUAGGAGGAUGAGGAAAAUGGCCAGCAGAGUGAAGGCCAAAGGUUGCAAAAAAGAAGAGGUUUCACUCACCAUCAUCAUAGUUCUUCCUUCUACCCUAUCUUGGAAAAGAAAAUGUGUGUUGUGUGGUCUUCGUUUCUGUGUUUAUAUAAGUCAAGGUUAUCCCAGUAUACAAUGUAAAGAGUGAGCAUGUGUGACUUUUUACCUUCGCAUCCUCUUAUUCUUUCUUAUCUCUUAUGUGACCAAUUUUCAAGUCAAAUGCGUGCUAACACGAAUUAAGUGACGUGAAGCAUUUUUUAGCUGUUAGGCUUUACACAUAGAGCAAUCUACUCUAAUACCAGGAAAAAAUAAAAUGUGUGUGUUGCAAAUAUAUUACCAUUCUAAAGUCUUCUCAGCGUGUGGGCAUUCACCCCACUACUUUUACAACAUUACAUACGUAUUUGGAAGUUUUCAAACGAUAUCUGUAAGCAUUUUCUUGUUCAUACAAAUUGCUUGAGCUAAAACAUAAAAGUUCUUGGUCUCAAAUAGGCCACGUGUAAGAGGAGAUGGUCCACAUAAUCUGCAGUUUUGACUGAAAAGACAGCCAAUUUGGGGAGCCACAUAAAAUUUACGGACUCAAUUUUUUCUACAUACUAAUAUUUCUGAGCUUUUUGGGUGGUUCUAGGCACUGAUAGAUUUAUUAGGAUGCAUUUGUUACAUUGAAUUAUCUUGGAUUAAACUAUCUUUAGAAACUAAGCUGAACUAGGGAUGACCAAAAUACUCAUGGGUUUGGGUAAUUACGGUUACCCGCUCAUUUAAAGUUCACGGUUACGGUUAUGGGUAACCGUUUAGACAAACAAACGGUUAUGAGUAUAACCGUUUAUCUAUGAAAUUUAAAUGAACGGUUAUGGAUAUUACCCGCGGCUAUAACGAAUAUCUAUCGGUUAUGAGUAUUACCCGCUGUUAUAAUGGGUAUCUAUUUACCUAUUUAAUUUAAUAUAUGUAAAAUUUUAAAAACUAAUCUUUAUUUUUAUUUUUUACUUUUGUAACGAAAAUCACCUUUGUUUAUAUAUUGUAAUAUUCAAUAUAUAAUGGUUAUAACCGGUUAUAACGGAUACUAUAUCUACCACAGGCUGUAUUCCAUUGCCGCGGUAUGUGCUUACCAGUGACUUCAAUUCAUCUUUGUUUAUAUAUUUUGUAUUGAGAUCAUAGAGCCUUCCCGGCAUGUAUCCGUAGCAAGGAAAGCUAUAAGGUGAAGCCUCAGUACAAGAAUUGUCAUAUAACACAAAAAACUUAAAACAAAAUCUGGUCUGGACUAGUGACAAGGUUCGAAAGAGAGUUUAGGACAGAUAAAUACCAUCAUCUGAAAUAGCAUGAGAGGGUGGAAAAAGCCGAGCAUUUGUGAUUCCAGAACUAGCUAGGUUUUGUACAGACUGCUUUAAAUUGAUACCCGUUAUAACGAUAUACUGGUAAGCACAUACCGCGGUUAUAAUGAAAAUUAUGAUAAUUUUUUUUUUUGUAAUUUUCAAGUUGUUAAAAAGAACAUGUAGACAGGUGAAAAAAUGGGUAAUUGGAUAAAAAAAUGAUAAACGGGUUCAAAAACGGGUAAACGGUUAUGGUUAAAUGAGUACACGGUUAUGGGUAUGGUUAACCAUUUAUAAACGGUUAUGGGUAUGGGUAUAACUGUUUAUGCAAUUACCCAACAGGUAAACAGUUAUACGGGAAUGAACAUAAACGGUUAUGGGUAAAUAACCGCGGUUACCCGUCUGCCAUAACCGUUGCCCAUCCCUAAGCUGAACUGAAUUAAGCUAGAUUAAACUAGACUAAUUUAAUAAAAGUUUUGGUGCAUUGUCGAACUAAAAAGUAAGAGAAUAAAAAUUAGUAAAAAGUGAACCUGAACAAUCACAACAGAGGAAUUUCAGUCAACAACAUGGUAUAUUAAUCAACCCACAAUCAAAUCCUAAUUUGCAAAAUCAAUGAAUUCACACAAACUUUUAUGCUUCAAAGAUUCAUGUUAUCAGAAAAAAUCCUUCAAAGAUUUAUUUCAACAUCAAAAUCAAUGAAUUCACACAAACUUUUAUGCUUCAAAAAAUCAUAUCAGGUAAAAAAAAAAAAACCUUCAAAGAUCAAAGAAAGAAUGACAUGAUGAAAAUUUCCCAAAUCUAAAGGAAAUUUCCCAAAAUAUGAAGGAAAAUUACUGAAAUUCAACAUGAAAAAACAGAAAUGGAAGAUAUUCUGAAAACCCAACCCCAAUUAGAGUUGUAAAUUUCAAAUAAAGCAAAAUCUAGGGUUUAAGAUGGCAAUCCAAUCCACUAACCCAUCAAAAGAAAAUUAACCCAACUACAAUUCAACAGAGAUCGACAUGAAAGACCAGAAAACCCAAAUGAAUUUAGAAAUCAGAAAGCUAGGGCACCCAAAUCCAAGGCAAACUUGUUCGUCUUCUUUUCCUUCAACUGCUAGGACUCCGAUUUCAUGACGCGACAGAAAGCACCAAACGAAGACCAUCGCCAGCAAUACAGGUCCGUUGUCGAUUGUUUAUAUGUUGGGCGACUACGAGGUGGUGCGACAAGGAAGGAGAAGGGAAGGGGCGAAGGUGCGAAGGCACGAGGGAGCAAGCUACUGCUACGGUUGAUGUGCGAAUGUACGACGGAGAAGGGAGAUCACGGGAUUACAAGGUGGCUUAGCAGUUCUCUCCGAAUCGGGGGGGGGGGGGGUCUCGCUAAGACCUAUUAGCAAGGGAACUUAGUCCAGUGAAAGACAGUAAGUGCAAACAAACACACCUUUAAGGGACCAGAGUGAUCUUGGACCAUCCAAAAGCUUGAAUGAGUGGCCAUGUGAACCACCCAAGUCUGGGCUGUGGGGGAGGAGGAGCAGUCAUGGCUGCAAAUUAAGUUACAAGUUCUGCUGCAGCCAAAGGAAAGAGGGAGAAGAAACAAUUUUUUCUUAGAUCCUCCGGCGGAUCUGGAGACUGCUUCAUGUCCUCAUAAAUGUUCAUUGCAUCUGCAGGACAACCAGAGUUCAAAAAACCCCUGACAACUUCUGUAUAUGUUUGAGAAUCAGGAAACAGAUCCUCCUUUUUCAUGCUGUCGCACAGUAGCAUAACAUCCUCCAUUUUCUUAGAUCUUGCUAAUGCAAUAAUUAAGUCCUAAUACAGAUAGACAUCCGGUUUGUACCAGUCUUGCUUUCGAAUAACAUUAAAUACCCCAAAAUUCACCAAGUUGCUUGUAAUUCCAAUAAACAAAGACAUAUAUGUUCAUUGCAUAUGUAGUUAAACAGAAAUAAAGAUGUGCAGUCUAGAAGGAAUUCAUUCCAAAUAAUGGUCUAAAUGUACUCUGAUAAACAAGUCUGCAAAACCACAGCAUACCUGUAAUGUGGUUCGGCAUUUAACACAGGAAACAACGAAUAAGGAAAGCACCAUUGUGUAUUUGAAGAGUUGGGUUUCAACAUUUCACCAUUGUGCAAAACCACAGCAUACCUGUAAUGUGACUCUCAUGAAUGAGAUUUCAACAUUUCACCAUUACUAGCUAUUUCCAAAUCCAAAGAGCUGUCCUAGCACCUAUAACUACAAACAACAACAACAACAACAACAAAGCCUUUUCCCACUAAGUGGGGUCGGCUAUAUGAAUCCUAGAACGCCAUUGCGCUCGGUUUUGUGUCAUGUCCUCCGUUAGAUCCAAGUACUCUAAGCCUUUUCUUAGAGUCUCUUCCAAAGUUUUCCUAGGUCUUUCUCUACCCCUUCGGCCCUGAACCUCUGUCCCGUAGUCACAUCUUCGAACCGGAGCGUCAGUCGGCCUUCUUUGCACAUGUCCAAAUCACCGGCCCUGAACCUCUGUCCUAGCACCUAUAACUACAAGUGAAAAAAAUGCCCGUCUUGAGUCAAAAGAUGGAUUUGGCCACGAAAACCACGUCACUCCGAUCGCGCUUUACCAUACACCAUGAACCUGCACUACUAACGGGAAGACCCAGAAACACUUAUACUAAAGCUAAGCAUUGCUUCUAAUACUGUAUUGACAAAGCAUUACUGAAGGUGCCCAAGAUCACACAUUGAGUCAGGCAUUCAACCAAAUACAUAGCGUGCAACCCACGGAGCCCCAUUUCGCAACGACUGUAAACUAACAACACAUAAGUGGAUUCACACAGCACAACUUCAACACCCAAAGUACAAAAAUUUCAGAACAAACCAGAAGAUCAAAUGCAAAACAUUCACAAAAUUUAAUCACAGAAAUUCAAUACCUUAAUUGCCAAAGCGACUUCUUCCUGGCGCUUGAGCUCAGUGAGAACAACAAUCAUAUCCAUCUUCAACAGUCUCAAAACGGGGGUAUUUACAAACUUCCCGAGCAUCUCUUCGUCGUCCUCGAACCGCUUCAAACCCGAGAUUACGAAAAGCGCUUCUUUGCCGAUCAGCUUUUUGACCCUCCAGAGCGGUCCUCUGGGCCUCCCGUCGUGAUACAGCCUCAGCCCACGAAUGGAUCUCCAGGACUCGAGUUCAAGUUCUGUGGAUUUUAGAAGCAUUGGGGUCGACUUGAUGGGCGUUGUUUUCAGGUUUUGAAGGAGUAUUGAAGAGAAAAAUGCGAACUUUGAUCGCGAAAAUGCACGAGUCGCCAUUGGAGGUUUGAUGAAGGGGACGAAUUGGUGAUCCGCAGUGAGGGUGAUGAAGGGAUCGAGUUGGUCAGUGAGACUGAUGCAGGUUUUGUUUGGGAAAUGAGAAGCUACUGCUGCUCCAAAUGAAAGAAGGAGAGUGGGGCGCUGGGGGUUUGGCAUAGGGCUUUACGGUCGUAGAUAGAAACCUUCUUAUGUUUUCAUGUUCCCGAAAAGAGAGAAAAAUUAAAAAAAUUUAAGUAUGUUAUUGCCAAUCCAACAUUCUCAAUUUCUUAUUAUACACUUGUUAUAAAUAUUUUUUUAUAAUUUAAAAAGUUUGAAGUGCACGAUAAAUUGUUUAUAAAUUGAAAUUGGCUUUAGUCCUUUGUUUUUACAAAAGUUGCAUUUUGCUCACAUUCCUAAUUUCAGAUAACCGUUAUAUUCUCUUUAAAAACUUGUAAUGAAUUUGUUUAAGUAACUAAGUUUACUUAUACAUUUAAUUAAAUCUUUAAAGAAAAGAAUAAUAGCCAAAUGAUUCAUAACAAAAUUACCGUUUAUUCCUUUAUCGAUAUCCUAUCAAUUAAACAAUUGUUGAAUUUCCUAUUUGUAUUCCCCAAUAUUUUAAUUAUUUUUCUUUUUCAUAAAGACUAAAUUAAAUUAUAGAUAAUCAUAGUUAGUAAAUAAACUCGUGACACGAUUUUAGAGGAAGAUAACAGUUAUCUUGCGUCAGGAGCGAGCAAAAAGACACUCCUCCUACAAACUCACCAACUAAAAAUGGUUUUACUUUAGAAAUACGGGAACUUUAACGAAAAGCUCCUGAUACUGUUCAUUUUAACGAAAAAUCACAUUUUUACACUAAAAUGUCAAUCCUGAUACUAUUCAUUUUACCCUUUAUUUUGCCUUAUUAUUAAAACUCAAAGUUUUCAAAUCAUUUUCAUUAAUUUUCCUUAGAAAUACACUCUCUUUAGUUAUUUUUAACCCAAAGCACCCUUAACUUACUAUUCAUAUUGUACUUCAUCGAAAAAAAUUAAAUUAGUGGUAUUUUGGGGAAAGAAGUAGAGAGGAUUCUCGCCGGAUCAUCGCGCGGAUUCUUUUUUGUGAGGAUUAUAAAAAAUUUCUAUUCAUAUUCACUCAUCGUAAAUUAUGUGGUUAGUUUUCGUUAAAUACGAUUUAUAUUUAAUUUUAAAUAAUAAUUUAUAAUAAUUUUUUACCGCACAAGUAUGUAAUUUUAGGAUCCGCAAGGAUUCUCGCCCGAAUGAGGAAGCUGUAUUUUAUUAGUCAUUGACCAACUCAGUUCCGCAAAAGAAACAGUUCCGACACACACAAAUGAUCUGAUUAGGAAAAUUGGCAACUAUAUACGCGAAGGCCAGGAUGUUUUGUUCAUCGGCAUCAUAGUCCUGUGAAAAAAGAAAGAAAAAGAAAUAGCAUGUCUGCUGCACUUGUGUGUUUAUUCACCAUCUUCUUCCUCUAUUACCUCUUCUGUUACCUGGCCAACCCUAUCCACCUCCAACUUCUGCCUCCGUCGAACCCACCUUCUCUCCUCCUCCAAUCUUUGCCUUCCUUGAACCCACCCACAACAUCUGCUUCCGUCGAACCCAUCCCCGUCUCCUCCUCCUAUAUCCUCCGUCGAGAAGGAAUGGAGUCAUUGCUCGACUUCAUGUUCAGUGGUGAAGGUUCAAGAAGGUAAAGUAUUGUGCUGUUUUCUUCACAAAAUCGGGGAGCAGAGAGUUAAGGGGCUGAUGAGCAGCGGUGGUGGAAGGUGCGGAGGAUGUGGGGGAAUUGGUGUUGGUUUAGGUACAAGUCCAUAGCCUUUUAGGGAAUUUUAAAGGAACAUUUUUUAGUACUGUUUAUUUUUAAUAAGAAAUCACAUUUUACAUUUUUUUAGUACUAUUUAUUACACUUUUAUUUAUUAUUUUUUAUUAAAAUUAAAUUUUUUUUAAAUUUUUCGUUAGUUUUUCUUAUAAGAGGUAUACGUUCAUAAAGUGACUGAUACAAUCCACAGCUAUAAACUAAAUCAAAUAUCUAGUAGGUAAACUUGAGGAUCGCUAAUUUUAUCUUGAUAAAUAAAACAUAUACGGAGGACUAUGAAUUUCAUUUUCUUAUAUCCAUCUUUCAACAUGAAUAUGGAAUAGCAACAGCUUUGAGAGGAUUUUUUCUAUGUAUGCUUAAACCAGUAGAUUCAGUCAUGUCUAAAUCCUGCCCACUUGCUCCGCUAGGCAAUUCCCAAUCGUAGUUGUGCACAACACUUGCUAAGGCAAUCUCAUUAAUUGCCAUGGCAAAAUGAAUUCCAGGGCACAUCCUCCUACCAGCUCCGAACGGAAUCAACUGAAAGUCAGUCCCUUUAUAAUCUAUCUCGCUAUUCAAGAACCUUUCUGGCUCGAAAUCUUCUGGUUUCUCGUAGACCUUGGGAUCCCUUCCAAUGUGCCAUGCGUUGAUCAUAACUUGUGUUUUGGCUUUAAUGUUGUAACCAUUUAUUUCCACGUCUUGGGUCGACAACCUGGGCACUAGUAAUGGAAGUGGUGGAUGUAAUCGAAGAGUUUCCUUUAUCACCGCCUUCAAGUAGUGCAUUUUAACCAAAUCAUCCUCCGUGGGUCCGUAUGUUUUGCUUCCGACUAUUCCCCUUACUUCUUUCUGUAAUUUUUUCAUGACCCUUGGAUGCCUUAAAAGCUCAGUCAUUGCCCACUCUAGGAAUGUAGAGGAUGUAUCCGUACCAGCAGCGAACAUAUCCUACAAGAAUGAAAUGUGUUGACUAAGACAUUAGCCUCUAACUUAUAAAGUAGAGAGAGAGAGAGAGAGAGAGAGAGAGAGAGAGAGAGAGAGAGAGAGAGUUACCAAGAUGAGAGCUUUUAUUGUAACUGUAUCAAUAGGAAUACCAGACAAGUUUUCUUUCUGAACUGCAAGCAAAACGUCGACAAAAUCGUUCUUGUCAUCAUCUUCACUCUUUGAACUACAUUUCAUAUGCUCUUGAAUAACACCAACUAUAAAGUCAUCAAACUGCUUAGCCACCUUGUCUACCUUGGCCACCAAACCAUUUACAUGGCGCACCCAAGAAAGCCACGGGAUAUAGUCCCCCAUGUCGAUAAUUCCCAAUAAUUCCAUAAACUCCUCCAAAAGCUCCGUAAACAUCCUCCCACCUUCUCCACCAUUGUGCGUCCUUCCCAGAGCCACUCUACAUACCACAUCAUUAGUAAGCCUGACAAAUAUUUCGCUUAAAUUCUGAAGUGAUGAUGACGAUUGCUUUAUGUUUCUGAUCAUGGAUAUGGUUUCCUCUUCUCUCACCGAGCGAAAAGACCGAACUCUUUUGUUGGUCAAAAGAUUUAAGACGCAUAUACUUUUUACCUGCCUCCAGUACUCACCAUAAGGAGCAAAUGUAACGUCGUUGUAGUUGUAUAGAAGCUUCUCAACGAUGGUGGACUUGGGACGGUUAGAAAAUGUGAGGUCGUGGGCUUUCAUGAUCUCACGGGCAGCCUCAGCUGAAGAUACAACUAGGACUGGGACACUUCCAAAGUGGAGAAGCAUGAGAGGGCCAUGGCGUUGUGAUAAGGCUUGAAACGAGCGAUGAGGGUGCAACCCUACUUGGUGCAAGUUCCCAAUGAAUGGGAGCUUCGGUGGAGAAGGUGGUGAAGGGGUUUUGUUGGUUGUUGUAGCGGAGGAGUACCAUCUGUAUAGGAGGAUGAGGAAAAUGGGCAGCAGAGUGAAGGCCAAAGGUUGCAAAAAAGAGGAGGUUUCACUCACCAUCAUCAUAGUUCUUCCUUCUACUCUAUAUUGGAAAAGAAAAUGUGUGUUGUGUGGUCUUCGUUUCUGGGUUUAUAUAAGUCAAGGUUAUCCCACUAUACAAUGUAAAGAGUGAGCAUGUGUGACUCUUUUACUUUCACAUUCUCCCAUUCUCUAUCAUGUGUGACAAAUUUCAAGCCAAACAAGUGCUAACACAAAUUAAGUGAUGUAGAGCAUGUGUGGCUAUUGGGCUUUACAUAGGGCAAUCUACUCUGAUACCAUAAAGAAAGUUGAUGUUCUAUCAUAAAACCAAUUAGCAAUAUGAGGAGUAGCUCAACGUCUUAUAAGUCCUUGCAAGAUUUCUCUUUUCAUUGCUGUUGAAUUGUUUUACCUUCAUAUCCUCACAUGCGUUGAGAACGAAUCUCACCUUGAUCAGAUUAGAGACUUCAUGGACUUAUAAAUAAAUUGGUCUCCUUUUAUUGGAUGAAACUUUUUUACCUUCACAUCUUCACACAGUUGAAAAUGAAUUCAUAUUAAUAGAAGAAGAAGCCUUGAACUUGUGUAGACUUACAAAUAAAUUGAGAUAUUCCCAACAUUACCAAUUAAUUUCAUAAAGAAACUUCAACUUUCUUUAUAAAAAUCACCCAUGAUUCUAUAAGUAAAAAAAAAAAAAAUACUAAUUGCUAAAGAAGCUUAGAUGCUAUAAAUAGGGAAAAGUUAGUACUGGUUAGAUACUAAGAUACUUUUAUAAAAAGUUGGUAUAAAAAAAGUUGAGCUCAAAAGGUGUUUGAUAAACACUUAAAAACAACUUAUUUUCACAAUUUCGGGUGAAAAAAAACUGAAAAUGUGAAGUAGCAAAAAUGAGUUUAUUCUCAAAGUACAGCAGAAACAUGUUUUUUCAAAGCACAACAAUACCUAACCUUUACUAGGGAUAUGAGAUGACACUAUUAAGUUUCGUAACUAUAAUACAAAAGAUUGCAGGAAUGAGGAAAUGAGAGAUAUUGAUAUUAUUGAUUUGCUUCUUUUCGUAGCUGUGUGUGUUACAAUUACACACAGAAUGCUAUUUAUAUAAAACGGCAUCCGUGACAAAAUAAUAUAUGAAAUGAUCGCUUCUUUUGAAAAACUUCGCAUAAUAACAAACUAAUACUGUAGCUUUUUUGAGAACUUAAGAUAAUAACAAAUAUAUUACUAUUCUAAAGUCUUCUCAGCGUGUGGGCAUUCACCCCACUACUAUUACAACAUUACAUAUAUAUUUGGAAGUUUUCAAAACGAUAUUUGUAAGGUUUUUUGCUUCACAAGAACAUAAAGGUACUUGGUCUCAAAUAGGCCACGUGUGAGAGGAAAUGGUACACAUGAUCUGCAGCUUUGAUUGAAAAGACAGCCAAUUUGGGAAGCCACAUUAAACUUAACGGACUCAAUUUUUUCUUAAACAUAUCCAUAUUUCUGAGCCUUUUGGUACUAGGCACGGACAGAUCUAUUAGAAUACACGUUUGUUACACCGAAUCAUCUUGAAUUAGAUUAGUUUUAGAAACUAAGUUGAACUGAUUUAGAUUAGAUUAAAUUGAAAUGAUUUAGUAAAGUAUUUGGUGCAGUGUCGUACUAAGAAGCAGUAUAAUAAAGAUCAGUAAGAAAUGGAAUUGAACAAUCACAACAAAGGAAUUUAAUACAAUAACAUGGUAUAUUAAUCAACCCACAAUCAAAUCCUAAAUUGCAAAAUACCCAUUAUUUAUAUAAUAGACACUAUUCAGUUUGGUUGGAGAAAAUGAUUAACAUAUGUAUGUAUCGGUCAGAUCGAAACCUAAAUAUAUUCUACACAUUGUAUACAAACACACAACAAAUAAUGUGAUUAUGUUAAUUGAAUGCCAGCAUAAGUAUGUAUCGACUAGAUCAAAAUUACGAAUUUGCUCUUACCAAAAAACCAGCAUAAGUAUGUUAUUAGAAAAAAUCCUUCAAAUAUUUAUUCCAACAUCAAAAUCAAUGAAUUCACAAAAACUUAUAUGCUUCAAAGAUUCAUAUUAGCAUCAUAUCAAGGAAAAAAAAACCUUCAAAAAAACCUUCAAAGAUCAAAGAAACGAAUGACAAGAUGGAAAUUUCCCAAAUCUAAAGGAAAUUUCCGAAAAUAUGAAGGAAAAUCACUGAAAUUCAACACGAAAAACAAAAAUGGAAGAUAUUCCGAAAACCCAACCCUAAUUAGAGUUGCAAAUUUCAAAUGAAGCAAAAUCAGAAACAAAGGUGGCAAUCCAAUCCACUAGCCCUAUCAUGUCCCGAACCCGACAUACGUCCAGGAUCGACACAUGACGUCACCAAAUACCCGUAUCUCAACCUACCCCGCAUCCGAGAUAUGUACAUAGCAUAAUUCAAGAUCCAAAUCUCAUAGAAAUUUUUGUAUAUUUUAUGGCUGCAUCUAACCUCGUCGUUAGACUGCCCACGUACCCUCAAUAGGGAUCAAGCCAUUUGUAGUUCAUUGUUUCACUACAAUCGAAUAUCCAUCACAUAAAACGUUUUGUCCCAACAAUAUACCACAAUGCAUAUUAUGCGAUAUAUUAAAGAACAACGACGAAACACAACAUAUUUUCUAGCCAUAUUUAUCAACAAGUCUAAUCAUAACAAAUACAAUGAUAUCCAACAUAACAAUCCCACAUGACGAUUAACAUUUCCACUUCAUGCAUCACAUAAAUCAUCAUGUUUCACAUAUCACCACAAUUCAUAGUAUGCAACAUCUCAAAGAACGGUCAACGAAGCACAAUGUUAUUAUCUAGCCACAUUGGUCAACAAGUCUAAUCAUAAUGACAACAAUCACAACCAACAUCAUUCACAAUCACAUCAAUCAAUAUCACAUAUCAUAGACCGAAAUGCAGGACUAGAGUGACACAGUUUGGUCGAAGACUACAUUUCUAGAAAAGGGGAUUUUGGAUCAUCCAACAUAAUCAAAGCACCAAAGGGGACUCUGGGCCAUCACUCAACAGAAUCCAAAUCAAGAUACGAUUCUGGACCAUCACUUAACGGAAUCCAAAUCAGGAUACGAUUCCGGACCAUGACUUAACAGAAUCCAAGCAGAACUUAGUUCCGGACCACUCAACAGAAUUGAACGGAAGUCCAAGAAGCAUAACUACGACACGAAGGAACAAGACAUGAUUCAAGUUAGUCAAUUCACGAAGACUAACGAAACGAAACAAUAUCGAGCAACAAAUCCCCAUCAUAAUGGAUUAUCGGUCUAUUACCAGACCUCACAUCACCCAAGCAAUUCAAUAAGAAUUUCAAUCACAUGUCACAACCAUUUCCAAUACACAAGUCAAAUCACAUUUCACUACAUCAUACCAAUCACUAAAUUUCCAACAUUAUAUCUCAAUCCAUAGCUUGUAACAUAACAAGGAAUCACGAAGCACAAUAUUAAUAUUUAAUUACGUUAAUCAAUUAGUGAGAUAGCAUAUCAUUUCACGAAUUUAAUUAAAGAACCCUACAUAAUUCCCUACUUGGGUUAUGAAUAAUAACAUGGUAAUUCUAAUUUGUAUUCACAAGAUCCAUUGUGGGUAAUUCUCAUUCACUCGAAUCUAGGGUUCUAGACUAAUCUUAUGGGAAUUAGUGAAAGUAAGGAUUCCGGACCACUCAACGGAAUCCAACAACCUCGGGUUCUAGACCACUAAACGGAACCAAACUAUCAAGCGGUUUCUCACAAUAUACUCAGACCUGUUAUAGGUAAAAUCAAUGCCUACAUCAUGGAAAUGGUGCACUGGCCAAACGGAACUUAGAUAAGCUGCGGAGCUUGGGUGAGUGACAAUAAUUCAAUAUGAGAUAUUCAAUAAAAACAUACCAUCGAUCACAAUCUAUAAACAUCAAGUAUAGAAUCAUGCUUUAUGGAAUCAUAAUCAAGUCAUUGAAAACUCCAUAGGAGUCACCCAACAUCCAACGGCUUUUCCCAUUCAACCAACAAAGAUUCCCAAAAACCAUCAUUCAUAAGUGCAUUAAAAACUAGGGCUAGAGGGACGUGGUUCGGCUGAAGCCUAUAUAAGUAACCAAAUAAGAAGUGCCCCCCCCAAUGCGAAUUAACUAAGCAGAACCACUAGUGACCCUCCCCAAUGCGGAUUAACCAAGCAGGGUCAAGAUAAUCAAGUAGGUAGUGAUCACCCAAUGCGGAUAUACCAAGCAUGAUCACUCCUAAAAUGCGUAUGGUCCCCCAAUGCGGAUAUACCAAGCAGGACCAUCAACGUACAACUACUACAUGGUGUAGUAAGAUCAACACACAACCCACGUACCCUUAUCUCAUCCAUUAUGAUUUACAUCGUAAUCACUUGCACUAUCAACUUCUCAUGACCACUAUCUUAUCAUACAAGCAUAAAAGUUCUACAUAAACUUCUCAUAAGAUUUUAGGUUCACAUCGUCAUAAAAACAAUCAUAUACAUCAUACUAAUCAUAUCUAUCUAACCACAUUUCAUAAACGUCUCCAAGCUACAGUCGAUUCACAAUUAAUAAACACAGAUUGAUGCUAAAAAAAUAAAGAAAACAAUUCAAUAGAAAGUACAUUUAAUAAACAAGUAUAACUCAAUAUGGUGCCGCUAAUACAUAUAUCGAGACACGUCAACUGGACACGACACGUCAUCGUGAUGAGCCAACUAAGCUCCAUCAAGCCUCAAUAACAAACUAGAGAUAAGCGACACCCUAUAGUAGAACACGUUGACUAGAACAUCAACCGUCGAUAAGGUAGGUCCAUUAAGGUCAACAACCUAACGUUAUUCAAUCUGGAAGAUCUGUACAUCGGAUUUUUGAUCUGUAAGUUCUCAAAGGUCCAACAACUGAUAACUAGAGUGUUCACAAAAUUGUACAACGAACCAACGAUCGGAUUGUCAUCAAUCACACAAAUAAGUGGCGGUCCAAUUUGAUCACCACACCAAACAAUUGAAAUUCGGGAAACCAAGCUAGAUAUAGGUUCACAGGGUCACUAAAAGGUAUUUGGUACUUAGACAACACUCGUGGACGGUCCCACGCACUGCCACACGUGGGUUAGUCAAGGUGGAGGGUUUAUAAACCCCAAAUUUUCAACAUUAACUAAAUAAGCUCAAAUUUACGUGGUAGCUAGAGCUCAGCCAGGGAAACACUUUUCACAACUAGGCCGACGACAAAUUCUAACCGGAAACCGCCUAAAUUCACCGAUGAAAACCGAAUUUCUAAGGUUCUACACACCCAACUCUAAAAUGAAUACGAAAGCACAAAAUAAGCAUGCCAACUUGAAGAUUAUGAAGAGUAGAUGAAGUUUCAUACCUCACUUGAAGGAAAUGGUUGUCGGAAUCGCCGGAAAAAUGACAAAAUCGUCGGAAAACCCACGGUAUUUUGCUGCCUUGAACUGGAAAAAUGGAUAUGAAAAUGGAAAAUCUAACACUACAGAGUUGUAGGGCUUGUCAAGAGCUUUCCAUGGACACCAAGAUCACCCAAAACGGAGAUCGGAUGAAGGAGAUACAAGCGGGUCAAGUUUGUGGUUUUAUGGGUUGAAAACGCCCCAAAACGGGUAAAAAAAAAACAGACCCCUCCUUCCUUUUUUUUUUUUUCCAGAAAACUCCACCUUUCUAAUUGGUCCCUCCCUCUUUUAUUAAACUCCCUUAACCUUUAACCCACAUGAGAGAAUUACAUAAUUCCCACAAUCUAUAGUUCACAAUUUCAAACGUCCGUAACUAUACCAUUAUAACUCGGACUCGCAAACGGCUUUCGCCUAUGCGCUCGUGGCUUCGAGACCUAUUCGAAAACGUUACUUGUGAUCUCAAAAGGUCAAUGAAUUUUUUAUAAUUACCUUCCAAACUUCAAACUUCGUAACUAAUUUAAUUAAAAUCUAAAUCCAAAUAAAUUAAUAUAAUUUCUCAAAAAUAAUAUAAAAUCUCAAUAAUACAAAUAUGUAGAUUAUAAUAGUGAAAUCCAGGAACGAGAUUUCACAAGCCCAGCAAAUGAAAAUUAACCCAACUACAAUUCAACAAAGAUCAACAUGAAAGACUAGAAAACCAAAACGAAUUUAGAAAUCAGAAAGCUAGGGCACCCAAAUCCAAGGCAGACUUCUUCGUCUUUUUUUCCUUCAAUUGAUGGGACUCCAAUUUCACGAUGCAGCAGAAAGCACCAAACGAAGACCAUCGCCAGCGAUACAGAUCCAUCAUUGAUUGUUUAUAUGUUGGACAAUUACAAGGAGGUGCGAUAAGGAAGGAGAAGGGAAAGGGCGCAGGUGCAAAGGCAACGAGGGAGUAAGUUGCAGCUGCGCGGUUGAUGUGUGAAGGUACGAAAGAGAAGGGAGAUGACAGGAUUAGAAGGUGGCUUAGUAGUCCUCUCCGAAUCGGAGGGUCUUGCUAAGACCUGUUAGUGAGGGACUCAGUCGAGGCGAGUCCCUGCUAAUCCCACUAAACUUAGUAUGGGUAGGGAACAAACUCAAGGUUGGACUAAAACUUAGUCUAGUGAAAGACUGUGAGUGCAAACAAACAAACCCUUAAGGGAUCAAAGAGGUCUCGGGACCACCCAAAAGCUCGAAUGAGUGGCCAUGAGAACCACCUAAGUCUGGGCUGUGGGGGACGAAGAGCAAUCAUGGUUGCAGAUUAAGUUACAAGUUCUGCUGCUGCCAAAUGAAAGAGGGAGAACAAACAAUUUUUUUAAAUUACUUGGCCAAAACGACGUCAUUUUGAGCCAAAUCAAUUUUCUUUUCAAAGGAAUAUGAUAAUUUUAUUGAAAUGGAACUUAAUGAGAAUAUAUUUCAUGGUCAAGAAGCUCCCUAAUGACAUGAACAUCAAGAGGUUCUUCAAACCAACUUACUGAGACACCUCCUACUAAACUUCAUUUAGCAAGGCAAUGAGCCGCACUAUUACAUUCACGAGGAAUAUACAAUAUUGUGCACUCCAAGAACUCCACCAGAAGCUCUUGAAUAUCAGAGACAAUGAAGCCAAUAUUAGAGAGCUCUACGAGAACACCCUUGCACGCCUCCACAGCUUCGAGGGAAUCCAUCUCCACCUGCACUCUCAAGAAACCAAAACGCAUCGCAAGCAUGAGCCCUUCUCGGAUUGCCAGCAGCUCAACCUGUUCCACCAAGAAACAACUCUGAAACCGCCAGAUACCAGCAACCAUGAACGCCCCAUUUAUACCUCGGAUCUCUCUUCCAACUCCACCGACACCCUCCUUCACCUUCGCAGCCCCACCCCAUCGACAUUUAAUUUAAACUAUCCAUCCCUAAGGGCCACCCAUCUCAGUUGCUUGGGUGGCUUUACAUGACUGGGCUGUAGAUUAGCCUACCUAAACUCCUGCUGCCAGCUGAGAGUACGCUGGGCAACCUCCAUGGGAUCCGAGGCUUGUCCAUCCCAUAAAAGCUUAUUCCGUUCCGUAUUACUGCAGCCUCCUAAACUUGGAGAUUGGCAGUACCAAGAUACAAAGGGUACAAAAACCACAAUCAAUCAUAUGUGCUCAUCUUUGUCCACAUAAUCAGGUCAAAAGUUUACAUGCCUACAAGAACAUGUACAAAAUGUGACAAGUUACGUUCCAAGAACUCCGAUCUUUGAUGCUCUAAAGAAAGAUAACAAUUUUACAUGUAUGGGAUAAACCACCUAAAGGGUUUAGCAGGCAAUCCAUUACCUUAUAAUCAGUUGGGAUACAACGAACCCCUCCAAUGUAUAACAUCUGUGUGGAGAGAAGCGCAUGCAAAAUUCUACAACAGAUUGAAGUAGGAGCAAAGCAUAGAAUGCAGACCUCAGCCGCGCUUGCCAAAUAUCUCUUCCGGAGGAUCGUACACAUGCUGCUCGGGAAACAGCUCCUCAAAGUCUUGCUUGACUCUGUUUCUCAAAAGGGGGUGUGGCAGAUGUCCCUUCAACAAAAUCCGGAAUGGCAGCUCCUCCGCUGGAUCUGGAGACUGCGUCAUGUCCUCAUAAAUGUUCAUUACAUCUGCAGGAUACCUUAUUAAUCACUGUAUAAUUUUUAAAGAAGGUACAAGAGUUGCCUGGCAUCUUGUUCCGUGUAAUCACUUGAUGCAUCUUGAUAGAGAUUUUACUACACACGCAAAAGGGCUAAAAACUCCUACAAUACUUGUAAGAAUGACAAGGUUAUUAUAGUAUAAACAAAUCUCGCAAGAUCGUUCACCACAAGAAUUAUUAAAUAAUUUGAAGCAAACCAAAUUCCAAUUAAUUAUUGUAAAAUAGAAUACGAGAUGAUUGAUUUUUAUGACCUAAUUUAAUAAAACGAAUUUAAUUAAUAAAACAAUCUGCAAUAUUAAAGCUGAAAGAAAAAGAAACAGUUUUUUAAAUACCAAUUUAUAAAAGCACUAGGGUUCCCCCAUCACUUACCAAUCCUAUGCAUUUUUACCAAUUACUUAUUAUCUACACAUGCCACUUUGAAGGUUAGGUUUUCGUAAUAUAUAUCCUACUUGGAACCUCCAAAUAGAACGUAUAUCUAACAUGCAAUCUGUCAGAACGUUCGGAUCAAAUAUAAACAUGAGAGACUUAUUAAGUUUUAUGAAAACAUUUUGAAAAAUCAUGCAACCCUUAAGACGUGAUGUUCAUCUUAAGUGAAAUUACAAUUAUUAAUCACAAGAAACCAACGCUAAUUUCAAGGAAUUUUCCGACCAAAAUUACAUCAAAUUACUUUUCUAAAGAUCCUAAUGGUGAUCAGGCAUUAAGACAAUUAGAUAGUUUUAAUCACGGUAAUUAAUAAUUCAAAGUAUGCAUUCAAUCAAUCAUAAGCAAUUAAAUAAAAAUUACAUAUUCAUACUAAGGCUCAAAGCUUCGCCCUAGCAAAACGGAUUAGUUAUGCAUACUCAUAAUAAAAAUCAAAGAAAAUAUCAUUAACUAGAAAAAGAAUGAAAACACAUUUUCGGUAAAAAGUCCGAAAUUCUCCAAAGCUUGCUAAAUUCUCUCAAUGUCGCGUCAUGAACCCUAAUGGCUAAAAACCUUAUUUAUACUACCCCAAAUUAAAACCCUCCAAGAAAAGGCUUUCUAAAAACCAGGAAAUAAAUAAUAAAAUGAUAGGUAGGAAUAGGGCUGGUUCAGUAUGGGAUACCGAACCGAAAAUGACAUACCAAAUCCCGAACCGAAAAUUUUCGGGACGAGAAUAAGAGGACCGAUCCCAAACCGAAACUUCGGGAUUCCCGAAUUUUGGUAUUCCCAAAAAAAUUUCGGUAUUUCGGGAUUUCCCGAAACCGAACUUGCAUUGAAAUCCAAAUCAACUAAUUGAAAUCGAAAACAUUCGAACCUGCAUGAAAAACCCAAACUGAAAUCAGAGAAGUGACAGUGAAUCAGUGAAGAUUGAUGGGAGAUAGAGAGACAGAGUGAAGAGAUAGUUCGUCCUCCUCCUGACCCGAGCCCCCUAAUUCGAAACCCUAAUCCCCAAUUCGAAACCCUAAGCCCCAAUUCGAAACCCUAAUUUGAAACCCCACAUAGAGAAUCAAUGGAGAGAAUCGGAGGUGGGGAUGAAGCCGUGAUGUGUGGUGGUGGCCGGAGGGGAGAGAGUUCGUCGGAGUGAGACUGUGAGAGGGUGGUGGCUGCUAGGCUUCGAAUUCGAGAAUGAGAGACAGAGAGAAUCUGAGACUGAGUGAAGGGCCAAAGAUGAGAAAUGAGAGAGAGUGAGUAUGGAUGUGUCGGCUUGGGUUUGAAUUGAGUUGAAGGAAUGUUUUGGUGGCUUCGCCUUUCUGGGUUGCAAAGCAGAUGGAGAUAAUGAGAGAGAGAGAGAGAGAGAAAGAGAGAGCGCAGCAGACAACACCCAUGUGCUUUGAUAAAACUUCAAGCGCCAGGCACACAAUCAGAUCCUUAUCCCCACACUUAAGUUAUUCUAAUAAUAUAAAUAGGCCAUAUACAUAUAUUCCAACAUAUAUAUAACAAUAGGGUUUAAAGUUCGGUUCGGGAUGGGAAUACCGAACAAUUUUAAGUGUGAGACCGAAUCCCAUACCGAAAAAUUCGGGAUCGGUUUGGUUUCGGUACCAAAAUUUUCGGGAUUUUCGGUAUGGUUUUUUUCGGUUUGGUUUCGGUAUGGUUUCGGUAUGGUUUCGGAUUUUCGGUAUUUUUUUCCACCCCUAGGUAGGAAUUACAUUCCCAUUAUGACUAGGAAAUCUGCCCAACACAAAAAUAACCACGUUUCUAGACCUUGAGGGCUCCAAAACAGGCCCAAAACAACUCAAACUAAAGAUUAGGACCUCCUCUUCAAGUUCCAAGAAGAGCCCAAUUCCAAAAUCCAUCAUCUUCCAGCCCAAAAAUUACAAACAAGCUCUGCAGCCCAAUCUACCAGCAUUGCAGGCUGGACAUAAAUUAAUUCAUCACGAUCAGAUGCUUCAGGAUAAAAUUAUGAAAUUUUGAUAUAACCUUCUUAACAGAUUCACGAACCCACUCCAAUUAGAAUCACUCAAAAAUUCCACCGUCUGAUUACUUAAUGCUCCAAAAUACAUAGCAAAGCAUUAAAAUCUCAUCAAAAUAAUAACUAAAAUAUACCAAGAAUAGGGAAUAAUAUAUAUUAUAAAAUCGACUCAUUACAUCUUUUUCAUGAACAAGAGGAAAACUGGUUCCAUUUAAUGUGAAACUGUUCACAGAAUUCUCCCGUUUGUGUAAACAUCAUUGUAAACAAUAUACCAGAAAAUUAGAAAUAUGUAGGCGUAUCGGUACAAGAAUGAAGUUGAUGAUACGUACAACUAUUGUGUUUCUAUUUCCUAUAACAACUUUGUCAAUGAUCUGACGAUCCACGCUUCUUGCUGCAACUGUAAGCAUCCAUGGUGCUACAUUUGAAACAGUAGCACCUGAAGUACCAUUACUACCCGCAGCUUUGAUGUCAGUAUCCCUUUCUCCAUUGCAUGAAAAGCACCAAUUGCAAUAGGAUCCUCAUCAAAAUCUUUUAUAGAAGAAAAAGCAAUUGAAAUUGAAAUAAUGUCGACUCCAUCAGCAAUAGCAUCGUCCAAAGCAGCCAACGUUUAUGUAUACUGCACGAUUGUUCCUGGGAGCACACCUUAUAUGCUGCAAUUUUAGCCGCGGGAAAACCUCCUCUUGCACUAAUCCAUAAAAUAUUACAUCCUUUACAGCGUUCCCUGCUAUCAUUGAAUUACGGACUUGUUUUAUGUAAAUUUGGUUGUUAAACAUCCACUGGAAAAUGCAAAUCUCAUCACUCGUGUUCAGCUGGUGUAUACAACAAUUGGACUUCUGACAUUGUGAGUACCGUCAAACCAAACCAGCGCCGCAGACAUUUGUAACCAUUUGGCAAAUCGCUUCCAGCAACAGUCAUAUUAAAAGUCUUCUCCUCAUUCAGGGACUGGAAGGAAAGGUACAACCUUGAUCACAAACUUGGAAUAUGAGAAGAUUUUGGCUUUGUAAGUGGAGUUUGCAAGGCCAACAUUUUUCACUCUUCUCUGAAAAUCAACUGUGAAAGGUUUCACUGCUUCAACUUUAGCUCCCAUUGAAGGGUAAUUAUGAUCCCUUGGUGAUCCCUUAUCGCCUGUAGGGCAUGUGCUGUUAUCGCCUGCUAUGAGUUUUAACUUUGCCUUCAUCAUAGAUUGAGCAUAGCAAGUUUAUGUAAUCUUCUUUAAAAGCGUCAUACACUAGCCCUGGGUCUAUUGCGCUUACAGGAUUGAUAUGUCCAGAUCCAUAACCAAAUUCACCACUCGGAACAUUGGUGUUGGUAUCAUUCAUGGGCAAAGCUACAAGCACAGAAAAGAUUUUACAUCAGUAUGAAUUAAGCUUUCUGAUAUAUUGAAGAGUAGCAACUCUUAUUGCUGAAACCAACUCAGCUAGGAAUGGGAUGUUUUAAAACGUACACUAACAAUGCGAUUAAUCAAGAAAUAGUAAAUACCAGUAGUCAUAAGAGAUGAUUUGAUGGCUGCCGGAGACCAAUCAGGGUGUAAGCUUUUAACAUAAGCAGCUACACCAGCAGUGUGUGGGCAAGACAUGGAGGUUCCCGACAUUAUAUUGUAUUUAGCGCGCCUCUGGUCUUCAGGAACAGUACAGACAGAAAAAUCGGGCAAGUAUGCAAGACAUGGAGGUGCACUGAUACCUGGCUGAACACAUUAGAGUGUGUAAAUGUUACUACCAUAUUCGUGAAUCUAAUAGAUAAGGAUUGGUUAAUCGAACACAUGUACCUUGAUAAUAUCGGGUAAAAGUUUAUUCGGUCCACGUGAAGAGAAGGUAGCGACACAAGGUGCAGCAGAAUCUAUUAUGUGCUCACUCUUUAAUAUGGUUCCUCGAGGAUCACUAUAAAAGAAGAAGAGAAAGCAUUAACAAUUUAAUGAAAUCGAAACAUGUUGAGAAAAUGCCCUUAUCAGUAUCCCAAAAGAAUCUAUACCUAGUAGAGUUCAUGUAGGAUAUUAUCGCACCAUACUCUUCUAGGUGUAAAGUCGUUGCAGCUAGAGGGAAGAUCAAAGAAAAAUCAUCAACACGGCGAAAAUCAUAUAAAACGGAACCUAGUGCACCAGCGUCAUAUGCCUCUCUAUUUCCAAUCUCCUGAUCACAUAGCACUAUCUUUCCCUUUACUAAACCACUGUCCAGGCAACCAAAUUCGCAUCGUCUGCAAUUCAACCAGUCAGACUCUAGAUCUUACUAAUGCACUUUUAGUGUUUGAAGUUAAAUGAAAUUAGCACGAAAAUUACCCAGCUCUCGCCUCUGUGCAGUUACUUGAAACAUUUUUUCCAUGUACCAGAGGGAAGCUUGUUCCGUUUAAUGUGAAUGUGUUAACGGAAUUCCCCUGUUUUAUGGAAAGAUCAUUAAAUUGUAUAUAGCAGAAAAUCUCAGUAUAAUAUAGAAAAUUCCUUAGCAUUAUUUAAUUUUAAGGAUGAGGGAAAUUGAUGACACUUACGAGUACUGUUGUUCCAUUUCCAAAAACAACCUUGUCAGUGAUCCGUCGAUCUAUGCUACUUGCUGCAACUGUCAGUAUCCAUGGAGCUAGACUUGAUACAGUAUUAGCUAAAGGACCAGUGUUGCCUGCAGAGUUUGCGGUUAGUAUCCCUUUCUCCAUUGCAUGGAAAGCACCAAUGGCAACAGGAUCCCCAUAAAACUCUUGUACAGAACCAACUGAAAUAGAAAUUGUAAUGAUGUCGACUCCAUCAGCAAUAGCAUCAUCAAAAGCAGCCAAAAUUCGUGUGCCUUACACCCACGAGCAGUGCAGACUUCAUAUGCUGCAAUUCUUGCAGCAGGAACCCCUCCUCUUGCAGUCCCUUGUGCUAGCCCAUAAAAGCUUACGUCCUUUACAGCAUUCCCAGCUGCUGUUGAGGCAGUGUGGGUUCCAUGGCCUGAUGCAUCCCUUGCAGAGUCUUCUAUGUAAAAUCGAGCUCCAACGAGCUUGCUAAAAAAUAGCAUUAAUUUUAUUAUUGAGGGAGAAAAACUUAACAAGUCUUGCAAGAAAAACUGUUUCAAAAAUUUCGAAAUUGAACGUAUAAAGGUAAAUAUCAUAAAGUAGGUAUAUGAUUAAGUUUCCUAUUACGAAAACAAAAAUAAUAUGAAAGUAUAAAUUUGUCUAUAUGCAUAUUGUUGUCAGUAUAUAAAAAUUUGAUGGUUGGAUUUGAAGUAUUUUGACAUGCUUUCAAUUCAAUAGCACAGUUUGUGUAAAUCUUUUUAUCAAAGAAUUAGGUAUGCUUGAAGCAACAAUAUUGUGUCUAUGUCAAAGGGCCCAGGAUAAUAGCUAGUCUGGUAAAAGAGAGAGCAGCACUUAGAGACAAGAGAGGAUUGAUGGUUACACCAAAGAAGGAUCGAGAAUCGAGUGUCUAUGCAAAAUCGGGCCAAUACCUUGAGAGGGUGAGAAUGAAAGAGUGGGAAAUGGAAAAGAGUUGAGAGCUUGAGUGAAAUGUGAGUUGUGCACAGUACAUGUAAUCCUUGGUAGAUAGUUGAUUGUAAAGCUCUCUUUCCCAUUGACAUAACACAAGCUAUAUAUUUGAACCAUUUAAAUUUGUGUUCUCACUCCCUUUCUAUCUUCUCUUAUUCCUUCAGUUUUGUCAAAUGAUUUGUGUGGAGUUUUGUCGAAUGAUUUAUGUGGAGUUUUGUUUUCGCGACAAUUGGUAGUGUGAAUAUUGAAGAUUUUGAAUUGAGGGCACCUACUUGUUGCACGUAAAAUUCUGUCCACCUUUACAAGCACCUUUCGACUUCAUGGGAGGAAGUCCAAAACCUUCGUCUCUAAAACUCGCAGAUUCCUGCGCAAUUCCACUGUCAAUGACACCAACAACAUCAUCACUCUCAACAAUGGCACUUCUAUUGAUUUUCUCAUUGAAGCCCAUAAAGUCCCAAGAUCUCUUAGUUUGAAGUUCGAGCUGGUUUGGUAUUGCUGUGCUUUAAAAAAAACUGCUGUGAGAAUAAGCGGCCAUGAAAUAAAUCAGCAGAGUGUUUGGUAAACUUUUUUUGUAAAAGUGCUUUUGGAAAAAAAAUAAACAAUCUGAUAGUGGGUCUUUUCAUUAAAGGAGCACUGUAACUCCGUGUGCUUUGAAAAAAAGCCAGUUUUCCAAAGCUGCAAAUAGCAGCUUCAACUUUGUCCUUUGAUUUCAGCUUAUUCUCACAGCAGCUUCCAAAAUAAGCAUUUUUUUUUCAGUUUACCAAACACUUAAAACCCUCACAACUUUUUUUCAUGGGUGUUUUUUGUAAGAACCUCACUCCCAAACCACCCCUUCGUAAGUUCUGCUUGGAAAGACGGACACUGCUAUUUCCUUCAUAUCUGUAGUUCGCAGUUUAUAAACAACAACAACAACAAAGCCUUUUCUCACUAAGUAGGGUCGGCUAUAUGAAUCCUAAAACGCCAUUGUGCUCGGUUUUGUGUCAUGUCCUCCGUUAGAUCCAAGUACUUUAAGUCUUUUCUUAGAGUCUCUUUCAAAGUUUUCCUAGGUCUUCCUCUACCCCUUCGGCCCUGAACCUCUGUCCCCUAGUCACAUCUUCGAACCGGAGCGUCAGUAGGCCUUCUUUGCACAUGUCCAAACCACCGUAACCGAUUUUCUCUCAUCUUUCCUUCAAUUUCGGCUACUCCUACUUUACCUCGGAUAUCCUCAUUCCUAAUCUUAUCCUUUCUCGUGUGCCCACACAUCCAACGAAGCAUCCUCAUCUCCGCUACACCCAUUUUGUGUACGUGUUGAUGCUUCACCGCCCAACAUUCUGUGUCAUACAGCAUCGCCGGCCUUAUUGCCAUCUUAUAAAAUUUUCCCUUGAGUUUCAGUGGCCUACAACGGUCACACAACACGCCGGAUGCACUAUUCCACUUCAUCCAUCCAGCUUGUAUUCUAUGGUUGAGAUUUCCAUCUAAUUCUCCGUUCUUUUGCAAGAUAGAUCUUAGUUAGUGAAAACGGUAACUCUUUGGUAUUUCCUGAUCUUUGAUCCUCACCCCUAACUCAUUUUGGCCUCCCUUUGCACUGAACUUGCACUCCAUAUAUUUUGUCUUUGAUCGGCUUAGGCGAAGACCUUUAGAUUCCAACAUUUCUCUCCAAAGGUUAAGCUUCGCAUUUACCCCUUCCUGAGUUUCAUCUAUCAACACUAUAUCGUUUGCGAAAAGCAUACACCAAGGAAUAUCAUCUUGAAUAUGUCCUGUUAACUCAUCCAUUACCAACGCAAAAAGGUAAGGACUUAAGGAUUGUUGAUGCACAAAAUUAGUGAGAACUUUGGUACAACAGAAAGUAUUAAGUUUGUGAUCUUCGCUAGAUUGAUCCGGUCAUUAGUGUGGAUAAGUAUGUAAAUGGAUAGAGACAGGCAAGCAAACACAAGAUGUACGUGGUUCACCCAUAUUGGCUACGUCCACGUAGUAAAGGAGUUCUUAUUAAUUGUGAAGGGUUUACACAAGUACAUAGGUUCAAGCUCUCCUUUAGUGAAUACAAGUGAAUGAUUUAGUACAAAUGACAUUAGGAAAUAUUGUGGGAGAAUGAUCUCGUAAUCACGAAACUUCUAGUACCGAAGUGUGGUAUCGUCUUCACUUGCCUUAUCUGUCUCAUAGGUAGAUGUGGCAUCUUCUCUGGAAGUACUCUUCCUCCAUCCAGGGGUGGUAUCUUUAACUGGUGGAGAUGCACAAGGUAAUGUAUCAAUUUCACUUGAAGCUUACUUGUAGUUUCAGGCUUGGUCAAGCGCGAUACAAACCAUGUAGUAGGAGUCCCCCCAAGUCGCCGAGCUAGGGGAUCUGCUGAAAGAGGUGACAGACAAGGUAAGCAAUCAGAGCUCCAAGCAAUCAGUCCCAAAUCAGAAGUUUGAUUUCGAGUUCCGGCUAAUUGUUCUCAUUCUCCCUAUCUUGCAGGCAGCAUAAAGGAUAAAGAGAAGAAAAUGAGAAGAGAUGAUAUGAGAUACUUUUGCUCGAACCAGAGCAAAAUGGUUGUGUGGAACGUAAGCAUCAACACAUAACCAUUCUCCCACAAAAUGGUUGUGUGGAACGUAAGCAUUGACACACUAGAGCAAAAUGGUUGUGUGGAACGUAAGCAUUGACACAUAGUGGAAACUGCUCGAACCCUUUUAGCUGCCUCUCAUGUUCCCCAUAUUUACUGGGUUGAAGCCUUCUCUACAUCAGUGUAUCUUAUCAACCGAUUGCCUACUAUGUCUAGAUCCUGCCAUUGGGAAAAUUGUUCAACAAGUCUCCAGAUUAUACUACACUGAAAGUGUUUGGGUGCAGGUGUUUUCCUUGGUUAAAACCUAUGUAACUUCCAAACUUGAGCCUAAAAGUAAGCCCUGUGUCUUUCUUGGCUAUAGUCUCAAUCAUAAGGGUUAUCGGUGUCUUGAUAUUCAAUCCCGCAAGGUCUAUAUCUCGAGACAUGUUAUAUUUGAUGAACUGACUUUUCCAUUUCAUCCAGUCUCUCAAGAUUUACCUGUCAUAAACUCACCUCUUACCCCUUCUUCUUCAAUUCCUUCCACUCUUGUCUUCACCAAACUCCCUCCAACUCCUACUUCUUCCCCACUUCUACACCAUGUUGCUGCUUUAUCUAAUCCAAAUUCCUCCCCUUCCCCACCCACCUCCCUCACCUCUCCCACUUCUAACUCUCCUCAUUCUUCACCUAUACAACCAUUACCACCUCAGAACACUCACCCUAUGCAAACCCGAUCCAAAUCAGGUAUUUUUAAGCCUAAGGCUUAUUCAGCCACUAACCACCCUCUUCUUUCUCACAUAUCUCCUGAUUUUCUUCCCACCACGUAUCUCCAAGCCUCAAAACAUUCUCACUGGAGACAGGCCAUGCAUGAGGAAUUCAAUGCUUUGGUUAAUACCAAUACUUGGUCUCUUGUUCCUCCUCAUUCAUCUCAAAAUCUUGUUGGAUGUAAAUGGGUUUUUCGCAUUAAAAGGAAAGCUGAUGGCACUAUUGACCACUAUAAAGCACGGCUGGUCGCAAAAGGUUUCCAUCAACAUGAAGGUUUGGACUACACAGAAACCUUCAGUCCUGUUGCUAAACCAAUUACUAUCCGGCUUCUUCUCACUCUUGCUUCUAAGUAUGACUGGUUUCUAAACCAGUUAGAUGUCAGUAAUGCAUUUCUGCAUGGAACUCUCUCUGAAAAUGUAUUCAUGCAGCAACCCUCUGGUUUUCAAGAUCCUACUAAGCUGAAUCAUGUUUGCAAGUUACAUAAAAGUCUUUAUGGCCUCAAGCAAGCUCCGCGUGCUUGGUAUGAGAAACUUCAUGGUGCACUUCAAUCUAUGGGAUUUUGUGGUUCACAGAAUGAUCAUUCACUCUUUGUCAAGAAGGAUCCUUCUCUGGUGUUUAUCCUUGUAUAUGUGGAUGACAUUUUAGUCACCGGUCCAUCUUCCCAAGCUUGCAAGGAUACAAUAGCUCAACUCAGUGCUCUCUUUCCGGUCAAGGAUCUGGGUUCCCUUCAUUUUUUCCUUGGCAUCAAAGUUCAUAGGUCCUCUUCUGGAAUCUUUAUCUCUCAAACCAAAUAUAUUCUUGAUCUGCUUACCAAGACCAACAUGGCCGGUGAAAAACCAUGUGCUACACCACUUAGUACAUCUAAGCUGGAUCACUCUUCUCCCUUGCUCUCUAAUCCCGAAGAAUACAGAUCUAUUGUCAGUGGCCUGCAGUAUCUUACUUGGUCCCGACCUGACCUUUCCUUUGCUGUUAACUUGGUUUGUCAAUUUAUGCAUCAACCACGACAAUCCCAUUUCCAGGCAGUCAAACGCAUAUUGCGCUAUCUGAAAGGCACACUUGAGCUUGGUCUCUGGUUUCCAAAAACCUCAGGUUCUCUCACUAUUAAUGCCUUCUCCGAUGCAUAUUGGGUAGGGUGUCCACUGGAUAGAAGAUCUACAGGUGGUUAUUGCAUUUUUUUUUUGGAAACUCUCUCAUUAGUUGGAGUGCUAAAAAGCAACCAACCGUGGCUCGUUCCUCCACUGAAGCAGAGUAUUGCUCCUUAGCAAACACCGCUGCUGAAAUUACAUGGCUUUGCAAGUUACUUGUUGAUGUUGGUGUCUCUCUAUCUUGUUCUCCUACAUUGUGGUGUGAUAACAUUUCCAACGCUGUAGAGAUUGACUAUCACUACAUCCAGGAAAAGGUUCUUUCCAACGCUGUCAUUGUUCAGUUUGUGUGUUCCCAGGACCAAAUUGCGGAUAUUUGUACCAAAUCUCUGUCCACUUCUCGGUUUUUACUUCUUUGAGACAAACUAUCACUUCGGUUGCCUACGUUCAAUUUGAGGGGGCAUAUUAAGGAUAGUUUAUCUUGAUUUUCUGUUGUAAUUUUCUUGUAAUUAGUUGUAGGACAUAUAGGAUUGUUGUGCUUAGUUGGCAAGUGUAUAGCUUCUUAGUUGGCAAAUGUAUAGCUCUAUAUAAACCAUUGAUGUACUCUAAUUAUUUUUCAAUGAAACAGUUUUCCUAAUAUAUCGAUGCUAUUAGUGGUGGACGGCGGCCCAUCUGUCUAAAACUUUAACAUAAAUACCAGCUGUAGAAGGAUCGUACCUGAAAACAAAUUCCGAUAACUAAACAAGAGUAAAACAAAGGAUAUAUAGUAAAUAAAAAAUGAACCUCAAUGCGACGAAGGAUACAAACAACAAACAAAGAACAAGAAAGAGGAAGAUCAGAAUGCGAAACAAGAGCAGAAGUUCAUUCCGAAGAUGAUUACGGACAAUUUCUUUUCCCAUAAAAUUCGAAACAAGAGUUUAUUUAAAGAAUGUACGAGUAUAAGAGCUUUAUGCAGCCUAUGGCCACAUUUUUCCAACAUGCAUACAUCAUUUGCCAUUGAACACAUAAACAACAAUUGGACUUCUAACGCUGUGAACACCAUCAGUCCAAACCAGCGAUCCUGACACUUGAGAUUGAUCUGGCAAACCGCUUCCAGUGACAAUCACAUCAAAAGUCCUCUCCUCGUUCAAAGACUCGAACGAAAGAACUUCAGGAACCACUUUGAUAUCAACUUUGGAGUUCGAGGAGAUCCUGGCCCUGUAAGUAGAGUUUAGGAGGCCAACAUUAUUAACUCUUCUAUGAAAAUUCACUGUAAAAGGCUCCAUUUCUGCAACUUUAGCUCCCAUUGAAGGGUAAUUAAGAUCCCUUGCAUACCCUUUUUCCGAACCUUUAGGGCACGUGCUGUUAUCUCCUGAUAUGAGUCUAACUUUGCCUUCAUCAAACACUGUGCACAACAACUUUAUAUAAUCUUCUUCUGAAGCUUCAUACACAAGCCCCGGGUUUACAGCUUCUACAGGAUUGAUAUGCCCAGAUCCAUAAGCAAAUUCACCGGUAGAAUUGUUGGUACUAUUCAUGGUCCAAGCUAUAUGCACACAAAAAACUCAAUAGAUAAUUUCAGAAUUUAAUGAUUAAUAUGUGACAAUGACAAAUGAAGCAACUGCUAUUAUCAUGAAAAUAUAUACCAGUUGUCAUAAGAGAUGAUUUGAUGGCUGCCGGAGACCAAUCAGGGUGGAAUGCUUUAACAUACGCGGCUGCACCGGCUGCAUGUGGGCUAGACAUGGAGGUUCCAGAUAACAAGUUGUAUUUUACACGCCUCAUGUCUUCAUCAUAUUCUGAGAUAGAGGCAAUAGGUGAAUAUGCAGCCAAAAUUUCAGAACCCGGUGCACUAAUAUCUGGCUGAAAAACAUUAGACCGCAAUUGUUAUUACCAUAACUACAUUUAUUUAACUGAUAUUAGAAUGUGCGAAGAAACAUAUACCUUAAUAAUAUCAGGAAAAAAUCGAUUUGGUCCACGUGAAGAGUAGGAAGCAACAAUAGGUGCAGAAGGGUCUUUUAUGACUUCGCUUUUAAGUAUGUUCGCCCGAGGGUUUCUAUAAAAUAAGAGAAACAAAUCAAAAUAUAAAUAGAGAAUUCAUGAUGAGAGACAGUAACUUCAUCAGCAGUAUUCAAAAGAGUGUACACCUGGUGGAGUUCAUGUAGGACUUGACCGCAUCAUGGUCUUCAUCCAUUAACACGGUUGAAGGGAUUAGGGGAACAUUAAACGCUGUUCUGUCGUUUUCAUGUAAAAGUGAACCAAAUGCAUUGGCUUCGUAAGCCAUAUAAUCUCCGUAUUCAGCAUCGCAUACCACUAUCUUUCCCUUUACAGAAUCACUGUCCAGGCAACCUUCACGACAGAGUCUGAUGUGCAACAAGUGAGUAGUUUAGCUACAGAAUAAGUGAACUAUAUCUUUUCCAGUUAAAAAGAAAUGGGCACAAGAAUCACCCCGCAUUUAGUUGAGUGCAAUUUUUUGUCGCAGCAUCUUUUCCAUAUAUUAGAGGAAAACUUGUUCCAUUUGUUGUGAAAGUGUUGACGGAAUUCCCCUGGUUGGGUAAAGUUCAUCAAAAAUCAAGUAGAAUAUACAAGUACACAAAUAAAAGUAUUUCAUGGAUGAAGGACGUUGAUGAGACUUACAACAAGUGUCUUUCCGUUAGCAAGAACAACCUUGUCAAUGAUAUGGCGAUCUAUGGUACUAGCUGCAACGAGCAAUACCCAUGGUGCAAAAUCUGACGAAGUAGCGGGUCCGGGACCUUCAUUGCCUGCUGACUGUGUGGUCAGUAUCCCUUUCUUCAUUGCAUGAAAAGCACCAAUUAACAUAGGAUCCUCAUCAAAUCGAAUCCCCGAAUCAGCUCCCAUUUGAAUCAUAAUGACAUCAACUCCAUCAGCAAUAGCAUCAUCAAAGGCAGCCAAGAUACUUUCUAUUCUGCACGUAUUAGCACAGACUUUGUAUGCUGCUAUUCUUGCAGAAGGAACACCUCCUCUUGCAGUACCAUUUGCUAGUCCAUAAAAGCUUACGUCCUUAACAGCAUUGCCUGCUGCGAUUGAGGCAACGUGAGUUCCAUGGCCGUCUUCAUCCCUUGCUGACUCCGUGUCGUAGAAUCGAACUCCAAUGAGCUUGCUACAAAAUAAAUAUUGAAAAAAAAUUGGCACUUUUCACAAACACUUACAAUAUCACUAAGUCAGUGAUGAGAAGUGAGGGAGCCUACUUGUUGCAAGUGAAAUUUUUUCCACCUUCACAAGCACCUUUCCACCUCUUGGGAGGAGGACCAAAACCUUCAUCUUUAAAGCUCUCAGAUUCCGGCCAUAUUCCACUGUCAAUAACCCCCACAAUUAUAUCACUCUCAACCAGAGACUUUCGACUGGUUUUCUCAUCUAAACCCAUAAAGUCCCAAGAUCUCGUCGUGUGCAGUUGGAAUGUUGUGCUUGGAAAGACAGAUACAACUUCUUUCAUGCCUGCAAUUCACAGUUUAUAAACAUACUAAAUUUUCAAGCCAAUUCAUUUUACUCUUUUCGAAUGACAUAAGAAAGUAUCUCACAACACUCACUAGCAAGUUUCUCUCUUUCCUCGUCAGUGAGUUUGGCAGCAAACCCAUUGAAACUCCUUUUGUAACUUCGUACCAAUAAAUUUUCCGGUGAACUGGGAGGGCACGAAAGGACCAUAAGAACUAGGUUUGUGACUAAAAAGACCAAAAGAAAAUUCAAUUUAAAUACCUAACGUCUAGAUAGACUACCUGGUCUGAACAACUCUCUGCAGAAUACUAUGGUGGUGAUUCAAGGGCGAGAACUCCCUGUCAGGAAGAGACCCCAAGUACACGAUAUGAACCUGCAUCGCCAUCAUUGAAAUUCCCUAUCAAAAUUACUAUUGCUCAAAGAUUUGUCAUGAAAGGGGAACGUUUUAUUAUUAGUGGUAAAAGACUAUAGUUUUUUCUUUUAAAAGAUAGAAAAAGGAUUAGUCGAGAUUAACUCCUCAUAUUAGCUCCUCGGAACUGUUCAUGUAGAGUGCAAAGCAUCCACCCCUCCCCCAAAUAUUAAUUCAAAAUAAAGGAAACAGCUAGUCAGGGGACAAUUGUUUUGCUGCACAAAUAACUCGUACCUUUCUAUCCUCGUCAGUCGCCUUGCAUAAUAAGCUCGUACUCAGGAUAAAAAUGGAGAAAGCAUAAGAAAAAAGAAGAGCUGCGUUCUUAGCCAUUUUUCUGUUCUCCAAAUUAACUUCAUGGCUGAAGAGUGUAAUACAUAUACUGGGACUACUUAUUGCACCCAGAUUUUCUUUAAUUAAGGGGCCAGAAAAUUUUCCUUUCAAGCAAAACUCCAGACAAGUUUCCUUUCAGAAAAGCUUGGAUUUGGCUAACCCUCGAAGACAUGCAGAGAAGGAUUCAGUAACGGCAGCAACCAGCAUUUACUGCUCCAAACACAUACGCGUGAGCUGUAACAAUACUUGGGCUUUGCUUUUUGCAAUAAGAAACCCAUUGUUAAAUUAAAGUGUGCAAAUACGAGAGAAAAAGUUAUGGUAGUUGGAACAUGUAAACUGAAGACCUACAGAUGCUUCGGUUAGAAAAUGAGUUUGUGAGACAAAAGCUCAGGGCAAAAGAGAUAGAGGAAAAGAUUUGGAAAUAGACUUUAAGAAAAGACAUGGAGUAUUUGGAGCUAACGGAAGACUAGACGCAAAAUCAAGCAUAAUGACAUUCUAGAAUUCAUACAACUGACCCCACUUAGUGAAAGAAGACUUUGUUAUUGUUUGUUGUAAAUACAAGGGGAGAGUUUUACAUAUGUAACCGGGAAGAAAGUCCCUCCUCUCAUUUAGCACUCGAAAACAAGAACGCUGAAAAUUUCAUCAACCGUUAAUAACCAUUUUAUUUUUAGUUUUAGUUUUUAUGGAGAAGUGGGUUUAGCCAAGUUGGGCUAGAGCUCCUAGAAUCAAAUAUUCUUAAGGUAAUCUCUUCUUUAUUAAUACUAACCUCUUGCAAUUUGCUUUCUGGUUACAGGGUAUAACGUAAGAGAAGGAAUUGCAACAAGAAACCCAUUAGACCAAAUUCGCCAGCACAUACAUGAACAAACAUUUGAAUACAAAAACAACAAUUGGACUUCCAACGUCGUGAACACCAUCAGAACAAACCAGCGAUCCAGACACUUGUAAUCAAUUUGGUAAAUCUCUUCCAACGACGAUCAUAUCAAAAGUAUUCUCCUCGUUCAAAGACUCGAACCGAAAGAACUUCAGGAACCAAUUUGAUGUCAACUUUGGAGUUCAAAGAGAUUUUGGCCUUGUAGGUAGAGUUUGGAGUAAACAUUUUUUACUCUUCUAUGAAAUUUAACUGUAAAAGGUUCCUUUUCUGCACCUUUAGCUCCCAUUGAAGGGUAAUUAUGAUCCUUUGCAUGUCUUUUCUCAGAUCUUUUACGGAAUGUGCUGUUAUCUCUUGAUUUGCGUCUAACUUUGCCUUCAUCAUACAUAGUGCAUAGCAACUUUAUGUAAUCUUCUUCAGAAGCUUCAUACACGAGCCCCCGGGUUUACAGCUUUUACAGGAUUGAUACGCCACGAUUCAUAAGCAAAUGCACCAGCGGAAAUGUUGUUGCUGGUAUCAUUCUUUAUGUUUAUAAUGCGACAAAUGAAACAAUUGCUUUUGUCGUAAAAAUUUAUACCAGUCGUCAUAAGAGAAGAUUUGAUGGCGGUGAGAGACCGAUCAGGAAUGCUUCAACAUAUAUUCAGCUGCACUAGCAGCACGAGGAUAAGAUACAGAGGUUCCAGAUAACAUAUUGUAUUUUACACGCUUCUUGCCUUCUUCCAAUUGUGUGAUCGAAGCAAUAGGUGAAUCCGUGAAUAUGCAGCCAAAUUCGGCCCCCGGGGCACUAAUAUCCGGCUGAGAAACAUCAUACUACAGUUGUUAUUUCCGUAUCUAUGAAAUUUUAUGAAAGAUAUACCGUAAGGCGACAAGAAACCUAUACCUUUAUGAAAGAUCGUCUUAGUUGUCAUUACGUACAAUUGAACCAAGUGUACCGGCAUCAUAUGAGGUUAUAUCCCCGCAUUCGGCAUUGCCUACCACUAUCUUUCCCUUAACAGAAUCACUGUCCAAGCAACCGCAUUUACAAAAUCUGACGUACAACAAGACUGUACUUCACUAACGAAAACUUCAAUGCUCCGACUAACAUUGCUUAAAUCCAGUAUUUCUGCCCCAUAAAUCAUACAUGAUACAUUAACAUUACAGUAGUGUUUGUUCAAAUUGUGUCUUCUUCGAAGUGUUUGUUCACUCUUUGACCGGGUUUUUUUAAGCCCUUUUUUUAUCUUCGAGUUUUUGUGCUUCGAAAGGCAUAUCAUGCACUAGGGUUUCUUUCGGGGUAGUGAUUUUCGUACUCCUAAUUUCUCCUUUACACUUUGCCCUUGUUUUUGUCCCUUGAAGUCGACCAAAGGUUGUGCGACUAUCACUCCCCUUUCUAUCCGAGUCUCUGCGCAACCAUCACCUCCCCUUCUUUCCGAGUCCCUUGCAGUCGACCAAAUGUCCACGGACUUUAUGAAAUUCAGGCAAGAUGUCUGCGUGAAUGUGCGAGCAAAAUAGAGGUUGGACAAAUCAACGAUAAAUGUGUAAAGCAGCCGUGAAUAUGAUGACCGGUUGUUGUUCGAGAGGAAGCUGAUUGCUAUGUCAUUCAUCGACAAGCACAAAUAACUUGCAUGAGCUCUGAGAAUACUGUAAACACAGAAAAAAACUUGUAAAUACUAUUCGACUUGGGUUUCUCUAAUUGAGAUUACCGUUUUUCGAAAGUGAGAUUACAAUAUCUUGUAAGUUACAACUACAAGAAUUUGACUACAAUAGUGUCACGUAUAUAUAUAACUACAUUUGCAGAUUCCAGAGCUUGACACCUUUGCAGAUUUCCUAUGCUCUCAAGCCCUUUCAGAAUGUCGGGUAACAAUCAUCCUCGCACAUCCUUCUGGGCAACCACUAGAGGCAGCCGAAUACAGGAACAGAAACAAAUUUGAUUUAAACCAACAUAAACUGAAAAAAAUAAUCAACAAACAUCUAAGCAUAUAUGUGUGUCUGGAGGAGAUUCCAUAGAGUAUUCUUACAUGUUAAUUAUGAUUUGGUCGCCCAAGAAAGAGAUGUUACAAUCAUGUAUGGAGAUAAUUGGCUGCCAUCAUCAAUUCCAGAACCAAUUCAGGUUCAAUAUGAAACUCCGUCUGCUUCCCGCUGUCAAAAAGAGUUGAAUUACAAGUCAGUAAUAGGGAGACGAGAGUAAAUGAAAACUGGCCUUCUGAUCAAGCUCUCGGAUUUUGAUUAGUUCCAACCAGCAACCAUGGAUAAUUCAAGCGUCCAUCAAUAUCUUGAAACCAAUCCCACACUAAAAAUUUGUGCAGCAGAAUAUACACAAAAUAUUCUGAUUGUACCAUCUCCAAGAUCAUUAUUAAACAAGAAAAACCAUUCAAUCAAAACCUGUAAACCUAAUACCAAAUAGAAAAGUAUAUGGACCUAGAAAGUGUACUUCUUAUACCGCUUUUGUCCUCUGUUUUGGGCUUUUUAUAUUCCCUGAGUUAUGUCCCAAGACCUCCAUAUUUGGUUUAAUAUCUAUCCAGUAUUAGAAAUAAGAAAUCAAGUUACAAGAACGAUAAUCUGAAAAAUAAUCUAAACUAUCCAGUACUAUGGUAGACUGCUCCAUAUUAUGCUAGACUGACUACCAACCAAAAAUGAAACAGCAUACAAAGGGGUGUGCUAUUCACACACCUCAUUUUACUUCUCACACACCCCUUGAUAAUUUAUGUCCGUUUAUCUUCUUCAAUUCAUCCGAUCCGACGGCCAAAAAUUAAAAAGGAGUGUGAGAAGUAAAAUGGGGUGUGUGGAUAUCGCAUCCCUAUACAAACUGUCUAGGACCCUAGUCUGCUAUACAACAGACUAUGUCAAAGUAUUAAUCUUUGAUUAAUGAUUGGGCGAACGGAUCUUUGUUUGAAUGUAUGGUCUGUAAUGACAGCCUAGCAAUAAGAAAGUCUAGAGAACAUUAGCCCUACUAACUUUACAUAUUGAUCAAUAAAAUUCCAAUUCAGAAGAAACCCAUCAAUCUUCUAAGCAUUGACAUGUAAAUACCUCAAAUAUUACAACCAAAAGAUUACAAAUUUAAAACUAAAAUAAGUAAAAAUAAAAAAAAUAAAAACUGAUAGAGAGAGAGAGUCUAAACCUUGCAAAUUGAAGGUUCCAGUAAAAGUACUUGCAGAUCUUCUCAAGAAUGGUGGUGCUGAUCUCCGGGAACGUCACCUCGCCGUGCUCCGUCUCAGCAAAACCCCCUACCAACAAAAAAAAAAGAUUUCACCUUGCAAUUUGAAACCCUAAUCCCCAAAUUGCUUCUCUAACUCAAAUCAAUUUCAAACCCUAAUCCCCAAAUUGCUGCUCUAACUGAAAUCAAUUUCAAACCCUAAUACCUGGAGAAGUGAGCAUGUUGCGGAUGGUCUGAGAGACCAUGGCGGCGUCUUUGUGGAUCACGAACUCAAACCCCUCGGCGCUGAUCAGCUUCACUGUGUCUUCCUUCUUCAUCUUUGCGGUAGAAGCCGAUUGAGAUUCGACUGAAUUGUACGGAAGGGAACCGAGUUAUGAACUCAGUGAGUCAGUGCGUUUGGGAGGAAGAAAGUCCCGUGUAUUUAUCUGAUGGAGAUGGAUUCUAGCCGCGGCUAGAACCGUAGGAAUCGGUUUCUAUUAGCAACUUAGAUAAUUACAAAAUCCCUCCCUCCAUUUUAGUGGUUGUUCACUUUGAUCCUCAAUUUGUUUUUUCUGUCUCAGGUUGGUCACUAAAUUUUAAAAAAUAUGAUAAACAAUAGUGACUCUCAGUUACAAAAGUCGACAAAACAAAUGGUAGUGAAUACAAUUCAAUUCGUGGGCUAUUUGGUGUAAGUAGAACCACUUAAUAUAAUACAAUGCAAUGUAAAAACUCAAUUUGGUGUAAGUAGAACCACUUAAUACAUGUUAUAUUUAAUUUUUCAAAGUAGAAGUCUUGUACCCUUGCAACCAAUUCCACAUAAGCCAGUAAUGAGGUUGUAAUUUGGUUCAUUUAAGCAAACAACUUGAGCUUAAGAUGAACCAAACUGAAUCACGAUGUUACAAAUAGAAAUGUGCAAUUUGAGGCUUAAUCGAACAAAACCGAACAUCAACCAACCCUAAUUCAUGAUUCGACGUCAAUGAUGAUUGUCGUCAAUAUUAUUACAAAAAAAAAGUAAAUUAUUAGCAACUAGCAUAAGUCGUAUACGCACAAUUUACCUACACGUUUAGAAAUAAUCAGCCAACCAAAUAAUCAGCCGGCCAUGGCUCUGGCGACUGUCCAAACCGCAACCAAAUCUAAAUUAAUUAAUUAAUUAAUUACGGCGUGGGAAAACACUACAAAAAUUUAAAAUUUUAAAAAAUAAAAACAUCCCUCUGGCACCAACCCGCCAGGCCAGGCUGCCUACUGUCUCACUCUCUCUCCCAAUUCAACAAAUCAAAGAUCCCCAGUUGUCGCCGAAAAACGGCACCGUUUCGACCACCAAACAAAGAAUCUAUUUAUUUGCCGUUUCAACUUUCAGAAGCCCCCUCUAGUCCCUCAUCGUUGCUUCCGCUUGUUCACAUUUUCUCCUUCCCCAAAACCCCCCACCGUGCUCUCCGCCCCAAUUCCUUCGGUUCCUCCGAUCGAACUCUCCGAUCGCGUUCUCUCCUCUGUCGAUUCGCCUCCGGGUAAGCGAGAUCUAUAGAUACAACUGUUUGUGUAUGUAUAGGUUGCAGAGAAAGAGAGAUUUGUGUGAUUUUUGAUGGGUUCGAAUUUUUGUGUGUAUGUGUAGGUUGUGGAGAUCGGAGAGGGGAGACGGCGGCAUGGCGAGUAGAGUAGACCACGAGUACGACUACCUGUUCAAGAUCGUGUUGAUCGGUGACUCUGGUGUGGGCAAAUCUAACAUUCUCUCUAGGUUUACCAGGAAUGAGUUCUGCUUGGACUCCAAAUCCACCAUCGGAGUCGAGUUCGCCACCCGAACUCUCCAGGCAAGUUCGCCUACUGAGCUUUGUUCUUCGUUUUUAGAAGUUUGAUUAGUCUGUUUGGUGUUUAAUCUUGGUGUGAAAGUUGAUUUGUGCUUCAAUUGUUUGAUUUUGUCAGCGUUGUCGAUAUAUUUGUUUGUGAUGGAUUCGAUCUUAUGUGGUUAAUUUUUGGGAGGUUUCGGAGUUUGAAUUAUUUUGGUUGAAUUUUUGUUUGGGUCGCUUGGAGAUUGUGAUUAUUGUUUGGAUUUUGUUUAGGGAUUUACGUGUUUGAUUGGAGUCCAUCAGAAAAUUUGUUAUUAAUAACUUGGUGAAACGGUUUUGGAUUGGUUUUUUAGUGCUGUGUUUUUAGAUGGAUUGCUUCUUGUGGAUAGGGUUGGCAAUGGUUAAAUAAACCGGUGGGAUAAACAGCCGUCUUUUUGUUUGAUAGAAGCUGGGAUUAGAAUUUUAUUUCUAGGAGUUGAACCAUUUGAGCAUUUACCUGUUGUUGAUCUUUAAGUUGUUUAACACACUAGGGAUGAUUUGCAGAGUUCAAGAAAGAGGAGUUGAUUUAUGAGCACUUACAGGUGGAUACUUAAGUUUGAUUCUUAAUUAGAGCCAAUUUUGUAUAAUGUUGUGGGGAAGUAUAUGCGGAAACACGUGUCUCGGUUUCUCCAUCCUUUGUAUUUAGAGCAUAAUAACCGAGUAUGAUACGCUAAAUAACCGCCCAAUAUCUUUCGUUUGGAAGACUGUUGGUUCGUUAGGUUUGUUUUGUGGGUCAUACUGCCUUUUGUUGGUUUUUUUUAUAUAUAGGCAACUAUAUGAAUAUGGCAUAGUUGAAGAGAGAGAACUGGAAUUUCUUCCCCUGUUGUACACGCAACUGAGAAGUGAAACAUCAUGGCUCAAUUGAAUGUGAAGUUAUUCCAGAAACGUGAAAUGUGUCUACUGGACCACUGGUCCGAGAGCAUAUUUAUGAGUUUCUAACAUACAGUUGUCACUUGUCAUUGUAGCGUACCGUUCAAUAUGUUGAUGAGUAGAAAGAAGUCUGUUUAUACAACAAUUGGGUUUGCAAAUUAUGGCUUACAAUCUGAUCUAGCUUAAAUUCUUCCGUGUCUGAAAUUUACAGGUUGAGGGAAAGACUGUGAAGGCACAGAUCUGGGAUACAGCAGGUCAGGAGCGAUACCGUGCUAUCACCAGUGCAUACUAUAGAGGGGCAGUGGGUGCUCUCCUUGUCUAUGACAUAACUAAGCGGCCAACUUUUGAGAAUGUCCAAAGGUGGCUCCGUGAGUUGAGGGACCAUGCAGAUUCGAACAUUGUUAUCAUGAUGACAGGAAACAAGUCUGACUUGAUCAAUCUCCGAGCUGUUUCAGAGGAUGAUGGUCAGUCCUUGGCUGAGAGGGAGGGUCUCUCAUUUCUCGAGACAUCAGCACUGGAAGCAACCAACGUUGAGAAGGCAUUUCAAACUAUUCUAACCGAGAUCUACCAUAUUGUCAGCAAGAAAGCACUGGCAGCUCAAGAAGCAGUCUCAACUACCCUACCUGGUCAAGGAACCACCAUCAACGUUGGUGACGCUUCUGGGAAUACGAACAAGAGAGGUUGCUGCUCGACAUAAAAGAUGACACACACCUAGGGGGAAGGAGGGGAAACAUUUUGCUGGAUGCCAGCUCUUUUGAUUUUUCUCUUUUUAGUUUCUUUUUUUUGGGUGACAGGGAAGCAUGUAGAAUACAAGUUUUACUUCGUCGAUUUGUGAUAAGGAAGCUUUGUGAAAAUUAUAAUGACAGUAGUAUCGAUACAUUUUGAGGGCCUGCUUUUGCUUCCGAUGCACCGUUUUGUUAUAUGUCGCUUGAUAUAAAGUGUAAGUACUGAAAUUUGGAAUGUCUGGUGGAACUCGGCAUCUCAAAUUAAAGAAUCAAUGGAGAAGGAACCUUGUGUGUUCAGAGUUUUAAUUUUUCGGGUUUCGUUUCUCAGUUGCUUCUUCCAUUCUAACAAACGCUUCAAUACCGCUUUCUCAUAUCAUUCUAGACUCAUUUCUUCAGCCUUUUCCUUUCUGCUGCCUUCGCUCUCGCGAUCGAUUGCUUGUGGCGUACAAUGGUGGUGGCAGUUUCAUGGUGAAUCGAGAAGGUUAGGGUUUUUGAAUUCUUUGGGACAUCCGGACGCGAACAUUUCAAUUGCUUGCACAAGAAGUCAACAUGAUUGGUGGUAAACUUAUUGCAGUCUACUAUUCAAUCUGUAUAGUUACAUGAUGUAUUCUGUAAGUACUUUCACAGUAAUCCCUAAUCUCGUCAAUUAUCUGACUAGAACUUACUGCAGGCUCAGCCGUUACAUGGCAAGACAAAACUGUUUUUCCAACCGUUAGCGCCCAAACGUGUAGGUCGUGAAUUUCCUGAACCCCUUUGAUGCACUUGAUGCCCUUUUCUAGCCCGGUGAUAUCAAUCUCGCUUGGCGUUCUCUCCAUCAAUAUGCCAUAUAUAUUUUUGAGCAUCGAUAUAGUUGUGCUGACAGCAAAAACAGAAAAUAUGAGUGUGCAGAUAAGAUCGACUACUAACCAAUCUGGCCUUGCCCAUAUGAUGCCUCCAGCAAUCAUCACCCCAACGGACUGAAUCAUAUCGGCGAUGACAUGCAAGUAGGCUCCUUGGAUAUUUAUGUUUAAUAUUUUAGUCUUCUCCACAGAAUUUGACACCAGACUUGUUUUGUCCUCUUCAAGUAUUGCACUUUCUUCCUCCUUAUGAUGAUCGUGAUUAUGACCAUGGUUAUGAUCGUGACUUCCAUGAUGAUGAUGAUCGCGAUUAUGACCACGAUGAUGAUCGUGAUUGUGAUCAUGGAGAUGGUCUUGACCUAAGCCUCCACAUGCAUGAUGAGUGUGAUCGUGACCAAGCCACACGACCAUGAUAAGGUUGACAAGAAACCCAAAUGCUGCGACUGAAAACAUGAGUGGCCCAUUCACCUUUUCCUUGUUGUGAAGGAUCCUGUUGACUGCUUCAUAGAUCAAGAUCCCAGAGACCAGCCAUAUGAGCUGCACAGAGAAAAGGGCGCUCAAAACCUCAAGACGGUGAUAUCCGAAAGACUGGUACGAUGUUGCCUCCCAACCUGAAGCCAUUACUGUGAAAAGAGCAAUAGAGAAUCCAAUAACAUCAGUGAGCAAGUGGGCUGCAUCUGUGAGUACUGCAAGGCUGUUGGCUUUGACACCACCAAUAAUUUCUACAACCAUAAACAAGAGAGACGCGACAACGAGUCCAGAGAGUUUUGUAGCUGACUUUGACCGCUGUUUUGAAUCCAAACUACAAUGCUCGUUUUUGGAGAAAACACAGACACACGAGGAGGGACGCAACUGUGGUGGCACAGGAAGAGUAUCAAUGCCUUCAGAGACCGUUGGGAUUUCAAUUUCCUGAGACUCUGUUCUCGUAAAGGGUACCUUCUCAUGUUCCAUGUGCUUCAGAAAAAGUGAUGGUGUUAAUUUCUUAAAAAAAGAAGAGCAAAUGAAGAGGCCUAUUUCCAGAUAUUAAGCAAGGUCGGAAUAUAAAGCGCAGAAGGGCAGGUUGCUGCACAGAAAAACAGAGCAGCUGUGCAAGCGAGCACACAGAAAACCGAGCUAGCACACAGCUGCUCAGAACCAAGUCAUUCCAGCUCAAAGACCAAAUCGGCAGAAAGCUGUUUGGCAUUGGGCAACUAUAACUCAUGCAACAGCUUUAAUGUUAAUCAAGCUUUAGCUAAAUUCUGUGAGAUUAGUUACUAGCACGGAUUUGUUAAGCUUAGAUGGAAACUCUCGUGGUUCGGUCAACUUGGUUUCACUGCGUGUGCAACCAUGUGUGUACGACUGUUACACAUUUAGUUAUUGAAUGAACGAAGAACAUUAUCGUUCCAUUCUUCGUAGGAAAUGAAAAAUCUUGGAUUUUCAUCAAGAGCCACCUCAAACACCCCUAACCCCUUCAUCCUGUUGGACCCCGAAAAUGGUAAUACCUAUUUUAUUUUAUUUUUCCCUACAAUCUCAUGCCUCUAUGCAGUGGCGGAUACAGGAUUUUAAAUUCGGGGGGUCCCAAUAAUAAAGGUAAAAAAAUUUAUAGAUAAAAAUAACAUUGAAAAGUUAAAUAUAAUACACUUCAUUCAAAAAUUAGAUGGUGCUAUUGGCUUUGGCUUGAAAAAUCUUUCCAUAUUUCUCAUUUCUAAACUACACAUUUAACCAAAAACACAAAUAUAUACCAAUCAACCAAUAAACAAAAAUUCCAUCUAAAUUGCAAUGAUAAAAUGAGUAUACAAACAUAAAACAUAUCAACAACCAUAUCAAUAAUAGACUAAAAAUCUCCACCAAUAUCUAAUAUAAUUUAAUUGAGAUUAGAUUAGAAUACCAAAAAACAUACGUGAACUUUGAACUAAAUAGUGGUGGCUUGGAGAAUUGAAACAAGUGGAGGUAUGAUAUUGGAGUAAUGUAAUUAUAAUAUGAAAUUGGGUGGGAUUAGGAAUUGGGUGGGAUUAGAAAUUGGGUUUUGGGUGAAUAUAAGAAAGAUGGGGAUUAGGGGGAAAAGCAGAGGAGUGGGGAAAGGAAACGGGAGGGACUCUCGGGAAGGAUGCGGCCCAUGUGGGGCUUUAAAAGAAUAUGGAACAUCAUGGACAAACAGCAGAGUUUGUCUCAUUGAUUUUUUUUAUUAAAUUAAAACAAUUGGCCAAAACUAUGCCGUUUUGGACCAAUUGUUAAAAGGCCCUGUUUUCUUUCUUCUUCCCCUCCCAGCUGUCUUCUUCUCCAUUAGAACCUGCAACUCCAACCCGUAGCACAUACCUCGUGUCGAGUACGAGGGGUCCUCCAGAAAAUUUCUAGCAGCAAUUUAGGAUCGCCGAGGGGUCCUGGGACCUCCCAGGUCCCUCUGUAGAUCCGCCACUGCCUCUAUGUGCUGCACCAAGAACCCGAAAACUCGAAAUCUGGGUAGCUUUCUGAUUCGAAAAGAAUCAAUCAUAAAACACAGUUCAACGCCAAGCAUCCAACUUUGCAACAGACCCAUAUAAACUAACAGACCCAAAUCAUCAAAUUCCAUAAACUACCAUUAAACCAAUACAACCAUAUAAUAAAAAUCAACACAAAGAUCAAAAUACCAACUUGAAAAUGCAAACCAAAGAAUCCAAAAACCCAAAAAAAUGGAAAAACAAAACGGAGGAAGAGAGCUCAAUUGGGAACGAUGGAGGAGUACCUGAGAAUCUGAGGAGAGACAAGUAGAGAUUUUGAUGGGGGAUUUCACUUGCAAAAGAAAAUGUUCCAUACUAAUGGAUUCGGAUCCAUAACCAUGGGUUCAAUGUACGAGAUCUUGUAGCACUUACCAAUGAGGCCUAUCGAUUAGUAUUACACAGAAGAAAUCAAUUAUAGACACUAAUAUAAUUAGAUCAGCUCUUCAUAGACAAACUUGGGAUCGCUUGGGAUUUGCGAUCCCAAGUUCUCUCUCUCUCAAGGGAUGAAAUCAAUAGGAAGAGAAAUGAUUAGGGUUUUUGCAUACAUGGAAACUCACUUGUCAUUUGUGAUCCAAGUCCCACACGUUCUCUCAUCUCUCAUCAAUCCGUGGGGCAACGGCAUUCAGCUUUGACGUUAAAGACAUCGGAAGCAGGACGAAAUCAGGGGUUAAUUCAAUUUUCGAGAAAAAAAAUCCCGAACUCCCCCAAAAUUGAUUGGGGAAAAAGUUCGGAGAUUUCUCAAAUUUGGAAACAAGUUGAAGUUGGGCUUUUGAUUGAUUUUUCUCAAACUUUGGUAAUUCGGGAGGGAAGAGGGUACUCUUCAGAUCUACUUUGUCGCGAUGCUAGGUUAGGUUAGUUGUAUAACGUCUGAUUAGUUUUCGUCAUUUUAUAUAAAAAAUUAAAUUAUUUCUGAUUACACGAUAUAUGAUGAAUAAUAAAGAUAUGUGAAUUUUUAAAAUCCUUACAAAGUAAAUGUAGAAUCUAAUUCCUUUUUUGGAGUACUUUGUAGAAUUAUACGUUGCGUUGGGAAACUAAAGUUAACUUUUAACCGUGAGAAAUGGCAAAAAGGUGUCAAUAUUAUAAAACUUUUAAGUUACUUUUUUUAUUAAUAUUAUAAAAUAUUAUGUUAUAAAUAUAAUGAAUUAAGAAGUCUAUAAUCAUGUAUUAAAUCUUUUGGCAGCCAUUUAGGCCGGUUUGGUGAACCGAACAAUAUUGGAUCUUAAGGAUAUGAUUUUUUGUUUUUAGCCUACUUAGAAUAUUAUUUGAUUGACAAAAACUUAUAAGAUAAGACUUAUAACUCAUGUAUAAGUUGAAUAUCAGAGUACACGAUGAACAAAACUAUAAAAGAUUACAAAAUAAUAAGAAUAUUAUUAAACAAAGGAGAAUGCCGAAACGGCUACAGAAUCUCAAAAGACUACAUUGUGAAUGACAUGUUUCUCAAACUAAAUUACAAGAAAUAUUUAUAGAGAACUAAACCUAAGAAACUCUAACUCGGAUGGGCUUGGCCCAAAUCCUAAACUAACAAGUAAAACCUAAAUACUAAAAUAAACCUAAAUACUAAUAUUUUCCAACACCCCCCGUCAAACUCAUGGCGGUACACGACAUGGGUUUGCCAAAGUAGAUGUGGAUGCAAAACUCCAAAUUCUAGUGCCGAUGCCGAUGUCGAUACCGAUGUCGAUGCCCAUGCUGAUGCCGAUGCCGAUUUCCAUUCCAAGUUCAAGCUACCAUGCCCAAUGCAAGAAUACACAGGCCACAAAACUAUAAAAGAUUACAAAAUAAUAAGAAUAUUAUUAAACAAAGGAGAAUGCCGAAACAGCUACAGAAUCCCAAAAGACUACAUUGUGAAUGACAUGUUUCUCAAAGUAAAUUACAAGAAAUAUUUAUAGAUAACUAAACCUAAGAAACCCUAACUCGGAUAGACUUGGCCCAAAUCCUAAACUAACAAGCAAAAUCCAAAUACUAAAAUAAACCUAAAUACUAAUAUUUUCCAACAAUAUAAGGAUACGUUAGAUAAUUCACUCUAAUGUGGAUCCAUAAUCCAUCAUGUUCAUCUCACAUUUUAACACAACAAAUGACGACAUGGACUGAAUCCAAGUCCAUUUUAAUUGAUUGCAACCUAUCUCAUAACCCACCAAAUGGAGUUUUAGAGUUAGCUCGGCCAAUUAUUCUCCGAAUUUUUGUGAACAUAUUUUUUUAUUUGUCCGUGUAUUUUAAUUCCAUUUGCAUAUCUAUUGUAACAUGGAAUAAAAGAAUAAUCUUUAGUGAAUGAGAUUCAUGAUAGUUGAAGGAUGCCGUGCAUGAACCUAUGUAAUGAGACUAAGUACUGAUUUGGUGCUGAUGUGUUUUUAUAAAAAGUGGGUAUAUUUUUGUGAACAUAUUUUUUUAUUUGUCCAUGUAUUUUAAUUCCGUUUGCAUAUCUAUUGUAACAUGGAAUAAAAGAAUACUCUUUAGUGAAUGAGACUCAUGAUAGUUGAAGGAUGCUGUGCAUGAACCUAUGCAGUGAGAUUAAGUACUGGUUUGGUGCUGAGGUGCUUUUAUAAAAAGUGGGUAUAAAAAAAGCUGAGCUCAAAAAUGUGUUUGGUAAACACUUAAAAACAACUUAUUUUCAUAGUUUUGGGUGAAAAAAAAUGUUGAAAACGUGAAGCAGCAGAAAUGAGCUUAUUCUCAUAGUACAUCAGAAGCAGUUUUUUUUUUCAAAGCACAACAAUACCAAACUAGCCCUAAGGGCAGCCGAUUGCCAAAAUAUUAACAAAUGAAUAGUAACAUUGCUUCACCUCAUACAAACUUACACGAUAUGACUGUAUGAGAUUAGAAGAAAAUAAGCAUAAAGAAAUAAAAGGAACUUUGUGGCCGACUCACAAAACUUUGUGCUAAUAAUCGAAAUCGUCUAUAAAUAUAAAUAAUUCUUGAUGAUCAUCUCUGUAAAAAAAAAAGCAAUUAAAAUUAAUAUCAUUUAGUGAAUCAAUUAUAACAAAUAGAUAGACAGUUUAUAAUAUUUUUACCAAAUUUGUCCAUUUGUUUAUAUAGCUUAUGACUGAACGAUCUUAGUUUUAAUUAACUUUUUAUAAAACAUCUUUACAAAAUAAUUUAUAAAAUAAACAAUUUCAUUUAUAAACUCGAAAAUUUUGUGAAUAAACUGCAAAGUACUUUAAUUCCUCCUCAAUCCUCGGGGAGUCAAGUAACUGAAAUAACGGAAUGGGCUUAGACCCGGCCCGCAAACCGUGAAACUCUUCCAAAAGUUUUGAAACAAUUGUCUCUUUCAUUUGGGCCUACGGACCGUUAGAAACGUUUUCUACACAGCCAGCCACCGCCUUCUCUCUCUGUGCCGGAUCGAAACCAUCACCGAGAGAAACCGCCGUGCAGAGGCUGCAGCGAGAGCGACCGAGACGGAAACUACCGUCCUUACCUCGCCUUCGCUCCGCCAUGGACUCCCGCCACGCAACUCUCGGCCGACGAACGGUACGGAUCUCAUCGCCAUCGUUUACUUUCCUUUUCUCAUUGAAUAUUUGCAUUCGAAAAUACGUAAUUCUCCUUCAAUUUUGUUCAUUUUAUUUGAAUUUUUAUCAGUUGGAAGAAAUUCGCCAAAAGCGAGCUGCGGAAAAGUUGAGCAAAACUUCGUCGGGACCCGAUCUCAGCAAAAUCUCGAUUCCAAUCGGUUCGCUAUCUUUCUUUUUUUUUGUUAAAUUUGAGAUUUUUGUAUUUUCGCUGAAGUUUUUGAUUGCGCAGAUAAUGGAGGAAUGCGAAAAUCGGAGAGCGCGAAUCGGCUCUCUGAGGUAGGAGCUGAUUUCUUCAUUCAUUAUCUGUUGAGAAAAGAAAAUUUUCGGAAUUUUGUUUUUAGCGAAGAAGGCUUUGGUGUAUUUAACACAAUACGUUGAAAUGAAGGAAAGCUUAUUUAUUGAUAUCCCCGAUAAGCUACAAAUAUGUACAUAUACAUGAGUCAAAAUAAACACACAAGAGGGAGCCUUCACAAAGGUUGCUUAGGAGAAGUCUCAGCAGUCGGUAGAGCCCCAGAAAGAGAAGGCACCGGAGGGGGAUCAUUUGGAGCCUCAGUACUGGACAGAACCCUAGAAGGAGGAGGCAUCAGAGGUUGAUCAUUUGGAGCUUCAUUACGCGGUACAGCCCCAGAAGACGAAGGCAAUAAAUGCCUUUGGAACAAACCCACAAAUCUAUGAUGAUCAAGUAAAACCUGACCAUCAGUUUCCUUCAUCUGGUUAAGCUUCCUCUUCAUGUUUGUAGCAUAGUCAUGUGCGAGCCGGUGCAACUGUUUAUUCUCAUGCUUGAGCUCUCUAAUCUCCUGUUUGAGACUCAUCACUUCAGCCGCCAAUGAUUCAACUUGGCGGGUUCGAGCAAAUAGGCGUUGGGCCAUAUUAGACACAGAACCUGCACACUGAACACUGAGAGCCAGCGAAUCCUUAACAGCUAACUCAUCAGACCGUUUGGAAAGUAGUCUGUUAUCUUUGGGAGUGAGAAGGUUCCUGGCCACCACCGCAGCGGUCAUAUCAUUCUUCAUCACGGAAUCCCCAACGGUAAGAGGACCAGUUGAGGAGACGAAGGAUGGGCGCCAUAUGUUGUCUGGAGAAGGCGGGGCUGCCUCUUCAACAAGGUUCAAGUCAAAACGACGGUCGGAGGAGCCAGACAUUUUCAAAGGUGUUGAAGAGAGAAGAGGUCGGACAAAUCAAGAUCUUAGAAGUGCAAGAAUGAAGCUUCUACUGGUGGAGAUUCAAGUGUGCUUUGGAACUUAAUGCCAGCCUCUAUAAAAAUCUGCACUCGACGGAGCUUCAGAAAUCGAAGAGGCGCCUGCUCAGAAAUCGAAGAGGCGUUUGCUUUCUCAAAAGUUGGGCUGCUUAGAGAUCACGAGGGUUGAUCUCAGAAAUCGAAGAGCCGUUUGCUUUCUCAAAAGUUGGGCUGCUCAAAGACCACGAAGGCCGAUCUCAGAAAUCGAAGAGGCGCUCGCUUUCUCAAAAGCUGGGCUCCCUAGAGACCACGAGGGCCGAUCUCAGAAAUCGAAGAGGCACCUACUUUUCCAGCCUUGUCAGCACCUGUCACACGCACACUCAGCUUUGCAGAAAUUAUGGGCAUUCUGUCAAAGACUUCUGGGGAAGUAGAAAACACAUGAAUCUUACUGUUCAAUCACCAACUUCCCACACGCAACAAUAGCUCAUGGGUACCACAGAUAACUUUGCCAAAGUUCUCUGCCAAAGUUGAGCACGUGAAGCUUGCAGCUCCCACUACAUCGCUCUGACCAAGAAGGGUAAAAGAAUAGCAAAGAAACAGCACUAACAAAGUUUAGACCCAUAAAUUUUGAAGGUCUAGCUACCAUAUUAUUACCCACAAGGGUAAAGGAACAGUACCACUGCUGGAUAAUUGGAAAGUCCAUGUAUGUCAACCUCUGUGCUUCGUGGCAAGGUAGACUAGCAAACAUGCCCAACCUUUACUCACAUUCGAGAAAACACUCCCAAUAAGAUUGCUUGCUCCAAAAUCGAAGAGGCACCGUCCUCCGAAUCUAAAGAGCCAGACUCCCAACAUGACUACUUUCUUAAAAAUCGAAGAGAGGGUAAAGGAACAGUACCAUUGCUGGAUAAUUGGAAAGUCCCUGUGUGUCAACCUCUGUGCUUCGUGGCAAGGUAGACUAGCAAACAUGCCCAACCUUUACUCACAUUCGAGAAAACACUCCCAACAAGAUUGCUUGCUCCAAAAUCGAAGAGGCACCGCCCUCCGAAUCUCGAGAGCUACUCUCCCAACAUGAUUACUUUCUCAAAAAUCGAAGAGACACUGCUCCCCGAAUCUCGAGAGCCAGACCCCCAGCAUGAUUGCUUUCUCAAAAAUCGGUGAGGCACCGUUCUCCGAAUCAAUCGAAGAGGCGCUCGCUUUCUCAAAAGCUGGGCUGCUCAGAUACCACGAGGGCCGAUCUCAGAAAUCGAAGAGGCAUCUACUUUUCUAGCCUUGUCAGCACCUGUCACACGCACACUCAGCUUUGCAGAAAUUAUGGGCAUUCUGUCGAAGACUUCUGGUGAAGUAGAAAGCACAUGAAUCUUACUGUUCAAUCACCCACUUCCCACACGCAACAAUAACUCAUGGGUACCACAGAUCACUUUGCCAAAGUUCUCUGCCAAAGUUGAGCACGUGAAGCUUGCAGCUCCCACUACAUCGCUCUGACCAAGAAAGGUAAAAGAAUAGCAAAGAAACAACACUAACAAAGUUUAGACACAUAAAUUUUGAAGGUCUAGCUACCAUAUUUAUUACCCACAAGGGUAAAGGAACAGUACCACUGCUGGAUAAUUGGAAAGUCCCUGUGUGUCAACCUCUGUGCUUCGUGGCAAGGUAGACUAGCAAACAUGCCCAACCUUUACUCACAUUCGAGAAAACAGUCCCAACAAGAUUGCUUGCUCCAAAAUCGAAGAGGCACCGUCCUCCGAAUCUCGAGAGCCAGACUCCCAACAUGACUACUUUCUCAAAAUCGAAGAGAGGGUAAAGGAACAGUACCAUUGCUGGAUAAUUGGAAAGUCCCUGUGUGUCAACCUUUGUGCUUCGUGGCAAGGUAGACUAGCAAACAUGUCUAACCUUUACUCACAUUCGAGACAACACUCCCAACAAGAUUGCUUGCUCCAAAAUCGAAGAGGCACCGCCUUCCGAAUCUCGAGAGCCAGACUCCCAACAUGAUUACUUCCUCAAAAAUCGAAGAGACACUGCUCUCCGAAUCUCGAGAGUCAGACCCCCAGCAUGAUUGCUUUUCUCAAAAAUCGAAGAGGCAUCGUUCUCCGAAUCUCGAGAGCCAGAUACCACAGACCACUUUUUCAAAGUGCUCUGACAGAGUUAAAACAUGUGAAACUGGCAGCUCCCACUACCGUGCUAUGACCAAGCAGGGUAAAGGAAUAGCAUUACUACUUGUUGUUAGGGAAACUCCUAUAUAUGUCGACCUCCAUCCCAACGGACAGGCAGACCUGCAAAAAUGCUCAACCCUUCAUCAUAUCUGAGAGGGCACUCCCAACAAAGCCUUUCGAAAUAUUCAGCUUUCUUUUCCCCCGAUAAUACCUCUGCAAACAAGCUAUACUAGAGCAAGAAUAUCUCAUAUCAUCAGGGUUAAAAGCAAGAGUAUCCCAUAUCAUGCUUUUUCCUUGUUUUUUCUUUUGGCCUUGUUUUUACCUGCAAGACAAGGAGAAAGAGAGCAAUAUGUCAGCACUUGGAAUCAAGCUUCCAGCCAGGAACUGACUGCCUGGAACCCCUUACCUGAUUACUUACCUGGCAUUGCUCUCGAGUACUCAUCUUCAUCAUCUUAUGUUUCCAGGGAAGAUUCCGCAUCUGCUUGAGGAACAGAUAGGGCAAGUGCGAAGGAUACAAGGAAGCAUGUGGAGACAAGCGUAACAGCACACGUGCCGAUACAUCCAUUACUCUGUCAAAAGCAAAAGUAUCCCAUAUCAGCAGGGUGGAACGUACUCUAGAUUUGAUGGACUUGUUUUGACCCUCAAAUUCUUCAGUCGACCUUAUACUCUGGAGGAAAACCAGAAAACCCUCCAGCUCAGUUCAAGAAUAAGCCUGUGGAAAGUUACUUCUUCAAAAGCAAAAGUAUCUCAUAUCAUCUCUUCUCAUUUUUCUUCUCUUUAUCCUUCAUGCUGCUGCAAGAUGGGGAGAAGGUGAACAAUCAGUCGGAGCUCUGAUUGCUUACCUUGUCUGUCACCUCUUUCAGCAGACCCCCUAGCUCGGCGACUUGGGGGACUCCUACUACAUGGUUUGUAUCGCGCUUGACCAAGCCUGAAACUACAAGUAAGCUUCAAGUGAAAUUGAUACAUUACCUUGUGCAUCUCCACCAGUUAAAGAUACCACCCCUGGAUGGAGGAAGAGUACUUCCAGAGAAGAUGCCACAUCUACCUAUGAGACAGAUAAGGCAAGUCAAGACAACACCACACUCCGAUACUUAGAAGUUUCGUGAUUACGAGAUCAUUCUCCCACAAUAUUUCCUAAUGUCAUUUGUACUAAAUCAUUCACUCGUACUCACUAAAGGAGAGCUUGAACCUAUGUACUUGUGUAAACCCUUCACAAUUAAUGAGAACUCUUCUAUUCCGUGGACGUAGCCAAUCUGGGUGAACCACGUACAUCUUGUGUUUGCUUUCCUAUCUCUAUCCAUUUUAUAUACUUAUCCACACUAAUGACCGGAGCAAUCUAGCGAAGAUCACAAAAAGCGACCGUUUUCGUUACCUAGGAUCUAUCUUGCAAGAGAACGGAGAAUUAGAUGGAGAUCUCAACCAUAGAAUACGAGCUGGAUGGAAAGAGUGCAUCCGGCAUGUUGUGUGACCGUCGUAGGCCACUGAAGCUCAAGGAAAAAUUUUAUAGGACGGCAAUAAGGCCAGCGAUGUUGUAUGGCAGAGAAUGUUGGGUGGUGAAGCAUCAACACGUACACAAAAUGGGUGUAGCGGAGAUGAGGAUGCUUCGUGGGAUGUGUGGGCACACGAGAAAGGAUAAGAUUGGGAAUGAGGAUAUCCGAGGUAAAGUAGGAGUAGCCGAAAUUGUAGGAAAGAUGAGAGAAAAUCGGCUCUGGUGAUUUGGACAUGUGCAAAGAAGACCGACUGACGCUCCGGUUCGAAGAUGUGACUACGGGACAGAGGUUCAGGGCCGAAGGGGUAGAGGAAGACCUAGGAAAACUUUGGAAGAGACUCUAAGAAAAGACUUAGAGUACUUGGAUCUAACGGAGGGCAUGACACAAAACCGAGCGCAAUGGCGUUCUAGGAUUCAUAUAGCCGACCCCACUUAGUGGGAAAAGGCUUUGUUGUUGUUGUUGUUGUUGUUGUUGCCGAGAAAGUUUUAGUUUUAAUUCCCAUGUAUAUGUGAUUGCUGGUGCAGAGCGACGUUAGUGUUUUGGUUGCCCAGAUAAAAGACUUAGAGAAGAAAAAUGCGGAAUUGGAGGAGCAAAACAAAAACUUGGCUUCCAUGGUAAGACUAUUGUUUCUGUAGUUUGCUUGUUUGAUUCUUAGUUUCGAUUUUACGAGGGUAUUGGUUUUCUUUCACGAUCAAUUUUUUGAUGCGCAAUUAUUUUGCCCUCUUGAUAUUUCAGCUUGAAACAAAGGAAGCCGGGGGCGAUGUGCUGCAGAAACGUUUAAAUGAUCUGGUAAAUGUGACACCUUUAAAUAUCAUCACAUUUUUUUCCCAGUAAAGAGUAUGUCUUUUUAUGCAUUAAUGUAUUCUCAACUCUAUCUUUCCAUAUUUUAUGUCUUGUCUUCGUUUCAUGGUCCGUAGAAACAAUGAAUGUGCAGCUAUAGGAAAGAAAAAAGGGCAUUCCUUGUUAACUUUUUCAGCCUAUUCUCAUCUAAUACUUUGUGUAAAUUGCAGGAGAAAAACACUGUACCGUCUUUGAGAAAAGCUCUCAAGGAUGUUGCAAUGGAGAAAGAUGCGGCAGUUGUUGCACGGGUACUGACCAUCUAUAUUUUAGUUGGUGUUUCAUCUCACUUGGUUCAUUCUGUUUUAUUUCACUCUCACAAUUUGAUUUCUUAAUGUAGGAGGAUCUUUCAGCCCAGCUUCGUACGCUCAAGAAACGGUUAAAGGAUGCAGAAGAAGAACAGUAUCGAGUAUGCAAUUAGUUUCUCUAUUAAAUACCUUUGGAACAGUAUCUUUCUAUGCUUUUCUCACUUGUUGUCUUGCAACAGGCUGAGGAAGAUGCAGCCGCUUUGAGAGCUGAACUGAAUAUGUUACAGCAACAAGCAAUGAGUGGUUCACUUAGUGCAAUGAACUCAAUUUCUAAUUCACCAGAUCAGAUGCAAAUGUUAGAAAAGGAGCUGGCUAGCUUAAAAUCUGCGUUACAGGUGAUAAUUUGUUUGUUGGAAUAUUUGUAGUUUCCCAAUUUCCCAACUGGUGCAUUGUUUAUAGGUGUCCAACUGUGGUAAAUUUCUUGUAGCAAGAGUCACACUUGAGGCAGCAAGAGAGACAACAAUUAGCAGAGGAGCAAGCCCGGGCAUCCACCCUUACAUCUGUAAAGCAGGAAUUGGAGGAAAAGCUUGCAGCUAUGUCUAGAAAGGCUUCAGGUACCAAAACCAUCCAAAUGUACAUUUCUACACCAUAAAGAAUUUCAGAAAAUCUCCUUUCAGAUGUUCAAGUUAUAAAAUGGAGAGGACUUUAGGAAGCCUCCUUUAAAUCUUGGGGGCCGCACGGUCUGAUGUGAAAGAGGCUAAGGAACAAAUGUACAUAAACAUUGUUGGUCUAGAAAAGUCAAACAAAUUGACCGUUAUUGGCCUGAAUUUUUCCUCUUAGUAGUUUUUUCUUCUUGUUUGCAUAUUUGGCACUAUAUUCAUACUUCCUCUAUAUCUAAUUUAAGAUUCAUAAAUGGAAAUCCAUGGCGGCUCAUGGGUUCAGUGUACUUGGAGUCGCAACUGGAAACCCUUUUGGCUUCUGAGUUCUAGAUUCCAAGUAAAAUUGUUUAGUCUUGAAUACCAUCUAUGGUGUUGCAAUUCCCCAUAUCCCGUUUACGCUUCUGUCAAUUUUGUUGUUCUAUUGGCCUUCCAUGAUUCUUUUGCUGCAUGGUGGCAUUUUACAAAAAAGUUAGAUCUUAUGAAUGUUGUUAUGCCCGUGGUUCUUGCACUGCAGAAGUUUCAGAGAAAGUGGCUGGCAAGGAAUUUUCACUCGUAAGUCCAUUUCAUGAUGACCUAGAAAUUUUACAUUUGUCAGGUUUAAUGAGUUCCUCUCAGGAGGCACUGUUACUAUUACCAUAAUAUGAGUGUCCUCUCUUCCCGUUGUUCCUUAAUAAAUUAUUAAUUUUAUUUACGGGUCAAUGCAUUAAUGAACAGGAAGACAAGGAGAAACUUGAGAAGCAGUUGCAUGACAUGGCAGUAGUGAUUGAGAGAUUGGAAAGUAGUAGACAAAAACUUUUGAUAGAGGUUAUCUUUGCAACACUCUCUUUUAUAAUUCCAAUAGGAACCCUUUUUAAUUUUUGGUGGUGUAUUUGUCUUUUGGCAGAAAACUCACUUUUUGUACUUGGUGGCAGAUUGAUUCCCAAUCUUCGGAGAUAGAAAGGCUUUUCGAGGAAAAUUCUGAUCUCUCGAAUUCUUAUCAGCAAGCAAUGAGCAUAUCAGGGCACUGGGAGAAUCAGGUAAUUGUCAAUGGCUUAGCACAGAGAUUGACAGAAUGUUGGCUAUAUGUAAAAUUAUCCAGUAUUAUUUUUUUCUAAUAAUAUGUCUUUCUUUGGUUUCUCAUUAAACAAUUGCCAACUGGAUACGGAGGUCUUACCAUUUACUAUGCUUGACUAGCGAAUCUAACUAAUCUGGUUCAUGUUUGCAGCUUUUGUAUUUUCGUGAAAUGUCUUAAUUUUUGGCAUGUGAAUAUGCAGGUGAAAGACUGUCUUAAGCAUAAUGAAGAGCUCCGUGCAACUAUAGAUAGGUUGAGAACCGACCAGUCCAAGGGGUUACUAGAAUCCCAUGAAGGCGGGGCCAAUGAGACUGGUUCAGCUGCGUAUACAACUGAAGUUCUCUCCAUCAAGGUUAGUCAGCUAGCAGAAAGAAGUUUUAUUCAUUUGUUUUUUGAUAUGAAAAAAACUAUAUUUGAACUUUCCAUGGUGCUUUGAUUAAAGAUUCAGGAUGGGGGUCAUUUAGCUUUCAUUAAUUGGCAUCAUUUUUUGAGUUUCAUCCGUGCUUUUAUUUGUAGGAUCAACUUGCGAAAGAACAGAGCAGAGCAGAAGCGUUAUCAGCUGAAGUAUUGCAGCUCUCCGCACGACUCCAACAAGCUACCCAAGCAUACAAUGGGCUUGCACGCCUGUAAGCUCCCUCUCCCUCUUUUCCUCCCUCCGUUUUCUUCUUAUAAGUUUCGUGCUAACAUGAAUUUCAUCCGACGAGUUGCAGCUAUAAACCAGUGUUGCGAAACAUUGAAAGCAACCUCAUCAAGAUGAAACAAGAUGGCCCCAUGACCGUGCGGUGAAUGCAAAGGCAAUCAGCUCAACCCCCUUCAUACUAAAAUUGGUUAAAGUAGCACAGUUUUCUUUGUAAAGUUUAUGAAACGCAUUUGCUCGGCGUUCUUCGCAUAUCAAAAUGUUCACUAGGUAAAGAAGCAGAAGUGUCUAGUCUGUGUUUGGAAACAGGUAAUCUCGGAAGGCUCGAAUCACGAACAUAAGAAUGGUAAAUUCAUACUUUACACAUCACUUGUACACGGCAUUGGAGCCUUGCAUUCAUAUAAAUUUAUCGUAUUGUAGGAUGAAAGCGUGACUCGCCUGAGUAAUGCUACACUUACCACAUUUGUACCGCCUCUCUAAUUUGUGUAUUGUAUCAAGUUCCGGUUUCACGUAUUCUACUCCAGUAGUAGUAAGACCAUUAUACCCCUCACGUCUGAAGGCAAUAGUUCUAAUCCCUUUGGCCUCAAGCACAAAAGAAUACAGUAUACGUCAAGAGAUUAGCUCUCUCGGGUAAUCCUGUAACUUCAUUUUCCUCAUUUUUUCGCUCCGAAAUGAAAGAACGUAAGUCGAACUUUUGUUGUUGUGCUUGCUGCUCAAUUAGAUAAUAAAAUGUGUGCCACUGCCAACCACCAGUCCGUUAGGUGACGAAAGGGUCGAAGACGGAGACGUAUUCGUUUUCUUGUGCUAUAAGCAAGUGAUUAACAGCAUAAUUUUAAAAAUAACCACCUAAGCUAUCAUAUGCUUUUGCUACUAGCUAGUCUUUGCUACAGUUGGAAAUGUAGCUAGAUUUAUGUGUUUAAUUUUAAAACUUGUCAUUGACUUGGGUGGUAUAUCACAGCAACGGUUGUAUUAAAAUGUAGACCAACAAAUAUCAAUGCUUAAGAGUUGGUAUAGAGAAAAAGGCAAGUGGUGAGCAAACUCGUAAAAUAAUGAGGAUCGAAAAACCUGCAAGACUUUCAAUUUCUAACGCUGGUGAAUUACACGAUGCUAGCUGGGGAGGCUGAAAUGUCUCUUUGAGUCUUCUCGAUCCCUGUAGGGUGUACUGCAGUGGCAAAGCCAUCAGUUGGUCCUCUUUCUUGAAAAAAAAAAAAAAAAACCAACAAAUAUCAAUGCUUAAGAGUUGUUAUAGAGAAAAAGGCAAGUGAUGAGCAAACUCGUAAAAUAAUGAGGACCGAAAAACCUGCAAGACUUUCGAUUUCUAACGCUGGUGAAUUACACGAUGCUAGCUGGGGAGGCUGAAAUGUCUCUUUGAGUCUUCUCAGUCCCUAUAGGGUGUACUGCAGUGGCAAAGCCACCAGUUGGUCCUCUUUCUUGAAAAAAGAAAAGAAAGAAGAAGAGCCUACAAGACUUUCGAUUUUUAUCGCUAUUGUAUGUGCAAGUGUGGUAAGCUACAUCUGUUUUUUUUUUAUAUUAAGUUCAGGACUAAUGUACAUGAUGUUUAAAAUAAAAUGCCACAAUCCACGCUAUUGUAUGUGCAAGUGUGGUAGCUACAUCUAUUUUUUAUAUUAUGUUGAGGACUAAUGUACAUGAUGUUUAAAAUAAAAUGCCACAAUUCAGGAACAAACCACAUGGCUACGAAUUUAAUACUAAAACUUGUAUAAAUUUUGGGGUGUGUUGUCCACACACCUCAUUUUACUUCCUACACAUCCUUUAAUAAUUUAUGUCCGUUGAUCUUCUUCAAUUCAUCCGAUCCAACGGCCGAAAAUUAAGAAGGUAUGUGAGAAGUAAAAUAGGGUGUGUGGAUAUCACACCCCUAAAUUUUUGGUACCACCAACGGGCUAAGCUGUUAAAUCAAGUACUAGUGGUUGUUGUCGAGAAAUUUUGAUAGGGAAUACCGUCAAGUGAUGUACAUCACGUGUUAUAGUAUGAGUAGACGAUACAGUUAAUACAUGUAUGUUAUGGCAUAUGAUAUGGUGUUAUAUUGUGAAUGAAUUGUAAUACCAUGCUAUAUAUGUUAUUUCAGUGUUCUCUUCCCCCUAUAGUUCUCUCAUUUCUUACCACAUCUUACGCAUUAAAUUUCAUUCAUAAACUACAAAAAUGGUGGAAAUUAGAAUUAUUCCAGAAAGUGUGGGAAACCUAUGGAACAAAUGGAACCUCCGACUCCUGGUCCUCUGCAGCCUAUGCUUACAAACUGUCCUAGUGGUGUUGGGAAGCCGAAGAAAGUACAGCGCUAAAACUUGGAUCAGAAUCGUCAUUUGGACAGCGUACUUAUCAGCGGACUGGGUUGCUACUGUCACGCUUGGAAUGAUAUCCAGCUUCCAAGUAGACGAUCAAGAAAGCUCCCCACAUCCAAACAACCAUACCAUUAUGGCUUUCUGGGCGCCAUUUCUUCUCGUGCACCUUGGCGGUCCAGACACCAUCACUGCUUACGCGUUGGAGGACAAUGAGCUUUGGUUGAGGCACCUGCUGGGUUUAGUUGUCCAGGUUGAAGUGGCUUUUUUCAUCUUUUUAAGAUACUGGACGCCGAGCACGUACCCCCUCUCAUUGCUAGCAAUACCAGUAUUUGUUGUUGGACUUACCAAGUAUGGAGAGCGGACUUGGGCCCUGCGGUCUGCAAGCAGUGGAACAUUGCGUGACUCCUUGCUCCCUGCUCCGAAUCCAGGUCGUGGUUAUGCCAAUUAUGCAGCUGAAUAUAGCGCUAUCAAAGCUCGAGGAGAUGAGGUUGCAAUUGGAAGUACAGGUGGUGAAGGUAUUUUUCGUGUUGGGCGGAUCAAUCCUGUUAUUUCCGAAGCCAGAUAUCUCCACGAAGCAUUUGAAUUGUUCGACCUCUUUAAGCGCCUUUACGCAGAUCUCAUCCUGGACUACAAUGAUCGCAAUUGCUGCAGUGAAGUGCUUCAGGGUCAUUCACCGAAAGAAGUCCUCAAAGUAAUAGAGGUUGAGCUUGGUUUUGUUUAUGAUGUGUUAUACACAAAGGCAACUGUUGUGUAUUCUCGCCCGGGUAUUAUUUUUUGCUUCAUCAACCUUCUUUGCUCCAUUUCCACACUUGUAGUCUUUGCCUCUGUUGUUGAUAAGCAUUUUUAUUCCACCGUUGAUAUAACUCUCACCUACUUAUUGUCUGCCGGAGCCAUUGCUCUUGAGUUGUACGCCAUCAUUGUACUAAUUUGUACAGAUUGGACACUCCAUUGGUUAAGCAAGCGGACGCACUCACUUGCUUCUCGUGUCUAUCAAGCAAUCUCUUCCUUUAGAUCAAGCUGGGGCUACGACAAAAAUUGGUCUGAAUCCGUGGCACAAUACAAUCUCAUCGAUUUUUGUUUCAAAGAGAAUCCCCCGAAGUGUGCUAGAAUUCUCAAACUCCUUCACAUCUAUGACAUGUUAGAGAAAUAUUGGUACACAGCCAAGGAGGAUGUCCCUACUGAGAUGAGAGAGCUUAUUGUUGCGCAACUCCAAGAUGCUCAAAGAGAAAAUGUUGCAACCAGUGAAGUCUUGGAUUGGAGAGGCACUCAUGCUCUUCAAAAGAGUAACUGUAUCGAAAAGUUUGGUUGGAGUGUGGAAGAAGCUUCAUUAGACCAAAGCAUUCUUCUAUGGCACAUUGCAACAGAUUUAUGCUUCAACAAUGAUCUUGAAAGUAUAAAUCAAGAUCCAUCUCUAAUUAGUUCCAAAUCCAAGGUGAGCAAGUUGUUCUCAAAUUAUAUGAUGCACAUUCUCGUCUUCAGCCCCUUCAUGUUGCCAGAGGGAAUUGGGCAGAUUAGGUUUCGUGACACGUGCACAGAGGCCACAGAGUUUUUUGAAAAGAGAAGAGAAGUCAUAACCAAAGGGGCAGGCCAUGCCAGGCAGGUUUUGCUUGAGGUGAACACGGAGUUAGUUCCGGCAAUGGUGAUUGGUGAUAGAAGCAAGACAGUGUUGUUUGAUGGGUGUAGGCUUGCAAAACAGUUGAUGGCAUUGGAAACCGAGGAGGGAAAGAGUAAUGAAGAAAAAUGGGGGAUAAUAAGCCAAGUGUGGAUAGAGAUGUUGUGUUACGCAGCAAGUCAAUGCAGUUGGAAGGAGCACGCGCAACAGCUUAGGCAUGGAGGAGAGCUUCUUACACAUGUGUGCCUUCUCAUGGCAAAUCUUGGUUUCAGCCAACAGUUUCAGAUCAAACAAGGCACACCAACAGUAACUCUUUCUGCUAUUAGCAAGCAACCCUAGCUUCUGCUUGAAAACUUCUCCUCAAGUUCAUGUAAAAAGAAAAAUAUAAAAGAAGUGUAAAACAUUUAAGAGAAAUUGGCCAAAUGAUCAAUUUUCAAAUUCUAAUAGCAGAAAUGGUCAGUUUUUCAGUAUGUCGUUGAUUUAUAAUAUUUAUAUAUGUUGUCAAGUUGUCAAUAUUUCAUUGUUGUGUUAUCAAUACUUGAUCAUUAUGUUGUUAAUAUUUAAUUUUAGUUGUUUAGCAAUUGAAAUUUGAUUAAAAUUAUUUAAGCCAAUUUCUAAAAGUUCGAUGGGAUUUUAACUUUUUUAAAGAAGGCUUUCUAUAGCAUAUAUAAUAAUGUUAUCAUUUUACCUUGAUAAUACUAGUACUGUAGCACAUGCCACGGAAACUGAAUUAAUUAACAUGUUAAUUUGCCCUUAAGAUAUGCUCACAAACACAAACCCCAUACCACUUAUUUACAAGCUAUUAAUCGAUUUUUCUUCAUCACAAAUUUUUUUAGGGCUGUUAAGCCCACUCUCCAGCGAGACCAAAUAUUCUACACUUAAAAUUCUUUGUGACCUCUCUGUGUUUUACCUCAAUGCUUGACAUCUGUCUUUAAUGCUUCCCAUCCUUACAUCGGAUCACCCCUAUCACUUGUAAAGAACUUGACCUCGAGUUUUCCUUGAGUCGAAUUUGAUCAUAAGUAGACAAGUAGCUUGAUCAGCAAAUAAAUUCUUCAACUCAAGGAGUCCAAGCUUCUUUGUGCCUAGAUGGUACAAUCAUGAAAACAAGAUCACAAGUAAAAAUCAAAUAUGAAAUUUUAUAAUUUAAUUCCUUCUUGAUUGACGACUCUUGCACCCCUUACUUGUUCAGUCAAUCUUGAAAUUUAAGUCCACAUUUAUCGGUUGUGGAUUUUUCAAAUCAUCUUUAUCACGUAAUUGAAUUUAUAUCCAUACCUCGAGUUUCAUAGUGGAUCACUUAUAACUCGUCCUGUUUGAUGUUUCGGGAUCCCUUCUUUAAGCAAAAUAGAGUUCGCAAUGGGUACAAUACUUCUUCAGGCUCUUCCUCCAUAUCUUCAUUGCACAUUGGAUUAUUACUUUGGCCUUCACUUCCCAUCUUAAUAGAUACAAAUAUGUUCAAACAAAAACCAUACCUUUACAAGUCGUUUCAUUGUACGCCAAAUUUUGAUAGGAUUAUUAUUAUUUUUUUCUUUUGAGUGACACUGCCCUUUAAAGGUGUAACUGAAAAGUAAAUAAGUUUUUUUUAUUAUUAAAUGGUUUAUUUCUGCCACUUAGUACUAUGAUUUUGUUAUAUUCAUUUUCACUUGUAAGUAAGAGGCUUAUGUUUGAUCCACAUUAUUGUUAGCUUAUUGUGAGGUUAAACCCAUCAUUUUUUCUUAGUGUAGAUAAUAUCAUUUAUUUUAAAAAAAAAAAAAAGGCUUAUUUCUCUUAUCAUUAUUUGAUACGUAUAAUAACUGUAAAUGCUAAACUUUUUCAUGAUCUAAAGGCAGUGAUCAAAUUUGUUCUCUUUAAUAAUUCAAAAACCUUGUCUUAUUUAGUGCUUCAUCUUUUUGUGUCAAAGUUUUUUUUUAAAAAAAAAAAAGAAGAAAAGCACGAUAAUUUAUUUAUGAAUGACAUUACAUAUACACAUCUAGAAGAUAUCGGUUUAAGAGGAAACAUCUAAGGGAAGGGAUUCCAAUUUUUUUAUUUUUAUAAAAAUAGAGAUUAGUUGUGGAAUUCAUACCACAUCAAACUUUAACAAUCCGAACGUCUAUUUUCAAGUUGCACCUCAUAAAUUAUCUUGGCAAAGUAUUAGCCAAAUCAAAAAUGUUUAAGACAUCUAAUUGAGUUCAAAAAAA
rnacentral:lncRNA from 1 species